rnacentral:lncRNA from 1 species
AGAUUCAAAACUUCAAGCCUAUUCAAAUGUUCGAUUGAUGAUGGUAGCUCUUUUAUAGCCGUUUCGUUCAAGUGAAGCUCCCUUAAGUUUUCCAUAUUCUCCAAGAUUUCUGGAAAGUACUGUAAUUGUGAACAGUGAGAGCAAAAGAGAGAUUUUAGGGAUUUGAACUCCCAAAUGCUUGUUGGCAGACUCUCAAGGUUUUUGCACUCUCGCAAACAUAAGGUAUCAAAUUCAGAGGCAUGCUCAAUGGGUAGUAGGCUGAUUGUCUGACCCUUUAAACAAAGCUUUCGGUGUUCCACGUUCCUCUGACAAUCCAAGCAUCUAGCAUCCACAUCCUCAGUCUGUACUACUAUUGGAUCUUGGGAGUAUAUAGGUUGGAGCCCACACUUGAGCACCUUAAAAUGACUCUGAGGGUCCUUAAAUGUAGCCGCAAGAUACAUGAAUGGAUUGGUGGGACCGCUCUCCAGAAUAGCAGCCUUGGGAUAGAAUAUCACCCACAUUUGUUCUGAUACACCUCCAUUAUGGUAGCAUUUACAAGUAGAGCGAAAACUGAGAUGUCGCACACACAGGGAAGAAGAUCCAUAUCCUUCACUCAAUGACAGUUGACAUUGUAACUCAGUGGAGAUUGAAGAUUCAGCUUCAAGUAAAUCAUCAGAUUCAUUCUCCAAUGUAUGUGCAAAAUCAUUUUCUGGUAUAUCCUCACAUUCAUCGAGUGGAGCAUAAACACAGCAUAUAGCAAUCCCCAAGAAGUCAUCAUUUUCAUAACAAUUCUGAGGAAGCUCCAUUGUGAUUCGAUAUCCCUCUCUCUGAUUCCUUAUCCACUUGGGAAUUCCACUGCUUCCCGGAACAACAAUACAGAUUCCAUCGCCAAUGUAGUCGGAAUUAGGGAGAAAUACUCCAUUUGAACUCUUCUCGUGUUUCAAAUCCUGCACAAAUGGACAAUGUAAAUCUAGUGGGUCUGUGUCAUUAUGUGAGUUUUUAUGAGAGAGUUUGUUAUCAGUUUUCGAUAAAUUGAUUCCCAGUUUUAACUUUCUUUGAUCUAUGCUCCUGAAUCUACUUAAUAUCCCUUUUAGAUGAUGGAUAAUCAAUGAACAUGAAAGUGAGUGACAAGAUUAAGUGUGAAAACUGGAAGUGAGGGGAAACUGAAACUGGAAAGUGAGUAGAAUAAGCAGAUCUCUUCUUCACUUGCAGUAGCUCCUUCUCCAUUCAGAUUCAGAGAUCUUAGAAUUGUAGCUUCAACUUAACUCUCAGAAUCUUAAAGACAAAGUUCGCUCAAGUUUCAAAAACUCAUAGAAAAAUUUCGCCUCAUGUUUCUCUUAAUCCCAUGAGGCGAGAGACAUGCAGCACAUGCUUAUUGGCUUUUUUCCAUGCAAGUUUCAAGGUGGAGCAUCUAAUGAACUAAAACAUUCCUUCAAAUCCUAGUGGAAAUUCACACUAGAAAUUUCAGAAUUUGCUAAAGAAAGGUUUAAUUCAUUUUAUCCAUGAAUAAAAAAUCAUGUGAGGGCAUUUUAACUUCCUAAUAAUUAUUAUAUUAAACUAUAAUUCUCAUUAUUUAAACUCGUGAUCUGUAACUUUAUCAUCACAUUUUGAAGAGACUUUCGUCAUCUCUUCCAUGAAUUAAUUGAUGUUUAAGGAGGUAUAAUAAACUUUUAAUUGAAUUUAACAUUAUUUCUAUCCUUAUACUCAUCUUAAACUCUAAUUUUUUUUUUUUACUCUUAUCAAAAAAAAUAAAAACUUAACAGAAAAAAAAAAUUUCAAUUACUCCGUGUUCACGAGGAAAAAUGGCUGAAUGUUAUGAAAAUCAUACCUCAAUUGUUGAUUUAAAGCAUUUGAACAGAGAAACACCAAGUAGACUUGAUGGACUUGAUAAAGUUUCCAAGCAUGUGCAACUGUGGACAUCUAGAACUCGUAAACUUGGCGUAAGCUCUGGAACUUGUAGAGGCCCCUGGCAGUGACUCAAUUCAACGACUCUCAGUUUAGAAAGUUGAAUGAUGCCUGCAAGUAUGCUACUAAAACAGUCCAUGCUUAGAUUUAGACCUGAAGCAUGCAAACACUCUAAACAUUGCAAACUCCUCAGGUUCUUGGGAAAUUCCUCAAGUUUUGUACAGAAACUGACAUCUAGAAUUUUAAGAGAACUCAAAUUACAAAUGGUCUCUGGAAGACUCACAAGGUUGGUGCAAUCUGCAAGAUUCAAACAUUGAAGCCCUCUUAAAUAUUGAAUUGAUGCUGGUAGUUCUUUUAUAGCAGUUCCAUCUAAAUGAAGAUUUCUUAAAUUUUCCACAUCCUCAAGGAUUUCUGGAAAGCUCCUUAAUCGUGAACAGCCUGAGCAGUUGAGAGUUGUAAGGGAUUUCAACUCACAAAUGCUACUGGGAAGACGCUCAAGGUUUUUGCAUUCUCGCAAACAUAAGCUAUCAAAUUCUAAGGGACACUCAAUAGUGGGUAGUUCAUUGAUGGCACUUCCCUUUAAACAAAGCUUCCGUCGGGAUUGCACAUCCGCUUGACAUUUCCGGCAAAUGGUGGGUAUCAUUGCUUUACCAUUGUUCUUUUCAUGAUCAUGGGCAUAUAUAAGAUGGAUCCCACACUCUUCCACUUUCAUUGCUUUACCAUGUGAGAAGCCACAAAAUGAAGCCGUCAACUGCCUCCAUUUAUUUGAGUGAUACUUCUUCUCAAUCACCACCUUUGCAUAAUAAAUCAUCCACAUUUUUGGUACAACAUCAUAGCAGCGAAACGAUGGAUAAAACUGGAGUUCAUCCACAAACUGAGAUUCAUGAGCACGCAAAGUCAAAGAACACUUGAGGUAAGCUGCAUCAUUCUCCAGUGUCUCCUCAGAUUCAUUAUCAAGUGGAUCAUAAAGAGAGUACAAAACAAAACCCAACAAGUCGUUAUUUUUAUACCAAUUUUCAGGAAGCUUUGCUACCACUUUAGCUCCCUUUUUGUGAUGGCUUAUCCAUUUUGGAAUUCCACAACUUCCUGAAAUAAUAAGAUUUACUCGGGCAAAAAGGCUGUCUCUAGGAUAAAUCCUGCAUUCAAAAUCCUGCACAAAAUUUAAUUAACACGUAAAUCCCCAUGUCUCCAUAGAAAAAGUUUUGUUCUAUGAAUAUCAUACCUGAAUCAAUGAUUUGAAGCAGUUGAAUAGAGAAGACCAGAGUAGACCCGAAGAAGUUUCCAGCCAUGGGCACUCAUGUACAUCUAAGACACGCAAACUGGAUGGAAGCGCUGGAAUUUGUCGAAGCUCUUGACAGUGACCCAAGUUAAGGAUUCUCAGCAUAGAAAGUUGAUUGACCCCAGAAGGUAUGCUCCUAAAAAGAUUCCCACUUAGAUGUAAAUGUUGCAGAGAUGAUAGGUGGCAAAUUUCAGUGGGGAUUCCUCCUUCAUCUAUUCUGCAGAAAGAUAGAUCUAACACUUCCAACGAGUACAAGCAGCAAAUAUCACUCAGGACUACUCCUUGCAUUAGCUUUGACCCAGGUAGAAUUAAAUUCUUUAAGGAGCAUAAACCCAACAAAGAAACCAAUUGGCAACAUGUUGAAUUUAAGCCACAAGCACAGAGAUGCUUCAAGCUUUGCAGCCUCCCCAGGUUUUGUGGCAAUUUGUGGAGUUUUGAACAGUAACUGACAUCGAGAACUUCAAGAAAGCAUAAAUUACAAAUGCUUUCUGGAAGAGUCACAAGUUUUUUGCAGCCCUCCAGAUUCAAAACUUCAAGCCUAUUCAAAUGUUCGAUUGAUGAUGGUAGCUCUUUUAUAGCCGUUUCAUUCAAGUGAAGCUCCCUUAAGUUUUCCAUAUUCUCCAAGAUUUCUGGAAAGUACUGUAAUUGUGAACAGUGAGAGCAAAAGAGAGAUUUUAGGGAUUUGAACUCCCAAAUGCUUGUUGGCAGACUCUCAAGGUUUUUGCACUCUCGCAAACAUAAGGUAUCAAAUUCAGAGGCAUGCUCAAUGGGUAGUAGGCUGAUUGGCUGACCCUUUAAACAAAGCUUUCGGUGUUCCACGUUCCUCUGACAUUCCAAGCAGCUAGCAUCCACAUCCUCAGUCUGUACUAUUGGGUCUUGGGAGUAUAUAGGUUGGAGCCCACACUUGAGCACCUUAAAAUGAUUGCGAGAGUCUAUAAAUACAGCAUUAAGAUGCAUGAAUCGAUUGGUGUGACAGCUCUCCAGAAUAGCAGCCUUGGGAUAGAAUAUCACCCACAUUUGUCCUGAUACACCUCCAUUAUGGUAGCAUUUACAAGUAGAGCAAAAACUGAGAUGUCGCACACACAGGGAAGAAGAUCCAUAUCCUUCACUCAAUGACAGUUGACAUUGUAACUUAGUGGAGAUUGAAGAUUCAGCUUCAAGUAAAUCAUCAUCUUCAUUUAGGACUUCGUCACCAGAUGGAUUCUCCAAUGUAUGUGCAAAAUAAUUUUCAGGUGUGUCCUCACAUUCAUAGAUUGGAGCAUAAACAGAGCAUAUAGCAAUUCCCAAGAAGUCAUCAUUUUCAUAACAAUUCUGAGGAAGGCCCAUUGUGAUAUGAUAUCCCUCUGUCUGAUUCCUUAUCCACUUGGGAAUUCCACUGCUUCCCGGAACAACAAUACAGAUUCCAUCGCUAAUGUAGUCGGAAUUAGGGAGAAAUACUCCAUUUGAACUCUUCUCGUGUUUCAAAUCCUGCACAAAUGGACAAUGUAAAUCUAGUGGGUCUGUGUCAUUAUGUGAGUUUUUAUGAGAGAGUUUGUUAUCGGUUUUUGAUAAAUUGAUUCCCAGUUUUAACUUUCUUUGAUCUAUGCUCCUGAAUCUACUUAAUAUCCCUUUUAGAUGACGGAUAAUCAAUGAACAUGAAAGUGAGUGACAAGAUUAAGUGUGAAAACUGGAAGUGAGGGGAAACUGAAACUGAAAGUGAGUAGAAUAAGCAGAUCUCUUCUUCACUUGCAGUAGCUUCUUCUCCAUUCAGAUUCAGAGAUCUUAGAAUUGUAGCUUCAACUUAACUCUCAGAAUCUUAAAGACAAAGUUCGCUCAAGUUUCAAAAACUCACAGAAAAAUUUCGCCUCUUGUUUCUCUUAAUCCCAUGAGGCGAGAGACAUGUAGCACACGCUUAUUGGCUUUUUUCCAUGCAAGUUUCAAGGUGGAGCAUCUAAUGAACUAAAACAUUCCUUCAAAUCCUAGUGGAAAUUCACACUAGAAAUUUCAGAAUUUGCUAAAGAAAGGUUGAAUUCAUUUUAUCCAUGAAUAAAAAAGCAUGUGAGGGCAUUUUAACUUCCUAAUAAUUAUUAUAUUAAACUAUAAUUCUCAUUAUUUAAACUGAUGAUCUUUCACUUCAUCACGACAUUUUGACGAGACUUUUGUCAUCUCUUCCAUGAAUUAAUUGAUGUUUAAGGAGGUACAAUAUUUUUUAAUUGAAUUUAACAUUAUUUCUAUCCUUAUACUCAUUUUAAACUAUUAUAUUUUUUUUUUAUAGUUUUAUCAAAAUAAAUAAAAACUUAACAAAAAAUAAAUAAAGAUUUCAAAACAAACUUUAUAGAGUUAUCAACACUUAUUUACAUCAUUCUUUAAAAAAAAUUAUAAUUAACAAAAAUGUGAUAUAAAAAUUAUAAAGAAUAAAAUUUUUUGAAAAAUGUACUAGUUAUUUGAAAUCAAAAUUCCUAGUCAAUGAAUCGUCAAAAAACUGCAAUAGCUAUGCAAAUGAGAAAAAUAAAUAAAUUAAAAGUAAAAAAAGAAAUUAUCAAUGUCAAGAAUGAGAAACCAUUUAUUUCCUUUUUUUUUUGUAAACUUUUUUUUAUUCUGAUUGUAUGUAUUCAUUACAAUUUUUAAAUUAAUAAAUAAUGUUUUUAUCACAAAAUUUAAAAAUGGCAUCUAUCAAAAUUUAUAUAUUGUUAUUAGAUUUUUAUAAAUUUCAUUUAUAUCUUCAAAAUUACAAACUCCUUUCCAUUAUUAUUUCUUAUUUUUCUUAUUGAAAAUGCAUCUUUAUUCAUCAUUUGAAAGCAUAACACUUUGAAUCUUAGGAUGUACUUCUUUCUUCCUAGGCAUUGCACUCUCAUAGGACCCAUUAAAUCCAUAUGCAACAUCUCUAAGAUCCUAGAAGAAGAGAGAAUCAGUUUUCUCUCUCAUUCAUGCGAAUUCAUUUUCUUAGAUGGGACAGAUUUUAGGAUUUUUAGGUUUUCCUAAAUGGGAAGUGCUUUAACUAGUUCUUUAAUUGUAAUCCUAGACAAAUCAUUAGAGUUUAAAUGCGCUACCAUACAAUGCUACUGUCUUUGGAUGUAAAUUUCACAUUUUACAACUAUGUGCACUAGAUGAUAAGGAAGAAGUAGAGAGGUGCACAAAGGCAUAACAAAAAUUACCAAAAAUUUGAUUUCAUACCAACACACAUCCUUGAAUAGACACUGAUUUGGAGUAAAAUGAACAAAGCAUAUACAAUCACAAAUUUAAGUUGCAUUAAUUAAGUUUGCUUUCAAUCCAAUAUAUAGUAACUCCUCGAGUAUAGGUAAAUUUGGACCUUCUAUGGUACCUUUCACUUUCGAGUUGGUUAUAUGUAAUACAACCAUCCCUAAAUACAACCAAGCUUCCCUUUAAGGUUCAAACGUGGAGAAAAACCAUAAGUUCAUUAUUUCUUUAACCAUUCCCAAAUACAACCAAACUCCUUUUAUGAGUUCAAAAGUCGAGAGAGAUCCAAGUUCUCUGUCAUACAACUAGAGUAGCCACUCUCAAAAUCCACAACGUGUUUUUCUCUAGCUCUUAGACCCUAUGGUCAACUAAGGCUUUUUGGUUCUCCUUAACCUAGAUUUUCUUUCCAACAGACAAUUUAAAUCCUAUUUAAGAAUUGUUUUUAAAAUUAAUUUCUCAGUUCUUAAAAAUAGAAACCUAUUUUGUAGACUAAAACCAUGUUUGGCAACUUUUUGACAUAUUAUAGUUUUUUGAGAACUUGUUCUGAAAAUAAGGUUUCUCCUAAUAACAUAUUUUAAUUGCUUUCAAUUGUUUUCAUUUAUUUUGUAAGGUUGUUUUAAAAAAAUAAUGGUACAUAUAUAAAGAAUGAUGAAAAAUAAAGAACUAAAAGUAAAAGUUAUUUUUAAUAAAUAUUUGGAAAUACAAAAAAUAUAUUAAAAACAUUCUAAGUUUGUAAAUAGACUUUUAUUCUAGAAAACAUCAGACCAACUAUUUUUGAAUCAUGCAAAUUGGGCACACAUUUUCUAUGCCUAGUUUUCUGCCCAAGGCCCUGUAAAUGAACACAACCUCAAUUUUAAGGAGUUUCAAAACGAUGGUUGCUUUCUCGAAGGGGAGAGGAGUUUCGAAGGGUGGUAAGAGUUUGUUUGCAAUGGAAUCAAAGACAUUCGAAAUCCCCAUUGAAGGGAUUCGAGGCAACAGAUGGGAUUAUUCCGAAAAGGAACAAAGGCUUCUCCUCAUAGAUAAAAUUUGGUGAAAAGAGCUUCAGUUUUCUGUUGGAAGGGGUGGAAGACUAGUGCAGAGGAGAGUCAAGCUCGAGGCACCUUAAAGUUUAGGAAGAAGAAGGAAGAAAAUAUAGGUUGGAGUGUCGUUCAAAUGAAGCCGAUAGGUAUCUACUAUGCUCGAUGAGGGAUUUGGAAGCUAAGAGGUUUUGUCUAGUGUUUCCAGAAGGUAAAGGCUUAGUAGGAGGGUGGUUUCUGUUGGCUUAGAAGUUAAGGGCCCUUGGAGUUUCUACUCCAGCCUUGAGUAAAGGUGAUCUGGGUACUUCCAACUCUGAAAAGAAUGGUUAUAUGGCCAAAGGAAAAGAUAAAGGGAAAGGAGUGUAUGCAGAAGUCGUGAGAAAGGAGGUAGGGGAAUUAGGGGAUGCAUUGUGAGUGCAUGUUGGGGAUCGUGACCUGCUCAGUAGGGAAGAACAGCUUAGCCAUUGUUUAGUAGGAUGUUUUGGUGAUAGUGUAGAGGUCGUCCCUUCUUUGUCCUUAUUGAAGGAGUGGGCGUGUGAAAAGUGGUAUCUCAAGGGAGGUUUAUAAAUCUCCAAUUUGGGUGGAGCCCUUGUGUUGUUCGAAGUUGAAGAUAAAAGUUGAAGUGGAUUUGGUGCUUUUAAGGGGUAGUAGAUGUCUUAAGAAGAGAGAGUUUUUCCUGCAGAAAUGGGGACUUGAAGUUGGGUGUUUUAGAAAUGGGAGCCACCCUAAGGAAGUGUGGGUGAAAGUUGUCGGACUUCCACUUCACCUUUGGAGUAGAGAGGUGUUCAAGAGUAUUGGAGAAAGAUGUGGUGUUUCAUAGCUGUGGAUAAGGAAACUGCUUUCUCCUCCGAGUUGAUGUGGGCUCGUAUCUUGCUGAGAGCCUUUGGGAAGUUUAGACCAGGAACUUCACAAGUGGCAGUCGGGAAUUUUUGUUGGACGGUGAGUCUAUGGUGGAAAACUCCCCCAUGGUUCUCAAAGGUAGUGGCAAGGUUCGCCUAGUUUGAAAAUGAGAGACGAGAGAUCAGGGAUGAGGUUGGGGGUGAAACACGUGCCGAAGUUAGCGUGCAAUAUGUUCAAAAUUUUCAAAUUGAUAUGCAGUCUUGGGGGACAGGGGCGCAGGUUGUGUGUGGCAGAAGGAAAAGAAAGGAAGUAGUUGUAAUGGUUGCAAAGGGUAAGCUGCCUAGUGUAGCUGAUAUGGACUCUUCUUGCAGUGGGUCUGGGCCCAUAAAAGAAAAUGGGAAGGCUUUCAAAGGGAAUGGUUGUUUGGGCUUUAGUGGUGAAGUGGUUUGGGCCAAAGGCCCAUUGUCCGUUAGCCUUGAAGAGGCGAGCUUAGGUAAGUCUCCUAAGCCCACUUUUAAUAAGGCUGGCACAAGCUUUUUGGAGCGUCCCUCCUCAGCUAGGGCUCCAUCUAUUCCCGCAGGGGGUGUUGGGGGACGGAUGCGAAGCUCUUGGCUGUUGAAGUUGCAGUCACCGCGGAGUUGCUGCCACAUCGUCGGAGCGUCACUGACAAGGCUCUGAUGGAGGAGGCUUCCAGGUAUUAAGCUAUUCCCAAUUUUUCUUUGUUUUUAGGGCUUCGGGAAUCCUCUUCUUCUUCUCUCUGGGGCCACACCGAAGUUGUAGGGGUGUCGAAGGGGUUUGCUUAUGGAACGGAAUGGGAGUUGGGUCGGUUUCCACCGAGUGUGGUGCGGAAUAGAGCUGAGUCGACUUUAUGAGGCUGGAGUGAGCCUUCUUGGGACUCGGUUGACGCUAAGAGAGUGAAUGGGUUAGCACUUGUCCCGAUGAGGUCGGACUUUACGCGCCUUUUUGAGAAAAGGAGUGUCUGUCACCUAGAAGAAGGGGGAUGUGAUGAAGGGUAAGGGGGAUGUGAUGAAGGGUGGAGUUCAAGCCGUCUUGCGGUGUUCAGUCGCUGCUUGGGUAUGCCAACGAAAGGCUUCGAAAAGGAAAUUUUGUACUUCUUAAGGAGAAUGACAGGGAAAAUUGAGUAAAAGGGUAAGAGAGGGGUGACUAGGAAGACAAGUUUAAAAUCUUCAAAAUCCAACAAGGAACUCAAGAAGCUGGAGUGGACUGUUAAAGAGGCUAAUGAUAGGGGUAAAAGGAAGAUUAUCAAGUCAGUCAUUAAAUCCCAAAGAGUGGACCUGGUUUGUUUACAGGAAACUAAAAUUAAAGAAAUGACUACAGGGCUUGUUCGUAGUCUAGGGGUGGGAAGAAAUCUAAAAUGGAGAGCAGUCAAUCCUAGGGGAGCAGCUAGUGGUAUUCUGUUGUUCUGGGACAAUAGACUGGUGGAGCUGGUUGGCUAGGAAGAAGGGGUUUUCUCAAUUUGGCGUUGGUUUAAAAAUUGCAUGGAUGGUGUAGUGUGGGUGUUCACUGGAGUGUAUGGGCCAGUAUGCAAUAGAGAUAGAGAGGAUUUCUGGAAGGAACUAGGGUCAAUUAAAGGGUUAUGGAGUGACCCUUGGUGUGUAGGAGGGGAUUUCAAUUUGGUAAGGUUUCCAAAAGAGCGUAGUAGGAGAGGUGGGCUUAUUGCUUCAAUGAGGAGAUUCUCAAAAGUGAUAGAAGAUUUGGAGUUGAGGGAUUUUCCUUUGACGGGGGGCUCAUUUACUUGGAGAGGAGGCUUGAAUAACCAGGCCCAGUCUAGGCUUGACUGGUUCUUAUUGACGAACAACUGGGAUAAUCUGUUCAAUGGGGCCAUGCAGGGAAUUCUCCCCAGACCUGUCUCAGAUCAUUUCCCGAUCCUCCUAGGAGGAGGGUUGACGAAGGGACCUUCCCCUUUCAGAUUUGAGAAUAUGUGGUUGGAGGAGGAGGGUUUCAAAGACAAGAUGAAGACAUGGUGGGGGAGUUUAAAAUUUACGGGGACAUCCAACUACAUUUUAAAUGCUAAAUUGGGGACUCUUAAAAAUAUUCUGAAGAUUUGGAAUAAAGAAGAGUUUGGGCUCUAUUGGGAUGAAAAGAAGAAAUGUGCAGCUUUAAAUAUAAAAGAGUGUGAAGCAAGAAAUGGAGCAAGAGUCCUACAAGUCUUGGGUGACGAGAGAAGAGAUUUUUUGGAGACAAAAGUCUAGGAAGUUGUGGCUGAAGCGGGAGGGGGGACAAUAAUACUAGAUUUUUUCAUAGGUUGGCGAAUGCUCAUAAUAAAAGAAUCUAGUUGUCCAAGUUGAAAGUUAAUGGCUAUUGACACUCAGAGGAAAAUAAUUUAAAAAAGUGUGGUGGGGGCGUUUCAAAAACCAUACUCAAAAGAAGAGGGGUGGCGCCCUAGUAUCGACAGGUCGUCCUUUAUAGGUUAGAUAGAAGUGAGGCUGAGGGGUUGGAGAAUCCUUUCUCGGAGGAAGUGGUGUUUGCAGCUCUUUCAGAUCUAAGCAAAUACAAAGCCCUAGGGCCGCAUGGUUUUACCAUGGCAUUUUGGUUUUUUUGGUGGGAUGUGGUGAAGGUUGAGAUUAUAGGCUUUUUUAGAGAAUUUCAUGAAAGGGGUAGAUUUGUAAAAUCUCUAAAUGUCACCAUCUUGGGUUUAGUCCGUAAGAAGGGAGGUGCUCAAGAUUUGAAGGAUUUCAGACCGAUUAGCCUUGUGGAGCCUUUACAAGUUGUUGGCCAAGUGUUGCCAAAUAGAAUCAAGAAGGUAAUGGGAAAAGUGAUUUCGGAACCCAAAAUGCCUUUGUGAAGGGUAGAUAAAUACUUGAUGCAGUUUUGAUUGCAAAUGAGGCUACGAAUUCUAGGUUGAAAAGCAGUCAAGGGGGUAUGAUGUGCAAAUUGGAUAUAGAGAAGGCCUAUGAUCAUGUCUGCUAAAAGUUCGUGUUGGCAAUGCUAAAAAAAAUAGGCUUUGGUGAGAGAUGGAUUAAGUGGAUGGAGUGGUGUAUCUCUAUUAUAAGAUUCUCUGUUCUUAUAGAUGGUUCUCCCUCCGGGUUUUUCCAAAGUUCAAGGGGUUUGAGACAAAGAGACCCCUUAUCCCCUUAUCUGUUUGUGAUAGUUAUUGAGGUAUUUAGUUGCUUAUUGAGAAGGGCCAUUAGUGGGGGCUUUAUAUUAGGGUGGAGGAUAAGAGGCAGGGUGGAGAGGGGAUUCUGAUAUCUCACUUGCUUUUUGCGGAUGACACCUUGGUGUUUUGUGAGGAGUCUCAGGAUCAAUUGACGCAUCUAAGCUGGCUUCCCAUGUGGUUUGAGGCUUGCUCAUGGUUGAGAGCUAACUUGGAGAAGAGUGAGCUUAUUCCGAUGGGGAGGGUAAAAGAUAUAGAAUAUUUGGCUUUGGAAUUGGGCUAUAAAGUGGGUGGUCUGCCUUCCUGUUAUUUGGGUCUGCCUUUAGGGGCACCCUUCAAAUCAGAGGUGGUAUGGGAUAGUGUUGAAGAGAGGUUUCGAAAAAGGCUAACUAUAUGGAAGAGACAACAUAUAUCAAAAGGGGGAAGACUCACCCUAAUAUGAAGCACUCUCUAGUUUGCCAGUUUACUUCAUGUCUCUCUUCUUUUUGCCCAAAAAAGUAAGGCUAAGGUUGGAGAAGAUUCAGAGGGACUUCCUGUGGGGAAGAGGAGCUCUUGAACAAAGGUCACAUCUUGUUAGGUGGAACUUGGUUUGUCUGGAAAGAAAGAAAAGUGAUUUGGGUGUGAGAAAUUUAGCUUUGAUGAAUAAAGCUCUCUUGGGUAAGUGGAAUUGGCGCUUUGCCAUUGAAAGUGAGGCUUUGUGGAAGCAAGCGAUCGGUCACAAAUAUGAUGUAAAGGAGGGGGGAUGGUGUACUCGGGCCGUAAGUGGGAGGCAUGGUGUAGGGCUUUGGAAAGCUAUUAGAAAGGAGUGGUUGGGUAUGUAUAGAAGUUUAGUCUAUCGCGUGGGCAGUGGUAGGAAAGUGAGAUCCUGGAAGGAUAAGUAGUAUGGAGAUGAGCCUCUUUAGGAGUCCUUCCCUUCUUUAUUUGCCAUUUCCUUGGCUAAAGAUGUUUGGGUAUCAGAUGUGUGGAAACCAGAUGGUGUAGAGGAUGGUUGGACCCCUCUUUUCUCAAGGGCGCUUAAUGAUUGGGAGAUUGAGAUGGUGGAGCAGUUUAUGCUAAAAAUCCAAGCCUUUAGGGUGUAAAGGGAGGACGAGGAUACAGUGGUAUGGACAGCAUCUAAAAGUGGAGGACUAGUAUUUGGAGAGCGUAUGUGCCUCCUAAGGUAACUUUCUUCGCUUGGGAAAGCAUCCUGAGGCAAAAUCUUAACUUUGGAGCAACUCCAUUGAAAGGGGUACUCUUUGGCAAAUAGAUGUUUUCUUUGCCUUUCUGAAGCAGAAAGGGUGGAUCACCUUUUACUUCAUUGUGUUAAGACACGGGCAUUGUGGAAUCUUCUUUUUUCCCUCUUUGGUGUGACUUGGGUUCUCUCUGGUUUAGUUAAGGAAACUCUCCUUGGUUGGCAUGGAGCAUUUGUGGGAAAAACCCGUAAAAAGGCGUGGCAAAUGAAUCAUUUAUCUAUAUUUUGGUCAAUAUGGAAGGAAAGAAAUUUAUUGGCUUUUGGGAAUGAGGUGUUUUCACUCCAAAGGUUGAAACAUUCUUUUGUAUGUAAUUUUUGAUCUUGGGUUAGGGUGUUUAUAGUUUUGAGCCCUUGUUCUCUUGUUAGCUUUUUUGAGUGGCUAGGCUCUAAGUAAGGGUAGGGGUUGUCGUUUCUUUCCCCUUUCUUGGUUUAGAGUAUGUGGGUUGCUUUUGUAUACUCCCUGUAUACUUAGAGGGCACUAGUUUGGUGUUUCCUCUUUUUGUUUAAUAUAUUUCUUUUUACCUAUCAAAAAAAAAAAAAAAAAACUAUUUUUGAGAACUUUUUUCAAUAACCGUUUUUUAAGAUUUAUUUUCAAAAAAAAUUCCUAAACAAAGCCUUAACCUUCAAGGAUCUAAAACUUUGCACUAAGUUUGGUGUUUUAUUGUUGGAUUUUCUUAGUCUUGCAAGCUUUAUGAUGAUCUUGCAAUAUUUUCUUUAAUUUACUAUUCAUUUUACCUGAGCAUUAAGUUUGGCUAAGUAUUGAAGAAUAACCUUGGCAUACAUUCAACUUCUUUUAUGGACAAAGGAAUGGAGCUAGAUCAGACUUUCUUUAAAUUUAGUCAAUUCUGAUUUACGUGACUCAUAAUCAGAUUGUAAAACAUUCAAAUUUUUUAACAAGGUACCUUGCUCAUUUUCAAGGUAAGAGAUUUUUUUCAAGCAAGGAAGUCUUCUCUCAUACUUCUUUUAUUCUCAUCCAACUUUCACAAUUUUAAUCUUAAGGCUUCCUUGGCAAUCUCAAAAGACAACUUUUCUUCCAAAUAUGUUGUAUCAUGAGAUGAACCUUCAAAAUUUUCAGAUUCAAGAUCAGUUUCAAAUUUAACAUUUUUCUUUUCAUUGCAAAGUGAUAUAGAAGGUAACAAGUAUAUCAACAAUUUCGUCAGGCUCAUCAUGCUCAAAAGACACAAAUAUCAUCAAUGUCAUGUGACAAUAAAUCAUAAUUAUGUUUAUGCAUGUUUCUAGCAACUUAAUGCAAUGAAAUUUGUACAUUCUUCAUCAAAAUCAUACCAAAUUACUUCUAUGACUUUAUCCUUUUGACAUUCAAGAAAGUGACCUUUCUUGACACAAUAGAAACUUUGAAUCAACUAGAUCUUUUUUGUGCUUUUUAAUCUUUUUAUCACAUUUCUUUUCCCUUGUUUAAUCAAAUAGGUUAUCCUUUGUUUCUGGAAGCUUUUUGAACUUUUUGAAACUUUAUCAAGCCUAUAAAUUUCCAAUAUUGGUCCUUUUUUAUUCCUAUUCUGAUUUAGAAGCAUGUUUAUCUACUCCUAGUGCAAUAUUAAUGUUUCUUUUUCUUAGGAACACUUGGAGUCAUCUCCAAUUGAAGGAAGCCAACUAUCUCAUCUGGCUUUAUUGAAUCAACAGUGUUCCAUUCCUCUAUUGUUAUGACCUUAGGUCUAAAACGAUCAAAGGGGAUCUUAACAGUUUUUCGAGUAACCUUGGAAUCAGGUAGAGGCCUACAUAGAUUGAAAGUUAGCAUUCACAAUGUCCAUGAUUUCAAUAAUAUAUUAAGAAAAUAAUUUUGUUGUGAUCAUUUGAAAUUCAUUACUUCACCUAUCCCAACUUUACAUAGUUUUACCUACCCUAGUGGAUAUACAUCCAAUCUCUAUUUAGCACCUUAUCAGGAUAUCAACAAAAUUGAACAGAACUCCAAUCUCUAUUAGACUUCAUUUUCAAGAAGUAUAUCAGUUGCACCUUGGAGUGAGUAUAAUUAUCUCCUUUGAAGUAUGGAGGUCUACCUAUAGAGGUUCCUUCUCAGAGAAUUUCCAUCUUAAGAGAAUAUAGUUUAUCCAUAUUGAGAACAUGAGCAAACAUGUUUUGACACAAUUUAUGAGUUUUUAAGAGAGUAUGCAAUGAACUUGAGAUCUCUUUUAGAUUAUCAAAUAACAUAUGCACAUGAAUGUGAUUGCGUGAUUAGCACAAGGUCAUAGACUAAAAUGUCUCUAAUGAAAUCUCAGCAAACAAGCACACAAAUAUUGCACAAGAUAUAACAUGAAAAAUCUCUAAGUGGAGAAAGGAAAAUAAAUAAAUAAAUAACAGUGGGUGCCUUUGUUGUUGCAAAUCCACUAUGAAUAUAAAUCCAGUUUUGCCUACAAGUCCUCCAAGAUCAAUCACCAAUCCCCUUAAGGAAUCCUCAAAGUGAUUAUUUCUUCAAUCCACACCUCGUUUUGAUAUGCUUCAAUACGGCUCAUCAUGUACUCACCACCAAUCUCUCACCAUAGCCUCCUUCAACUCUCUUCAAUUACCACGAGUUUUCUUCUGCUCUACUAAUUACAUUACAACAGAAUCACCUUCAUUAUCUCAUUGAAGUGAUCUCCAAAAACUAGAAAACAAAAAUUCCAUUUGCAAAGCAACUUCUUCAUAUAGAUUCAGAGAACCAAAAUAAGAAGAUGUUUUCACUUGUAGCAACAUCUUCAUGUAGAUUCAGAGAACUCAAAUUGUAACUUCAAAUUCACUCUUAGAAUCUCAAUUAAGGUAAAGCUCACAUUUCAAAAUCUCCCACCAAGAGUUUCACUUACUCUUCCUUUUUGAAAUGAGAGUAGAACCAACUUAGUGCCAAGGGACAUAAGGCACACUCUUAUUGGCCUAUUGUCAUGCAAAUUUCUAGGUGGAGGAGAAUCCAACUAACUAAACAAAUGUUUUUUCGCUUCUGGCCAUUUGUUUCUAUGGUCUAGAAAAAUAUGUCCUAGAUGAUUCCCAUUGUUUCAACUCUUUCAUGAAAAAUGCUUCUCAAAUCACUCACUCCAGUCUUUCAUUCACAUUACCUGUGAACUCCAAUCUGCAGUAGUGAAAUCCUAUCAAAAGACUUGGAUUGAGUUCCUGGUUCUCGGUUGCCUAGCUCUAGCAAACCAGGACUUCUGUUAGCAACCUGGAACAAGUAGCUUAUCCUUUCAAUCCCAUUUUCAAGCUCAAUUCCCUCCACCAGUGAAAACAAAUGGUCUUAUAUAAUCAACUCCAUUCACUCCAGGGCUAUACAGGAAACACUUGUGAGCUGGCAGGCAGUAGCUCCUCCCGACUCACCAUAUUUCCAACCCCAUUUGCUCCAUCAAAUUCAUAAGAAGCUAACAAAAUAACUAGCAUUAUAUAUCAUACAAUAUCUAUGCUAGUUAAUUUACAUGGAAAAUGCAAUUUCUACCCUAAAUAUGCCAACAUACAGGAAUACAUACAAUUUAUACAAACAUUGCACGCUAACACAAGAAAAUCAUACCUGACUUGCUGAUUUGAGGCAAUUCACCAGAGAAUGCAUAGGUGGCAAUGAGAUCCCAAUUGAGCUGUGACAAUCUAACAGUCGCAGACUUGAAGGAAGCUCUGGAAUUUGUGAAAGCUUCUUGCAGUGACUCAAGUCAAGGGCUCUAAGGUUAGAGAGUUGACUGAUACCCACAAGUAUGUCACUGAGGGUUCCUCCUUCCUCUGGACUGCACCGACUUAGAUUUAAUACUUCCAGUGAGGAUAGAUGGAAAAUACAAUGGAACACUCCUCCAUUUAGAAUGCAAUUUCCUAGACUAAAUUCUUUCAAUGCGUUCAAGCAGUUAUCACUCUUUAUUACUCCUGGUGUUAGAUUGCAUUGAUCUAAAUAUAGUUCCCUUAAGAGAGAUAAACCUGACAGAGAAGGCAAUUGACAACUAAGCGAAUUUAAAUAAAGAACCUCUAGACAUGGCAUUCUCUCCAAGUCCUCCGGCAAUCUGUCAAGUUUUGAGCAGCCUUCAAGACUUAGAACAACAAGAAAUCUCAAAUUACAAAUGCUGUUCGGGAGACCCUCAAGGUUUUUACAAUUAUCCAAAUUCAAGUAGCGAAGGCCUUCUAGAAGUUCAAUCGAUGAUGGUAGCUCUUUUAUAGCUGUUUCAUCUAAACAAAGCUCCUCUAGUUUUGCAAUAUUGCUCUUGAUUUUUGGAAAACUAGCUAGUUUUGAACAGCCAGUGCAAUGAAGAGUUAAAAGGUGUUUCGACUCAUGAAUGUCCCCAGGAAGACUCUCAAGGCUUACACACCCUAUAAAAUUCAAGGAAAAAAAAAGUUAGUUUAAUAACACUCUUAUAUGUGUGUGAACCUUAAGUAAAAUUAUACAACCUGAAAGAAUUAGUUCCUCCAAAUUUGGCACGUUUGAGAAAUUUGGUAGCUCAAUGAGUUGUUGUGAAUCGCUGAGAUUGAUGCGCCUUAAAUUUCUAAGACACUGGAACAAAAUAGAAUUUCUAUUAAUAAAUCAAUUUUAAAAAACUUUAAAAUAUUAUAAAAUAAAAGCACAAAUAAAUAAUAAUCAUACCAUGUUUCCUUUCCAAAGUAGUUUUAUGUUACUAUUGCCCAAUAUGAGGGAAACAAGAUUGUUCGCAUGAAAGUUUGAUGGUAGAGAUUCUAAAGAAUAUCCAUUCCAUCUAAGGUAUGUCAAGUCAUACGGAAAUACAAAAUCUUUAGAGAGUUGUACGUGAUUGUGGGAGAUGGAAAGCAAUCUAAGUCUAUGCAUCCUUUCGAAAGCUUUGGAUGUAAACUGUAUUUGUUCUGAUUUGUCCACAUGAAGAUAUAUCCCUUCGAUUUUUUCAGUCCCCUAGAUAAUAAGAGUAUAAAAUUAGAAAAGCGCAAUAAAUAUAAAUCCUUACUAAGGUGAUAAAGAUAAAUAACGUCUUGAACAAAACAUAUUUUCUAUAUAUAUAUAUCUUACCGUAUUUCUUUUUAAUACUCGAUAAAUAUCUAUAUGUCUCCAUAAUCUGCUCCUCUCUCCUGGCUCAUUAGGACAUUCUUGAUCAACAAUGCCCUUGCCCAUUUGGGCUAACAAAUCAUGCAUAUCUAUUCUGUUGUCCUUUGAAAUGGUUAUGAAACACCUAUCAACGAGAGCAUUUAUUCCACUUUCCGCAUUGAAUUCGGAAGCAUCCAAUAUUCUUGAAACUCUUUUCACAUCAUCUCCUCUAAAGAAACAUGCAAUGUCGAGAAAUAUCAUCCUUUGUGUAUAAUCCAAUCCAUCGAAACUUAUUUUAAGCACUUUUACAAUUUCCAUGUUAGGCACCUUUUCCAGCUUCUGCAAUUCACUUUUCCAAUCUGGUAGUCUCUUUCCAAAUAAUAGAGAACCCAAAACUUUAAGUGCUAAUGGAAGACCAUCAGCAUAUUGUACUACUUGAUGAGAGAGAUCUCCAUAACCUUCCUUCGGAUGAUGUUGUUUAAAGGCAUAACGGCAAAAAAGUUGAAGAGCUUCGUGAAAAUAUAAUUUCUCAACUUCAUACAUAUCAUUUACUUCAUGCCUAGUUAGCAAAUCUUUUUUCCUAGUAGUAAUGAUGAUUCUGCUUCCUGGACCAAACCAAUCAUGCUUUCCAAUUAAGUGUUCUAAUUGUGUCAGCUCAUCUACAUCAUCCAGAAAAACAAGAACCUUUUUUGAGGAAAGCUUGUCCCUUAUUUCUUUGAUACCUUCAUGAACAUCCCUUAAAACUAUUUUCCUCGUUGUCCUUAGAGUAUCAUUAAGAAGUUGUUGUUGUAACUUAAGAAGACCAGAAUUUUCUGUGGAUUCUUUUCUGACAUCUGUGAGCAAGCUAACACUUUCGAAUUGAUUUGAGAUUCGGUUAUAAAGAGCAUUGAUGAUGGUGGUCUUGCCGAUACCACCAAGCCCAUAAACCCCGACCAUGCGAACAUCAUUCAACUCAAUCUUUAACAAUGAUAUUAGUCUUUCCAAACGAGAAUCCAUUCCAACAAUGUUCUCGUUAACAACUAAAGUCUUAGGGAAGCUUCUAAGGACGUUCUCAAUAAUUUCAUCAAUAAGCUCUGAUUCGUACCUGCCAAUUGCAUUAGGAUGAGUUGCAAAAAACAAUAAAUUAUAUGAAAUAAAUUUAAUGAUGCCUAGUUUUCCAACUUUAACUUAAUAGGGCUAAAACGAAUUGAAAUUAAAAUAAAAUAAACCACAUCUAACAAAUUACGUAUCAGUACAAUUUCAUUAUUCUAUACAAUUGCUCAUGUAUAUGAUAGAAAUAAGGGAAGAAAAUACAAAAUAUGAAUUGGAUUAUCAAAAGCGGAAAAAAAAAAAAAAACUAAAAUAUUUUUGUGUUAGCUUAUACUAUUCAAUCUUGUGGAAGGUUCAAAAUAAAGUUGAGUUGUCUAGAACAUUACUACCCUAUUUUGAUAAGGGAUUCCAUCAUAGGAUCAACUGCUAGUCUGCAUCCAAGCUUUUUAAUCUAAUGAUUUUACUACUGAUUAGACGGUCAACAUUACUAUCUUCUAUACUUGCAAGACUUUCUCUCACCAUUUAUUUAGAUAAAUGUCUCUUGCUGUUCCAUAUGUUGUAUUUUGCAUUUAUUUUUGUCUCUAGCUGUAUGAACAAAAAUUUUUGAAAACCGUUUAAUUAAAAAAUAACUUUCAUGAAUUAAUUAAAAAUAUUUUAUUUAUAAUUUUAAUUCUAUUGCAUGAAUGAAUUAAGAAAACAAAUUUACAUCAAUUUUAACCUAAAAUAAUUUAGUAUAUUCUUUAUGAAUCAAUAAAAUAGAAUUUUGUUUUUAAGAAAUUGUAAUAUUAUGGUAUCAAGUUUAAAAUUUUAAUGAACAGAUCUUUAUUUUAUAAAUAAUAAAAAUGAAUAAAAAAUUAUAAAAGUUUAAAACUCACUUAGCUUUAAAAAUUAUAAAAAUGAUAUAAAUAUUUUUUAUAUCAGCAGACAGAGAAAAGGAGAGUACUUCAAAUGACAAAUGAAGAGAAGUUACAAUUACCUGUUCGUCGCAUCAUAUCCGGCUAGAUUGCUUGCUUGCCUCAGGGCAGUCUUCCAUUUCCUUAUCUUUUCCUUUCUCUCCUCCUCUGCAUUCUUCUCAUGAUGGGUAAAUGCUUCUCCGUAAAUCUCAGUUUGGUUCCGCACUUCAGACGGAUCCACAUGAUAGAAAAUUGGGAUAACUACCAUUUGUUCCCUUUCCUCUUUGCAUUUCAUGAUCUUGACAAGCUCUUCCAGACACCAUUUGGAACGAGCAUAGGUUUCUGAGAAGACAACAAUGGCACUCCUUGAUUCCUCAAUAGCUUUUAAGAGCUCUGGUGCAAUCUCUUCACCCCUUCGAAGUUCUUCAUCAUCUCUAAAGGUUCUAAUACCGCUAUGAAUCAAAGCCUUGUAGAGAUGAUCAGUGAAGUUUCUGCGAGUAUCUUCACCUCUAAAACUCAAAAACACAUCGUAACUCCAUUGAGAAUGGGAAGUGGAAGAAGAAGAGGCCAUGGUUGAACAGAAAUUGAAAGAAAAAUAAGGGUCUUUGGGUAUUUAGUGGGUUGAUUCCCUUGGCCUUAUAGAAGUAUGGAUGUUGGUGGUGGGAUGUUGCCUUUUCUUUCUCAAUUGUUUUUAUUCUUAGCUGUAUCCCUCUUGCUGGUUCACAUGACUCAAGACCCUACCUCAAUUAUUUCCCUCCACUCUUUUCUUAUACAUUUUACUCUCACUUUUCUCUUGUUGACAGUCAACAAUGGCCGACAGUCUCGUCUCUGCAGUUUACAGCUGUUCUUUUCUUUUAUUUCCAAUUAAUUUCUAAAAUAUAAAAAAUGAUCAAAUCCAUGUGAUCUUUACUUAGGUCAUAAGAUCGUGUGAACGCACAUUAAAUUAAAGUUAUUCAAUUAAUUUUUGUCUUUUGCAUAAUGAGCAAUAUUAUAGUAGAAAAUAAAGGUUUAUUAUGUUGAUAUGUCAAGUAAAGCUAACAACUUUGGUAUUAUAAGCUUGAUUUUUGUAGAUAGAAAAAUAUGAGAAGUCAUAUGACAAAAGGCAAAGAAAAUUUUGAUCAUGAAAAGUAGAAAAAAGCACAAAACCUUCAUGAAAUUCUAAUUCUAAGGAAGAAAGACCAUGCUCAAAACUCGAAAUUUAAAUUCUCACAAUCUUUUCAUAUUUUGCAGAUAGGUUUAUUAUUAAUAGAAGCACAUAAAUAAAUAUUGUACUUAAAUCCCACUAAUUUAUAGGUCAUUAUGGUAUAUGUAGGUCAUCAUAGUAAUGAGUGGGAAGGUGGGUACCUUUAAAAAGAAUAAGCUAAACCAAUCACCCUAAAUUUCAAAAGCACCUUUAUCAUAAAAGUGUGGUAAUGAGAGUGGAUAUCUUUUAAAAGAAUAGACAACCCUGAAUUUCAAAAAAAUGUCUGUUUCUUGGCGAUUGUAUCCCAACAGUCUUAUCUUUUUUUACUUUAUAUCUUUUUAUUAUUAUUAUCGUGAGGAUGGUUAAAGAUGAUGCUAGAAGUUUUUCUAUGGUUUAAAAAGAAAAAAUGUGAGUGUUAAGUUGGCAUUUUUGUCUUUUUAGAAAAUACUUCAUUUUAAGAUCAUUAAUAGAAGAAAUAAAGAGUUCAUAAAAAAUAAAGAAAUUUUUAUUGACUGAUCUAGGUAACCAUUUCAUGGCUUUUAAUUGUAACUUUGUUGAAAAUCUUACUCCUUCCUCCUUGUCUUCCUCUUGUUAUUCAAAAGUUUCAACUCCUUUUUUUUUUAAAUAAUAAUAUUGAUUUUAUGUUUUAAUGAAAUAAGUUGCAAAUUUGAAGAAAACAUAUUCUAAUGUAUUUAUUGAUUAUGGUCCUCUUUUCAAAAGGGUUAUCGUUAUUUACAUUCUCGAACUAAUCAAGUUUACAUCUCUAAAUAUGUAAUCUUUGAUAAGUUUGAGUUUUCUUUUACUAACAAAACUUCUCCCGUAUCUUUCUUGUAGGAACAAAGUCAAAUGACCAUAUUUUGAGAUUCUUAUCAACAGUUACAACCAUUCAAUCCAAACACCAACUCAACCCACAACUUCACUUCCACCAAACAACCUUUCAAACUAUCGUAAUAAUGUAGAUCUUCUAUUUUAUUUUUUUUAACACAUCUCAUCUAAAAUUGUCUUCUUACAUCCUUUAACACCUUAUUAUGCACUUAUGGUUAUUUUUCUAAGCUAUUUUUCUAAAAUUGUCUUCUAUUCAUUGUGAUUAUGUUGAUUACUAAUUAUUUUAUUUUAUUUUAUGCAAGAGACAUUCUGAAGGGAUUAGAUGCAUUCCAAUAUUGAUUUUAAUGAUUUUUAAAUCUUAAUUUAGGACUUUAUUUUUUAUUGAUUUAUAACAUAUUUAAGUUUGUUUAAAAUUUUCAAACUUUAAUUUUUAUAAAAUAGAUUCAAGUUUUGAAUUAAUUAAUAAUUGAUUUCAUUCUCUUUAAAGUGUAGAAUAUGAUAAAAGGCGUGUAACAAAUUCAAACAAAUCAUUAUACAAGUGAGAAUUUAGGUCAUCCAAUCAUUUUAUUAAAAAUCACUCUAUAAAUUAUAAAAAUAAAGAUAUUAAUCACAUCUAUUAAUAUGUUUUUUUUUAAAUUGACAAAUCAUAAUGAAAUUAUAAUCUUUUUAAUAUUUUAUUAAUUAUAAAUUAAAACGUCAUUAUAAUUAUUCAAUCCCCACGGAAUAUAAAAUGAGUUAUUUUUAAUAAUAAUAACUAAUCAUAUUUGAAUAACAUUUCAUCAAUUAUAUAUAAAAAUAAAGUUUUAUGUUUAUCAUAACCUAUGUUUUAAAUUAAACAAAAUAAUAAAAGUUACAUUUCCAUUUAAAUGUAUUUACAUAUCUACCUCCAUAGCCCAUGGUAUUAAAAUAAUCUAAUAAAACACAGUAUCCCAUAACCGGUCAACAGCACAGCUGCUCCUAGCCUUAGCCCCUUGCAGCUGCAAUCAGCUGUUCCACUCUCUGUUACAGUCCAGCUUUGGCCGCCCAAGACAUACAUCUUUUCACCCAUCACCCAUUUACCCCUGCCACAGCUAUUUUUUACCUUUGAGCUGCCCAAAGUCACACCAAACUAGCUGAUAAACCAUACCUUACAACCUGCAAACCAUCUCCUCAGCCAUCCCUAAUAGCCCACUGCCAGCCCUUUGUAAGAGUCACACCAAAGCCAAAUUUUUUUUAUUAUUAUUUUUAAUCAACUCCAGCACAGCCUCGUCAGACCGCCGAGCCUCCUGAUCUCAUCUCCAAACACGUUCUGCAGCUGAAUCCUUUGCCUUUAUGAAGUUUGGAUGCUGGUGGUGGGAUGUGCUUUUCCUUUCUCAAUUAUUUCUGCUUAGCUGUAUCCCUCUAGCUUUGAACUUUCACUUUUGUCCCUUUUGGCAGUCAACAAUGGCCGACAGUCUUGCCUCUGCGAUUUACAGCUGAUCUUUUCUUUUAGGGAGAGUUGGGAUUACUGGCUGUUAUACGAGAAAUACAUGGUUUUCAAAACCAUAUAACUGAAAUAUGAUUUACCUGAGAAAAAUUGUGAGAGUUGAGUUGUCAUUUUCGCCAUUUUAUAAAAGACUUAAUUUUAAGACCGUUAGUACGUAGAAAUAGGGGUCUCUAAAAAGCCCGCGGCCCGCUUUAGGCCCGGCCCGGCCCGGCCCGACGGGCUAAAGCCCGGCCCAAGCCCGCCGGGCCCAAGCCCGGCCCGAGCCCAUUUAUGGGCGGGCCGGGCCGCGGGCCUAAAUUUAGGCCCGGCCGUUGGAGACCCUUGCGUAGAAAUAACAAGUUCACAAGAACGAAAGAGACCUUUGUUGACUGACCUAGGUAACCCCUUUCAUGGCUUUUUCACUUGUUUGUUUUUGGAUUUUCUUUAAUGAGGCUAGGUGAUUGUUGUUUAUUUUGACUUAUAUUUUAGAUGGAUUUCAUUUUUAAUAAGAGUUUUUCAUGGUAAAAAUUGAUGUGAUACAAAUUUUUAUUGAUAUUAAUAUCAUUUUAUCAUAAAUUAUUUAGAGUAUAGAUAUAAAUAAAAUAUCAAUACCAUAGGAAAUGUUAAAAUAAAGUUAGGUGCAUAUGCAAAAAAUAAAAUUUGAAAAAUAGAAUAGUCCAGUCCAACCAUAUCCACACAUCCAUCUUCCUAUAAAUUAAACUAAUGAUAGAUACAUAAGUCAAAAAUAAGAUUUGAAAAAGAGUAUAAUCCAAUUCAACUACCCACCUUCCAAUAAAUUAAACUCAAAAUGGGCACAUAUUCCAAAAAUAAAUUUUGAAAAAUAAAAUAGUCCAAACCAACUUUAUCAACAUGUCCAUCUUCCAAUAAAUUAAAUUGGAAAUGAGUCGGCAUGUGAUAAAAUAAAUGUCAAUUUCCAUUUUACUUAUAUUAAAUUCACUUAUAUAUUUAUAUCGAAAAUUAUCCUUUGAAUCUUUCUAGAAACAUUAGAUUUUAAGGAAAUCAUGCAAGUAUACUUUUCUUAUUAUCAAUUUAAAAUAUAAAAUCCUUCCAUAGUUAUUUAUUAAAGUUCUACAAAGAAAAUUAAGAAAAUAAGGAUUUGGUAGGUAAUUAUGUUUAAAAAUAAUUUUCUAUUUUUUAUAGUAGAAAACCAGGUUCUAACUUUUUUUUUUUUAAAAAAAAAAAACACAUUAGACAAAUUUCGACCAAGAAGAAUUUCUUCAAAAUUUGCUCUAGAUACAUGUUAUUUUAAAAACAUGAUUUUGACAUAUUUUCAAAUAUUGUUUGUAUAGUUUUUGAGCAAAAAAUGAAAAGAUGGAGAAUACUCCAAAAACUUUGCAAAUGAAAAUACUAUGUUUUAUAUUUAUGUUUUCAAAUACAAUUUUGCAAAUGAAAUAUUUGAGAAUGUUCUUAAAAAUUAUUUUUUAAGAAGUGCUUUUGAAAACUUGGCUAAACAUGACCUAAAUAUCCUAAACAUGAAAGAUACAAGAAUGCAAGAAAAACAUUUUCAAUAAUUUUAUUUUAUUUAUUAUAUUAAAGAGUAACAUUAAUGUUUCAUUAUGAAGUUAAAAUGUUUCAUUCAAUCAAAAUUUAUUCUGCUAGUUUUCAAGGAAAGCAUUAUUUAUCAAGAUGCUUGCCUUAGUUGUUUUGUAUUUUAUAUUUUUCUUUGAUUGGGAUUGGUGAGAAUUGUCCUAAAUAUAGAUUUUAUUUUGAAUAAUUUCUAAAUUAGACUUGUAAAAAAUAAGAAAAAGUAUCUAGUAAUUCAUUGUUACACAUGAAUGUUGCAACUUGGUAAAAUUUAUGAUAUUUAUCACUAGGAAAUUUUGCUUAUAGAUAUAAAUAAAAUGGUAACAUCUAUCACAAGGAAAGGUUGGGAAGGAAGCAAACAUAUUAAUAGGUGAAACAAGAAAAAGAAAAAUAAUAAUAAUAAAUGAUAAAAAAAGGUAAGGGAAUUCAGAGUCAUGAGUUGGUACUCUAUAUUAUUUAAAGUGAUUAUAAUUUAGGGUACAAAUUUCUUUAGAAAUAAAUAACGUAAAUAGAUUCUAAAAAAGAUUAUGUAAAAUUAUCAUUUCUUAAAAAAGAGAAGAAGGUAUUUUCUUUAUUUUUAAACAUUUAUUAAUUUUUAAUACUAAUACAAUAUUAAAUCUAAUGAGAAGACCUCCUUUAAUCUUCUCACUUUAUUCAUUGAAGUCUUUUUAAAUAAUUUGAGAAAGUAAUUUUAAAUCCAAUUACAUGGUGAAGAUCAAGGUAAUAGUUAGAAUAAAACUACAAAUAACAUGGUCAAGAUCAAGGUGGGUGUGUGUGUGACAAUCUUAUAUACUUUUUUGGAAGUAUGAAAAGAGUAAUGAAAUCAUGUACCUAAUAAAAAGUAAAGAAAACUUUAAUUCUACUGGAGGAAGCAAACACUAAACUUCCUUAAGAAAAUGGUAAUGUUGAAUUAAAUAACUUGCAUUGACGAACAUUAUGGUCCUUAUUCUAAAUUAUUUCAUUUCUUUUAUUGUGUCUCCAUUCAUUUAACAUGAUUUUUGAAAGUAUAAAAAGAGUAAUAUAAGUUACGUACCUAACAAAAUUAAAAAAAAGUACUUUAAUUUAAAUAGGGAAUGAGACAUGAAACUUCCUUGAAAAAAUGGCAAUGUUGAAAAGUUAAUAAAGUAGUUUAAAUUUUCAACUUGUUACAUUAGAUAACUUGCAUUAAAGGACAAUAUGUAUCUUAGAAAUAGAAAGUUUUGAAGUGAAACAUCUAAACAUGUAGGAACAUUAAACAAUGCCUUGGUCAAAAAAGGAAAACGCAUAGGAACAUAUAUCAAAUAAUAUCUUGGUCAAAAAGAAUAAUGCUUUAGUAAAAAAUGGAAAAUGCAUAGGAACAUUAAAUAAGACAAUAUCACAUAGGGUUUAGGUAAGACAAUUCUCUAAUCCCUUAUCCUUGUUGGCUCAUACACUUGUUGAACCUCUUUGAUACGAAAAUAAUCCAAAUGACUCAUAAAAUAUAGUGUUUAUAUGGAUGCUAUUAAGAUAUAAAUUAGGCUACAAUGAAAGUUAAUUAUAACUUUAAUGUUGGAGGGAAUAAGCAAUUUUUUGUGAGAAAGGGCAACACCUAGAAAGUCAAUAAGAUUAAUUAUCUUAAUAAUGGAAAAAAAGUUCAUUCUUAUGAAUCCUCAAAGUGAAUCAAAGAGACAAACUUCAAUUUUGAAGUGAACAUAAUUAUUAUUUUUUUGUUUCUUUGUUAAAUAAUUAGUAAUACUUAAUUUAUCGAUCGUGUAAGAAUCAAAGAAGAAUAGCUACUAUUCAUGCAAUGGGUCUCAUCUUAUUGUAACAAAACUUAUGAUUAUUUUUCUUCCAUGUAUUGGAAGUUACUAUAAAUUCAUUUCCCACUUGUUAUGUGACUUAGGUAUCAAAUAGAGCCCACUAGAUAAAAUUUCUCUCAAGGUAUUUCCACAUCAAAUUUCUUUAUUUUAAACAUGUUUAUGGAUGUAAGUUUGCAUUGAAUAAAUUUCAAGUAUUAAUGUAGACUAACAAUAUUUAAAUAAAAAUGAUAAUAUAUUUAAAUUUUUAAUAAAAAUUGAGUUGAAUUUUUCAACCAACAUUUGAUUUCCUUCCACUCACCUAAUGUUGGCAUUAAAAUGCAUUAAUAUAUAUAUAUAUAUAUAUAUAUAUAUAUAUAUAUAUAGAUAUAUAAAUAUAUAAUCAUUGUCUUGGGAACUUUUUCUUCGGUGCUUAUCCUCAAACCUUCUUAAAAAAAAUAAGAUUGAUUCUUGUUGUGCUCACCUAAUGCUUGCAUUAAAAUACUAUAAACUUUUUUUUUGUGAGCUUAUCCUUACACCUUAGAAAACAAGAUUGAUUCUCGUUGAUAAGAAGAUAAGAACAAAAACUUCUAAUAAAUUAUAUUUGGUAUAUUGGUAAUUUAAUGGGAAAAGACCUUAAAUUUUGUAAAUGUAAAAGGAUAAUAUAGUUGGACGACACAUUUAUACAAAUAUAUGAUUGGAUUUUAAUUUUGUAACUUAAUUAAUUAAGAAAAUAAAACCUUUGGGCUAUUUAAAUAUAAUUGGAUUUUAAUUUUUAGUUUGGGUUAAAGUUACAAAAGAAAAAAAAAUGACCCAAAUAAAUUAAUUGGGCAUUUAUAUUUAAACAAUUAGUCUUUAGAAUUAAUAUUUAAUUGGAUUGAAAAAAAAAAAAAAAAAGAUAAUAAAGGGAGUAGAAUGGUCUUUUCCCAUUAGAAACCUAGGUAUAAAUAUUCACCACCCUUCUUUACAAAAGUCUUUUGCAUAGAGAGAAAAUGUGGGGUUUGAAAUCAAUCUUUUAAAGCAAACAUAUAUAGAUUCAAUAUUUAGUUUCAUUUUUAAUGGUCAUAAAAAAAUAAAUAAUCUAGAAUCAUAUCAUGAUAAUUAUUAAAUAUGAUUAAUUUUUAUGAGAAAAUUAAAAAACACAUAAUUCUAAUUAAUUAUAUAGUCAAAUACCAUUAACCAUUCUUAGUUAAAAAUUUAAAGUCUUUUUCCAUUUGCAUUGGACAUUACUAUUAAUAGAUGCAUAUCCAUGAAUAUUGUACUUAGUAAUAUUUCUUUUAGAAUUAAAUCCCAUUAAGAUUAUAUUGCAUUGUGAUGUAUAUGAGUUGCACCUUCAAUUAUUUUUAUUUAACUUUGGUUCUCAGAAAAUAUUAAGGAAAAAAAAGAUAUUAAGGAAAAUAAUUCUUCAUGUUUGAUUGUCUUAUGAAAAAUUUCAAAAAAAAUAAAAUAAAAUAUAAUUAAAAUUAGUUUAGAACUUAUGUAUUUUCAAAUUAUUUAAUCUUUAUGUUGAUGAGUUAAAAUAAAUAAAAUGAGUUUGAAAUAACAAAUAAAAAUAAUUUAUCGACUUUAACCUUAUUUUUUAUUUUCCUUCAAUUUUUCAUUUCUUUUUUUUUUUUUCACUUUGUUUUCUUUCCUUUGUAUUUUCCCUCAGAUUUUUUUGGAAACCAAACAUAACCUUAAUGAUUAUGAGAUCAUAUUAGUUAAAAAGUGAAGUUUCUACCACUACAUAUAAUAAAUGCAUAUACAUGUAUAUUUUGAUCUUAGCCUAGACAAUAUUUAUAUAAAAAUGAAUAGAUCAUUAUAAAUGACAUUAAAAUUGAUUUCCUAUUGAGAAAUUACAAGUGUUCUAUACUUUUUAUAUAUAUAAAAAUUUCUUAAUCAAUAUUAUCAAAUAACUUUUUACAUUUUUCUAUUGAAAUAUAUAUUUUUUUGCAAAAAAAUUCCUAUUAUUAUAAUAAAUUUUUUUUUUUCAUAUUUUUCAAUUAAGAUAUACUCUUCAUAAGGACAUUCCUAUUAUUAUAAAAGAUAAAUUAUUUUUUAUAUGAAUAUUUUAUUUAAUCAAGAUAAACAUGGAAAGAAAUUGUUCUCACAUGUCUUAUAUUGAGAAAAAUUAUAUAUAAAUUGGAAAUAAUUUUAAAAUUAAUAAAAUCUAAAAGUUGUUUCACUAUUUUCUAAAAUUAAUUUCAAUUUUUUUUUUACUUUUUAAUUAGUGUAUGUUUAUGUAUGUAUGCAUGCAUGUAUAUAUGCAUACAUAUUAAAAAAUGUUGAUCAUUUAAGUGGCUCUAAACUAAUUAUUUAUUUGCAUGAAAAAAUUUAUUUAAAAUGAGUUGUUCAUCUUUUAUGAGAUAUAACAAAAGCCAUUUGCACUAGGUCAUAAUGGUAAUGAGUGGGAAGGUGGGUGCCUGCCUUUAAAAAGAAUAGAAGUGAACAACCACCCUAAAAUUCGAAAGUAUAACAUACAAAAGUACCUUGCAUUGAUGUACGCAUACACAUGAAACUUCCUUGAGAAAAUAGUAUUGUUGAAAUGUCAACAAAGUAGUCAUACACAUGAAACUUCCUUGAGAAAAUAGUAUUGUUGAAAUGUCAACAAAGUAGUUUAAAUCCUCAACAGGUUGUUACGUUAGUGUGUGUGUGUGUGUGUGUGUGUGAGAUAAAAGAUUUCAAAAGGAACAAUCCCUUGGUCAAAAAACAGAAAACAUAUAGAAACAUAUAUUGAGAAUAAUAUCUUAUUAAAAAAGAAUAAUGUCUUGGUGGGAAUGGGAAACGAGUAAGAACAUUGAAUAUGACAAUACCACAUAUGGUUAAGUAAGGCUAUUCUCUAAUCUUUUAUCCUUGUUGAACCUCUUUCAUUGAAAAAUAAUCCAAAUGACUCAUAAAAUAUAGUGUUUAUAUGGAUGGUAUUAAGAUAUAAAUUAGGCUACAAUGAAAGUUAAUUAUAACUUUAAUGUUGGAAGAAAUGAACAACUUCUUAUGAUAUAUAUAUAUAUAUAUAUAUAUAUAUAUAUAUAUAUAUAUAUAUAUAUAUAUAUGUGUGUGUGUGUGUGUGUGUGUGUGAGAUAAAAGAUUUCAAAAGGAACAAUCCCUUGGUCAAAAAACAGAAAACAUAUAGAAACAUAUAUUGAGAAUAAUAUCUUAUUAAAAAAGAAUAAUGUCUUGGUGGGAAUGGGAAACGAGUAAGAACAUUGAAUAUGACCAUACCACAUAUGGUUAAGUAAGGCUAUUCUCUAAUCUUUUAUCCUUGUUGAACCUCUUUCNNNNNNNNNNNNNNNNNNNNNNNNNNNNNNNNNNNNNNNNNNNNNNNNNNNNNNNNNNNNNNNNNNNNNNNNNNNNNNNNNNNNNNNNNNNNNNNNNNNNGAAAUAGAAAGUUUUGAAGUGAGACAUCUAAACAUGUAGGAACAUUACACAAUGCCUUGGUCAAAAAAGGAAAACGCAUAGGAACAUAUAUCAAAUAAUAUCUUGGUCAAAAAGAAUAAUGCUUUAGUAAAAAAUGGAAAAUGCAUAGGCACAUUAAAUAAGACAAUAUCACAUAGGGUUUAGGUAAGACAAUUCUCUAAUCCCUUAUCCUUGUUGGCUCAUACACUUGUUGAACCUCUUUCAUUGAAAAAUAAUCCAAAUGACUCAUAAAAUAUAGUGUUUAUAUGGAUGGUAUUAAGAUAUAAAUUAGGCUACAAUGAAAGUUAAUUAUAACUUUAAUGUUGGAAGAAAUGAACAACUUCUUAUGAUAUAUAUAUAUAUAUAUAUAUAUAUAUAUAUAUAUAUAUAUAUAUAUAUAUAUAUGUGUGUGUGUGUGUGUGUGUGUGUGAGAUAAAAGAUUUCAAAAGGAACAAUCCCUUGGUCAAAAAACAGAAAACAUAUAGAAACAUAUAUUGAGAAUAAUAUCUUAUUAAAAAAGAAUAAUGUCUUGGUGGGAAUGGGAAACGAGUAAGAACAUUGAAUAUGACAAUACCACAUAUGGUUAAGUAAGGCUAUUCUCUAAUCUUUUAUCCUUGUUGAACCUCUUUCAUUGAAAAAUAAUCCAAAUGACUCAUAAAAUAUAGUGUUUAUAUGGAUGGUAUUAAGAUAUAAAUUAGGCUACAAUGAAAGUUAAUUAUAACUUUAAUGUUGGAAGAAAUGAACAACUUCUUAUGAGAAAGGGCAACACCUAGAAAGUCAAUAAGAUUAAUUAUCUUAAUAAUAGAAAGAAAGUUCAUUCUUAUGAAAUUGAAUCAAAGAGAUAAAUUUCAAUUUUGAAGUAAACAUAAUUAUUUUUCUAUUUUUGUUAAAGAAUUAACAAAAUUUAUCAUGUAAGAAUCAAAGAAGAAUAGCUACUAUUCAUGCAACUGGUCUGAUCUUGUUGUAACAAAACUUAUGAUUAUUUUUCUUCUAUGUAUUGGAAGUUACCAUAAAUUAAUUUCCAACUGGUCAUGUGACUAUUGCAUCAAAUAGAGCCCACUAGAUAAAAUUUUUGUUGACGUAUUUCCACAUCAAAUUUCUUUAAUUUAAACAUGUUUAUGGAUGUAAGUUUGCAUUGAAUAAAUUUCAACCAUAGAUAUGCACUAACAAUAUUUAAAUAAAGAUGAUAAUGUAUUUAAAUUUUUAAUAAAAACUAAGUUGAAUUUUUCAACGAACAUUUGAUUUCCUUCUGCUCACCUAGUGUUAGCAUUAAAAUACAAAAAAAGCUCACCUAAUACUUGCAUUAAAAUACUAGAAACUUAUUCUUGUGAGCUUAUCCUUGCACCUUCUUAGAAAAAAAACAAGAUUGAUUCUUAUUGGUCAGAAGAUAAGAACAAAAACUUCUAAUAAAUUAUAUUUGAUAUAAACUCGUCAAUCAUCACAUAAAAAACAAUUUCUCCAGAGGGCGAUGACCCCAUCAACCCCCAUAAGCUAACCAAGCAGCUCGACCUUAACAUCCUAAGCAAAGCGCAACAAUACUGAUUCAAGCUUCACAAUCCAACACCAAUAAAGACAAGAACAAUUGACACUCAAAAAAAUUAUUUCUUUUAACUUUUUCCCUUUAAGUUGAAUUUGAUUUUAAAAUAGUGUUAUCUCAUUAAUUAUUUUACAAAAUAUAUAUAUGUUAUAUCUUAAAAUUGGUUAGUAAAUUAUAUUACAAUUAUCAAAGAUAUUGCCAUAUAUAAAAUACAACUUAAUAAAUCUUAAGCAUAACACAAAGCACAACAACAAGAUAUAUUAAUUUAAGUUACUAAGAGCUUAUUUAGUUGUGUGAUUUAAAAAUGGUUUUCUAUUUUAAAAAAUAAAAAAUUAUUUUAAAAAAUUUAUAACACUAUUUUAAUGUUGUUCUUUGGAAACAAUGUUUAAAGACAAAGUAACAUUGAGAACAAUUUUUAAAGAACAAGUAGGAGUUGUUUUUAUUAGUUUUUAAAAAACAAAAAAUAUAUAAACUCAUUUUACUAUGUUUUUUGAAACUUGUUUUUAAAUUAAAGAAUAAAAAAUAAUUUUUCAAAAUAAGUUUCAAAAAAUAUGACCAAACAAACCCUAAAUGGUCGGGGUUUAAUAUUAAAGAGAAAAAAAGUUAAUUUAAGAGUUUGCAUGCAGGUAGACAUCAGGCUGUAAAACUGGUUUACUAAGACACUCAUUUUAUUUAUAUAUUCUUCUAUGUGCAUGCAUUGACCAUGUGGUUAGGAUGUGUUGCACCAAAAUCUAAUUAUUAACUUGCAGUUCGAAAUCACAAACCAGCUGUAUGUAUUAGAAACAGACCAUAUUGGGUCAUGCACAUUCUCCGUCAUUUUCUAUUUCCUAGCAACAUAUAUGACCAAAUGAAAUUGUUAUAUCCUAAUUAUAUUUUUUAAUUAGGCGAUAAAUGAAUGGAUUCCUUUUAAAAAUAAUAAUUGAGAUAUUAGGGAUGAUUAAAAUAUUAUUAGAAGAAAACAACCACUAUCUUCCAGAUUAAUCACAGCUUAAUAAAUGUAAAUAAAUUAAUCUGACACUACAUUUUUCUUUAUUUGUUUUGGUUUCUUUACAAGAAUGUUUCUUUAUGUAUUCUUGUUGAAUCUAUAAAAUAUCAUCUAUAAACAUUCUUUUUGAAUGAUUAAGAAUCCGAUAUUUAAAUGAUUGUGUGGACCUUGCAUUUUUGCUCAAUGCGUUCCCACUCAAUGUUGAACUCUCUUUUUAUUUAUUUAAUGAAAAAUAUGAUUUUUUUUUUUAGAAAAGACUUGGAGUCGCCACUUAUUUUUGUUUUAUUUUUAAAAAUGGUAAACAAAAUAAGAAAGAAAACCCUAAGUGUGACUCCUUAUUUUGGAAAAAGUGGUAUGUGAAAAAUCAGAUCGGGCUCGGGGAUUAGGUUACUUAUCGGGAAGGUACAGUAAGGACCAUGACACCCCUCUAAGUCCCUAAAGUCGGGUCUCUAUUGAUAAAAGGAAGCUGACAUGGCAAUCAAUAAGGAAAUCAAUGGGUACUCAAAUCGAUCAUGCACAUAUGGAAAUUGGAAUUUUAGAAAUUGGAAAUUAAAUUCGAAAAUGGGAAAAUUGGAAUCUCAAAAAUUGGGAAUUGAAUUUGGAAAUCAGAAUUUUGAAGAAUUAUUUAAAGAUGAAAAUUUUAAAAGUAAGUAAAUAAAUAAAUAAAUAAAAUAAUAAUGAUUGGAUAAAUAAAUGCGAAAAUUGGAAUUUUGGAAAUCGGAAAUUAUAUUUGGAAUUUGGAAAAUCAGAGUUUUGGAAAUUGAGAAUUAAAUUUGGAAAUUGGAAUUUUGAAGAAUUAUUUAAAGAUAGAUUUUUUUAAAUAAAUAAAUAAAUAGAAUAAUAAUAAUAAUCGAAAUAAUAAUAAAAUAAAUGAACAUGAACAUUAAAAUUUUUUGAAAUAGAAAAUUAAAUUUGGAUGUCGGAAAUUUGAAAAAUUGUUUAAAAAAACGGAAUUUAGAAAAUAAAUAAAUUAAUUAAAAAAAAAGUAUUGUAGUGAAGGUCAUCAAACUCAAAGUCUUAUUCAUGACCCAAUUUCCCAUAUUUGAUUAAGAAUCCAUGCAACAUUACUAUGGGCCACCUGAGCCAAAAUGUCUACACGUUCCACUCUUACACCAUCCCAUUGCAGCUCUCACCACAACAGCCACAACAGUGGAAGUAAAAAUAAAAAAUAAAAAAUAAAAAAAUCACGCCACAUGAGUUGACCAUGAUGUCACCUCUUCCAACACAAGCAAUACACUUCCAAUUGGAACUCUGAAAGCAAUAGUCACUUCAGCACGACAGCGAGGUAGACUAGGGCAGUAGGUGUUGAAUGAGUGAUGAAUCCGAAAAGAAUGGGUUUGUAACAUAAAUGAUUAAUCUUACAACAUCACACAAGAGAUAUGAAUCCAUAUUUACGCACAUAUCCAAACAAAACCAUAUGAACAAUAGAUGAGACCAUGCCACAACAAACCAUUAUAAGAGUAAGAAAAGGAAAAAAGAGAGAGAAAAAAAAAGACAAACUUCAGCAUAAAAAAAAACAAAUCUAGAAGGUAGUGAAGUGAUGUAUGGAGAGUCACCGUGAUCAUACCGAAACAAACUCACAAACAACGCAAAAUAAUCACAUAAAAAAACAAAAGGGUAAUAGGAUGACCAAUAAUAAUCCAUGAACCUUAUCAGUCUUACCAGGUAAAGCUUUCUAUCCACUGGAGUUUUCUAGACUUUCUUUCCAACUUCCCUCCUCCUCUUUCCUGCUUCAGCCUAUCCCCGAAAAGCUUGCUCUGCCCAUUUUUCUACAACCAACCCAACAGCUAGCUUAGCCCCCAAAAAGAUGAAGACGCUCCCCCCUAUUUAUUCUCUCCCGUUCAGCUCAUUUCCCGCCCAGUUUUUCUCUCCAGAUUUUUUUUCCCCUAGUCCUCACAUGCUCCCUACUCCUUGCUCAACCAAUCUGUCACCAUCUCAACCACCACCAUGGCGAGGUAGUGGUGUCGUCCUCCAUGCGUCUCAUGCAUGCUAAUAUUUGAAAAAGUCGAUCCCCCUUCCUCCUACAACAAGCUGCUAGCUAUCCGGGUGGCUAGCAUGAAGGGUCUACAAAUAUGCCCCUCUUCAGUAGAGUUCACGAACGUAAAGAAAUAUGAACACUAGAGUGAAAAGAAAGUGUGAAUAGUGAGCGAAAUGAAGUGAACUUUACCGAAAAUGGGCAUAUUUGUAGACCCCUCAUGCUAGCCACCCGAAUAGUUGGUAGCUUGUUGUAGGGGGAGGGGAGACCGACUUCUUCAAAUAUUAGCAUGCAUGAGACGCAUGGAGGAGGGCACCACUACCUCGCCAUGGUGGUGGUUGAGAUAGUAACAGAUUGGCUGAGCAAGAAGCAAGUGAAGACUAGGGGGAAAAAAAAGAUCUGGAGAGAAAAAAUAGGUGGAAAAUGAGCUGAACGAGAGGGAAUAAACAGGGGAGAGCAUCUUCAUCUUUUUGGAGGGUGACCUAGCUAUCGGGUUGGUUGUAGAAAAACAGGCAGAGCAAGCUUUUCGGGAAUACGUCGAAGUAGGAAAGAGAAUGAAGAAAGUUGGAAAGAAAGUCCAAAAAACUCCAAUGGAAGGAGAGCUUUACCUGAUAAGACUGAUCAGGUUCAUAGAUUAUUACUGGUCAUCCUACUACCCUUUUGUUUUUUUACGUUAUUAUUUUGCAUUGUUUGUGAAUUUGUUUCGGUAUGAUCAUAGUGACUCUCCAUACAUCAUUUCCCUACCUUCUAGAUUUGUUUUUUUUUUGUGCUAAAGUUCGUCUUUUUUUUUUCUCUCUCUUUUUCUUUUUCUUACUCUUACAAUGGUUUGUUGUGGCAUGGUCUCAUCUAUUGUUCAUAUGGUUCUGUUUGGAUGUGUGUGUAAAUCUGGAUUCAUAUAUCUUGUGUGAUGUUGUAAGAUUAAUUGUUUAUGUUACAAAUCCAUUCUUUUUGAAUUCAUCACUCAUUUCACACCCGUUGCCUUGGUCUACCUUGCUGUCGUGUUGGAGUGGUUGUUGCUUUUAGAGCUCCAAUUGGAAGUGUAUUGCUUGCAUUGGAAGAGGUGACAUCAUGGUCAACUCAUGUGGCGUGUUUUAUUUUAUUUUAUUUUUACUUCCGUUGUUGUGGUUGUUGUGGUGAGAGCUGCAAUGGGAUGGUGUAAGAGUGGAAGGUGUAGACAUUUUGGCUCAGGUGGCCCAUAGUAAUGUUGCAUGGAUUCUUAAUCAAAUAUGGGAAAUUGGGCCAUGAAUAAGACUUUGAGUUUGAUGACCUCCACUCAUUCCACCACCAAACCUUUUUUUUUUAAUUAAUUUAUUUAUUUUUUAAAUUUCAUUUUUUUAAACAAUAUUUCAAAAUUCCGACAUCCAAAUAUAAUUUCCGAUUUAAAAAAAUUUCAAUGUUCACGUUCAUUUAUUUAAUUAUUAUUUCUGUUAUUAUUAUUAUUCUAUUUAUUUAUUUAUUUAUUUUUAAAAAAUUCAAUCCUUAAACAAUUAUUCAAAAUUCCGAUUUCCAAAUUUAAUUCUCAAUUUCCAAAACUCCGAUUUUCCAAAUUCCGAAUUUAAUUUCCGAUUUCCAAAAUUCCAAUUUUCGCAUUUAUUUAUCCAAUCAUUAUUAUUUUAGUUAUUAUUAUUAUUAUUAUUAUUUUAUUUAUUUACUUACUUACUUUUAAAAAUUCCAUCUUUAAAUAAUUCUUCAAAAUUCUGAUUUCCAAAUUCAAUUCCCAAUUUUCGAGAUUCCAAUUUUCCCAUUUCCGAAUUUAAUUUACAAUUUCUAAAAUUCCAAUUUUCGCAUUUAUUUAUUCAAUCAUUAUUAUUUUUCGUUAUUAUUAUUAGUUUAUUAUUUACUUAUUUAUUUUUAAAAUUCAAUCUUUAAAUAAUUCUUCCGAAAUUCCAAUUCUUAAAUUUAAUUCCCAAGACUCCAAUUUCCAAAUAAUUUUCGAGACUCUAAUUUUCAAAUAAAUUUCAAAAAUCUAGUUUUCACUCGAACAAUUUUAAUUCCAUUCCGGUUCUCAAAUAAUCUGUUGUUUUUCUUGAUUUUACAUAAGCAUGAAUGUAAUUUUUCACAAUUCCACAAUAAUGGAAUAUGUGAGACUAAUUCAUGCAAGAUAGAUUGGGUUUUGGUGGGGGGCCCAACAUUGGUGUUUUUUUCCUCUAAAAAUAAAUUUGAUUGAAUUGAAUUGUGAUAUCUGUUGAUUUCUCACUCUGUUUAGUGGCAUGUGUGACAUAGUCUGUUUUGUUAAUUGUGCACUAAACCCAUUUCUUGAUAGUGCAUUAUGACUCGUGGCCCAGGUGCGCAUCCGCUCCUAUUCUGGUCAUUCUCUAUGCAUGUUCUGAUUCCCAUAUGUGCAUGAUCAAUUUAAGUACCCGUUGAUUUCCUUAUUGAUUGCCACGUCAGCUUUCUUUUAUUAGUAGAGACCCGACUUUAGGGACUUAGAGGGGUGCUACGGUCCUUACUAUACCUUCUCGAUAAGUAACUUGACCCCCAAACCCAAUUCGGUUUUUCACAUACCACUUUUUCCAAAAUAAGGAGUCAUAGUUAGAGUUUUCUUUCUUAUUUUGUUUACCCUUUUUAAAAAUAAAACAAAAAUAAGUGGUGACUCCAAGUCUUUUCUAAAAAAAAAAAAAAUCAUAUUUUUCAUUAAAUAAAUAAAAAGCAAGUUCGCCAUUGAGUGGGAACGCAUUGAGCUAAAAUGCUGGGUCCAUAAAAUGGCGACUCCACUGAGGAUGAUUUAGAAGGUCAAACUUGAACUUAAGAUGAAGCAAAUGCGACAUUUGAUGGGUCGAUCAGUGGGUACCUAUCUUUUAAUUGCACAUUGAGAGUUCUUGAUAUCAUUGGAUGCAUGCUUGGAUAUUGUAUUCAUUUUGAGACAUUGAUAUGUUGGUUAUGAUGAUUGAUUUGUCUUGAUUGAGGAUUCCGAGAUAGCUAUUUUUUUUGUGCUUCAUUGCUAUAUUUGUUUGGGAUAUUGACAUACUGAUUGUAUCAAUUUCUUAUCUUGCCUUGCUUAGCAUAGUGACCCUGAUUCUUGCCAUGAUUGUUCUGCUCACUUCAUAUGCAUAGACUCACUAUUGUACACCAUUUGACUUGAUGUGUUGUUUUCUUUGGCUUGUGUAUUAUCCUGAUCGUCUUUGAGCAUGAUGCUUGUAUUAGUAUUCAUUUGAUCGUCAUAGCUUGUAUGUGUACAUGAGCAAUAUAUCAUGUACUCUGCCUGGUUGUAUGUCGCAUGACUGCACUCCUUUGCAUGUUGCUUGUUUGUGUGGGUAGCACAUCUAUCCCCUUAUCUCCAACGCUCUGGGUUUCGAUUAUUUCCUUUAUUUCGGUUUUCACUUUUGCAAGUGUGAGGCCUUGUGUGUGCUUGUACUUUGACCGAGGAAGAGGUUAGGAGUAGGGUCUAGCGACGGGCUAUAUCGAUGUUUGGGAGCAUUCUGGAGGUGACCGACACAUUGACGUCAAUUGGAGUCCGAUCAUUGAAGACCUGUAUAGCCUGGAGCUAGGUUUCAUGGAUAUUUGUGCGGCCAGUGUGUUUCCCUUUUUGAUUUAGCUUCAUAGAGUUUUCGGAUGCACCCACACCGCUCACUGCGCACUCUAGUUGACCAUUGAGUGUUGAGAGUUUUGAGAGGUUUCGCCAUAGAAAACCUCCUGAGAUAUCGAGGUAGUGCAUGUGUGGAGGUGAUGACCACCUUGCAUAGAAGCGCCCAUUCUUUUCGGAGGCGUGCAGAGGGUUGCGUACCGUCGGAGGGUACGAUCGCUUCUGUUAGGGAUCCUUUAAAGUCCACCCCUCUUCUUUUCAGAGCCACCUUGACCUUGUAGGUCGAGCCUUAGAUAUUUCAAUCAGGAAUUUCUUCCCUAACACGUGGGUGCAUCUGUGGGCCUUCAAAGUUACUUCAGUAGUGAUAGGUUUAGUUACCUUCGUAGUGGUCUCUUAUACAUCUGCUCAGGAUUGGAUAUCACUUUGAUUGCUUACGAGUUACCUUUCGACAUAUUUGAUAGACUUUCUUUGUGGAGAUUUUCCUAACCUUGUAUCUUAUCUAGUAUUUCCAAUAUUGUAGGAGCAUUGAUACAUAGGGUUUGGGUUCGACUUCUUGGAUCCAGGUUAGGGGUAGAUUGAUCAGAGUAUCAGACCCGUUAGACCAGAAAUCAGAUCAUAGAAAUAUGGACUCACAGAUGGUUACCGUUGGCAGCAGGCCUAGGAGGUUUCGCCUCAGGAUGGCGCACAGUAUGACCCUACAGUGCCGUCAUCCCCUCCACCUAAUCAGUCAGCACCACUAGCCAUACCUUUCACUCUGCAUAGUCAGACCGAGGUUGUCCCGACUCCUAUCAUCGUGCCUACCCCAACCUCAGAGGACCCACAUGCUUGUAUGGAUAGGCUCGAUAAGAAGUUGAGACAAUUGAGGAGUUCAGACAGACCUGUUACUUGGGACGAUUUUGAUGGACUACCAGUGGCCAGUUUGCCGGCCAAGUUCAGGAUGCCAGAGAUUGAGCGAUACACGGGCAUUGGCUGUCCUUGCAUCCAUUUGAGGCUUUAUAGUACUAUCAUGAGGGCCCAUGGACUAGAUGAGGUUCAGAUGAUUAUGUUUUUCCCCAUGUGCUUGAACGGUGUGGCGUAGUGAUGGUUUGCUUUAUUGGAUACAUCCCAAAGUCGGACUUGGGAUGAUUUGGCCUAGGAGUUUUUGAGACAAUUCACAUUUAAUACUGUCAUUGACGUCUCGAGGAGAGAGUUAGAGGCAUUGAGACAGAGGCCAGAGGAGUCGAUCACCUCAUUUAUCUCCCGUUGGAGGGAGAAGAUUUCAUAGGUUAUUAAUAGACCAUCGGAGAAGGAUCAUAUUAGCAUGAUUAUGAGAAGCUUGCAACCUCGAUUUGCUAGACACUUGAUGGGAUUUCCUCAUAGAGAUUUUGGAUCUUUGGUACAGGCCUUGUAUGGUAUAGAGGAGGGCAUAGCCAGAGGAUUAUGGUCUGAGUCUUCUCUUUCUAAUUCGAAGGGGAAGAAACCUUUAAGAUGAUAGAGGCUAGUUGAUGUGAGCGCCCCUAGUUCUACCAGCCAGAGGCCUCCUAUGCGUCAUUAGUCAGUGCCACAGCUUCCUGAGACUCAUCCUUCAUAUCCACCUCAACAGUACAGGCCACGAGCGCCUCGUCCGACUUUUGAUCAUGCUUACAUGCCUCAGACACUAGUUUUGCCUUACUAUGCCACUCAGGGCAUCGAGAGACCACCUGUUUCAUAUACAGCCACAGGAUAGCCAUGCUAUGCGGCGUAGUUUACCGCAAGACCUACAUCUUCUUAUCCCAGGCUUAGAGCUCAACAGACUUCUGUUCCUUUUGUUUUGAGGACGCAGAUAUAGUUCUCGCAGUUAAGCAUGCCGUUGAGCCAGGCUAUUCGGAAACCUAUAGAGGUUGGGUUGUUGAUUGCUCUCACUCUUAGGCCACCACCUCAGCCUCUUCCUUCUCGGUUCAGGAUGGAUUUGCACUAUGCAUACCAUCAAGGACCUAGACAUGAGACUGACCGUUGUACCGCUCUGAGACAUGCCAUCCAAGAUCUGAUCGACCAGGGUUUGGUUCACUUAGAUUAGCCGAGUGUAACCACAAACCCACUAUCGACCCACACCACACAUGCGGUUCCCCCACCAACCAAUAACAUUCAUUUUCUGGAUUUUGCUGGGUUUGACGACCAUAUCCAUAUGUUGAGCCGGGAUGACACAGAGCGAGAGCCCAUAGUGUCAGAUGGGAUUUAUGAGAUGAGUGGGGUGACUUUGGGACCUUAGAUACCCGCUCCAUUCAGAUUCGUCCCUAAGGCGGUAUCGGUACAAACGACCACUAUCGAGCGAUUGACUUUCUCACAUUAUAGUGUUCAGACGCAUUUUGUUUUGAUUCCAGAUGUUGAUGGGGUUCAGACUUCUUAUGUUGAUGUUUAUCAGACUCCAUAUGUCGAUGAUGUUCAUACUUUAGAUGUGCAGUAUGUUAUCCACGGAGGUAGGGUAGUACGGCAGCAGCCCCCCGCUGCCGCUAGACCCUUGAAGGGAACGUCAUCCCAAGAGGAGGUCGAGAGGGAGGAUGAUCAGAUUCUGAUGCAGUUACAAAGCACUCAUGCUUGUAUUUCCAUCUAGAGCUUGUUAGCAUCUUCUAGUAAUCACCGAGAUGCUUUGAUUUGAGCCUUGAGCCAGAUCAGAGUUGAAACUACCACCACUCCGGAGGGAUUGAUUCAUAUGGUGAUGGCUGGCAGAGCCGCAUGCAUAGUAUUCUCUGAUGACGGCUUGCAACCAGAGAGUGCGAACCAUACAUGUCCAUUUUAUAUAUCAGUUGGUUGUUUAGGCUAUCGAGUCUCAUUUGUCAUUUUGGAUAACGACUCGGCCCUGAACGUUUGCCCUCUGGCCACUGCCAUCGCCCUUGGUUAUGCGUCCUCUGACUUUGGUCCCUUCACUCAGAUAGUUCGAGCAUACGAUAACACUCAAAGGGAGGUCAUGGGCACUCUAGAGAUUGAGUUGCUGAUAAGUCCGAUCACAUUUGUUACUUUGUUCCAGGUUUUGAAGAUUCCUACAUCAUUUAACCUGCUAUUGGGUCGACCUUGGAUUCACAAAGUCGGGGUCAUUCCUUCUUCCCUUUAUCAAAAGGUGAAGUUCAUUUGCGAUGGUCAGGUCAUCACAGUGCGGUCUAUAGGAGAUAUGUUUAUUUCUACUCAGCCGGUGCUUCAGAUUAGUCACAAUGAUGAUGACUUACUUCUGAGUGGAUUCACAUUCGACGAGGUGCAAACCCUAAAGAUGGAGAAUUUUUUCCGAGACUUCGUAGCUAUGUCGUUUGACUAGCAUGGUAGCACGGUGGUGCUCGAUAUGAUGAGGAGUAUGUCUUAUCUUCCCGGUAUGGGAUUGGGGCGACGUCAGCACGGGCCUAGUGAGUUCAUGGCUAUCCCCGAUCACGAUGUACCGUUCGAACUCGGGUUCAUCCCCACUGAGGCUAAUUAUCGAUAUAUGGCGCAACUGCGCAAGGAGAUGGGUGAGAGCCCAACUGACUCACACGCCUUUUGAUUAUCCUGUUCGCUCAUACACCAUGAGCUUAACAGAAUACUUUGUGAAGGCGUCAGUGCCGCAGAUGCCUUCAAAUGGGAUAAUUGGGGGACUCGAAACUACUCAAGAGGCCAAGCUUCAGCGCCUCGUCUAUCAGCUACAGUUGAGUGAUGGAGUUCCUGGCACUUCGAUAUCUGUGUUGGCUGCCCUAUCAUCUCCAGAUCGUAUGAGCCUUAUGACGCUUUAUUUCCCGGAUGAGAUCAACGAGCAUGAGACAUUUGCUCGAGAUUGGAAACAUAGUGGACAGAGCCAUUCCACAUAAAGAGUACGUCGAUGAGAUGCUCGCGAUGAGCUUAAGCCAGAUCAAGGAGAUAGUUCAGCCUGGGCUCCCUUCACCAUUUGAUCUUUUCGGGGUGUCCGUCAUCCAGAUUGCUGAGGAGAUCCCGACUGCUUCUACUCCGGAGUUUACUGAGGGUGCCAUAGCUGUUAAUGACUUGUUUGAUGGCCCUGUUGGCCUAGUUGAGGGAGCGUCCGACUUUGUGGACCCACUUAUUUCAUUUGAUGUUUUAUCGGGAUUUGUUUCCCUUCAUGAUGAUGUUCUUGGCUCUUCAUUUAUGGAUUUGAGUAUUUUUGAGUAUUUGCCUGCCUCUUGUGAUAUUGCUUUAUCUACACCAUCUUCACCCACAUCACAGAUAUUUGACAUUGAUGAUGAGAUUGUACAACAUGAUUCAAAUGAUGACUCAUCAUCCGCUUCUGAUUCGAACCCCAUUGAUUAGAGAGUUUCACCUACUAUAGGGGAUGCUGAGAUUGUUGAUUUCAGCACAACAGAUCAACUUAGGGAGUUGAGGAUCAGAUCGGAUUUAUCUACUGAUAAGAGGGAUAACCUCAUCCAAUUGCUCAAAUCAUACUUGGACAUUUUCGCAUGGUCUUAUGAGGACAUGCCGAGUCUUGAUCCAUCUAUCGUCCAACAUCAUUUGCCACUUCUACCCUAUGCCAGACCGGUUAAGUAGAAAUUGAGACAGUUGCACCCUCGUUGGAGUUUGCAAGUGAAGGAGGAGAUCCAAAAGCAGCUCAGUGUGAGAUUUUUUUCAAUGGUCGAGUACCCGGAAUGACUCACCAAUGUCGUCAUUGUUCUAAAAAAGGACGACAAGGUGAGAGUCUGUGUUGAUUUUCGAGAUCUCAACAAGGCCAGUUCUAAGGAUGAUUUUCCUCUCCCACACAUCGACAUGCUAGUUGACAAUACAACAGGUCAUUCGAUGUUGUUCUUCAUGGAAGGAUUUUCCGGGUAUAGUUAGAUCUUGAUGGCUCUAGAGAACAUGAAGAAGACGUCAUUCAUUAUCGAGUAGGGUACUUAUUGCUAUAGAGUCAUGCCAUUCGAGUUGAAGAAUGCAGGAGCCACUUAUCAGAGAACAACAACCACACUCUUCCAUAACAUGAUGCAUUGAGAUGUCGAGGUUUAUGUAGACGACAUGAUAGUGAAAUCCCGAGAUAGAUCAGAUCACCUAACAACUCUGGAGAGGUUCUUUGAGAGGAUCAAGCGGUUUAGAUUGAGAUUGAAUCCUAGGAAGUGCAUUUUUGAAGUGACUUCUGGGAAGCUCCUAGGAUAUAUGGUCAGUGAGAGAGGCAUAGAGGUAGAUCUGGAUAAGAUUAGAGCCAUCUUUGACAUGCCUGCACCGAGAACAAAGAGAGAGGUCAAAGGCUUCUUGGGUAGACUUCAGUACAUCAGCAGAUUCAUCGCCAGAUUGAUAAACAUCUGUGAGCAGCCCAAUUUUCUACUCUUGAGGAAGAGUCAACCUACUGUUUGAGAUGAUUAGUGUCAGCAUGCAUUUGAGAGGAUCAGAGAGUACUUGUUGUCACCUCUAGUAUUGGCGCCUCCUACACCAGGCCAUCUUUUACUCCUAUACCUAUCAGUCUCAGACGUAGCAUUGGGAUGCAUGUUGGCUCAAGUCGAUGAUUCAAGCAAGGACCGAGCCAUUUAUUAUCUAAGUAAAAGAAUGUUAGAUUACGAGACGAGAUAUGUCAUGAUUGAGCGCUAUUAUUUGGCAUUGGUUUAGGCCACUCGUCGACUGAGACAUUAUGUGACCGAGUAUUCAGUGCACUUGAUAUCCCAUCUAGAUCCUCUUAGAUACUUGUUUGACAUACCUGCCUUGGUUGGUCGCCUCAUGAGAUGGUUGGUACUUCUGACUGAGUUUGACAUCCAUUAUGUCACUUAGAAGUCCAUCAGAGGGAGCAUUAUCGCAGAUCACCUAGCCUCAUUACCAGUUUCUGAUGGUAGGACUAUUGAUGAUGAUUUUCCAGAUGAGGAUGUUGCUACUGUGCUUAGUCUGUCAGGUUGGCGCAUGUACUUUGAUGGUGCAGCCAACCAUUCCAAAUAUGGGAUAGGAGUUUUGUUAAUAUUCUCUCAUGGUGACCACAUUCCUAGAUCUAUUCGUUUGGCAUUCUCGAAUUGACACCCAGCCACGAACAACAUUGUUGAGUAUGAGGCUUGUAUCUUGGGAUUAGAGAUGAUCCUUAAGUUUGGGAUUAGAUAGAUGGAGGUGUUUGGUGACUCCAAUAUGGUAUUAAGAUAGAUUCAAGGUGAGUGUAAGACUAGAGAUGUGAAGCUUAGGUCUUACCACGCAUAUUUGGAGCUACUGGUUGGGAGAUUUGAUGAUUUAAGAUACACACAUCUACCUAGAGCGCAGAACCAGUUUGUUGAUGCCUUAGCUACUUUGGUUUCCAUGAUUGAUAUUCUUGUCGAUGCCAUUGUUUGCCCUUUACUGAUCAAGUCGAGAUCUGCUCAUGCCUACUAUUACCUAAUUGAUGAUGUAGAGCCAGAUGAUGGUUUGCCCUGGUACCAUGACAUAUAUCACUUUCUGAGACUUGGCGUAUAUCCUAAGGCCGCCAUGACCAAGGCUAAGAAGGCAUUUGAGAUAGUUGGCUGCCCGAUUUGUGAUUUGUGGCAAGACACUAUACAGACGAUCAGUUGAUGGGAUGUUGCUAUUAUGCUUAGACCACGCCUUUACUGAUCUAGUGAUGAGAGAGGUUCAUGCAGGAAUCUGCAGACCACAUAUGGAAGGGCAUAUGCUAGCUCGUAAGAUCAUGAGGACUGGCUAUUUCUGGUUGACCAUGGAAACAGACUGUUGCCAGUUUGUUCAGAGAUGUCCUGAGUGCCAGAUACACGGUGACCUCAUUCACGUGCUUCUUCAGAAUUACAUGCGUUGACUUCGCCGUGGCCAUUUUUAGUAUGGGGUAUAGACAUUAUUGGGAAGAUUUUACCGAAGUCUUUCAGUGGGCAUGAGUUCAUCUUGGUCGCCAUCUAUUACUUCACCAAGUGGGUGGAGGUUGCUUCGUAUGCAAGAUUGACGUCAUUUGAAGUUGCUAGUUUCAUCAGAUCACACAUUAUUUGUCGCUAUGGAGUCUCUCAUGAGUUGAUUUCCGAUAAAGAGGUACAUUUCACAGCAGAGGUUGACACCUUAGUGCAGCGAUAUGGCAUCCGACAUCUUAGGUCAUUUGCGUACAGGCCGUAGACGAAUGGAGCAGUAGAGGUCGCCAAUAAGAAUAUUAAGAGGAUCUUACGAAGAAUGGUUGGGACUUCUCGGGAUUGGUCAGAGAAAUUCCCUUUCGCAUUGUGGGCUUAUCGAAUUUCUUUUCGCACCUCCAUAGGAGCCACACCCUACUCUUUGCUGUAUGGUAUGGAGAUAGUGCUACCAGUUGAGAUUGAGAUGGGUUCAUUGAGGAUAGCAUUAGAGCGGCAGAUUCCAGAGGCAGAUUGGGCUCAGGCCCGAUUAGAUCAACUCAAUCUCCUAGAUGAUAGGAGAUUGAGGGCAGCAGACCAUGUUCGCUCAUAUCAUUAGAGGAAGAUGACCCGUGCUUUCAAAAAGCGGGUCAAGGCUUAACCACUAUGGAUAGGUGACUUGGUUCUGAAUGUCAUCAAGGGAUUGAUAAGAGAUCCUAGAGGGAAGUUCAAACCCAAUUGGAGCGGACCUUACUUCAUCAAGGAGUUAACCCUAGAGAACGCUACAUGGUUGAUGGAUCUAGAUGGAAACCGAUUCUCGGAGCCGAUCAACGUAGAUUAGCUAACGAGGUACUAUGUUUGAGACCAUGGUCAUAGGAUGGGUGGUCAUCAUUUCAGUUAGCCAUAUACCUUGUUAUUCCCCUUUGAUACAUAGACUGUUGCUAGCCCAUUGAGCCUCGUGUGUGCAUUAUAGCAUUUCUAUCUUAUUACCUUGCUCACAUUGUUACACCAGGAUUGGGGCCCUUUAGUGUGUGCAUGCGUUGUUUGGGAGCCUGAUAAGUCUUGGACCUACAAGUGCGUCUUUCUCUCAUUAUUUUUUCCUACCAUCACUCUAAUGCAUAUCAUCACAUCUCGUUGGCCAGGUUCUUCAUUCAUUCUCCUUUAUUAUAUCUACUGCUUGUUUUGCUUCAUAUUCUCUUCACCCUGAGUGGUAAUCCUCCUCAGUUCAUUGCAUGAAGGAUAGUCACAUCAUUUCCACCAUCUAUCCCACGGACACUGAUUCUGAGAUCCUUAGUUUGAGAAGGUUAUCUCGUCAGAGAUAGUUUUUGAGAGUGUGUCUAUCCAUUGUAGAUGUCAUAUUUGGGGAUCAUUUGUUUAUGAUUCAGGGUAUAUGCAUUUGUAUAUAUGUAAAAAAAAAAAAAAAAUGAAAAUGUAAAACAAAAGAAAAAAAUGAAAAUGAAAAGAAAAGAAAAAUAAGCAUGUGUGUAUGUGCAUAGUAUUCUCCAUCAUUGGGCAUGUAUAUUGAUGUUUGAGGGUUACUUCAUUAAGUAUGUUUGUUGAUGAGAGCUCGUAUGUGAGCUUUCCGAGACCGUUCAUUAUUUGUAUUCAGGUUUCAUGUAUUUUGAGAGUGAGAUGAGUGACUUUCUCUUAGGAGCUUUGUAUCAUUGUCCUUUCCAUCAUUACAUUCAUUGUUGAUGUGACUUCACCUCAUGUUGGAUUUGAGCGGAUCAUCAUUCCUCUUUGUGUUCUUCGCUUCACCAUCAUCCUCGUUUUUGCUUUUGAUUCAUCAUCAUCAUCUCACCCCUUGUCAUUUUCUUACAACGACUCUUUUAUUCCCAGUUUGACACUUCCUCCACAUCAUCCUUACACAUCUCAUUAUCAGAUCAAUUUUUUUUCAUUGCCUCGUUAUUGACAUCAUAUUCACAUUAGGCACCCUCAGGUCCGUGACUCACGAGAUUUUCUAUACAUGUGGCAUUUCAUACAUGAGGGCAUGGGUUUCUGUUCAUUUGGUAUUUUGGCCUAGUUUCCCUUCAUUUUUAUCACCCUAUCAUCCCAGUCUACGUUACGUCCCGUGUCUUAAGACCACCCUAAGGCCAUGAGAUCAGAUGUCAUCUUUGACAACCUAUAAUUGGACUGGUGUUUGAGAUCUGAUUGACAUUUAGAUAUUGUCAUGCUUCCUCUUCUGGGAGAUGUCUUUCUGAUGAUUAGAUUUGUUUCAAUUAUGUUUGGAUUACCAGGAUUACAUGUUCGAUGAUAGAUGAUUCCAUGUCACCUAAUUUUAUGAUCUAUCACAUAUUUGGUGUCAUACUAGGGCAUAUUCCGUUUCGGGCGAGAUUUACAAAUCUUCACGGAGUUGCAUGCUUAUCCCCACUUGCGAGAUAUACGCCGAAAUGAUUGACUGGUUCGCUAUUUUAUGAUGAUCCAUUAGUGGAGCCUCUGUGGAGCCGUUCAGCCAGCCCCAUAUUUCUCGGUAUUUGGUUAUUAUCAUGCUUCUUAUUCCGAGAGGCGUUCCCUAGAUGUUUGGAUUUGAUUUGGAUCACGGAGAUCACAUGCUCGAUGAUAUAUGAUUCCAUGUCACUUGAUUUUCUGAUUUAUCACAUAUUCGAUGUCAUACUGGGGCAUAUUCCGUUUCGGGAGAGAUUUAUAGAUCUUCAUGGAGUUGCAUGCUUAUCCCCACUUGCGAGAUGUACGUCGAGAUGAUUGACUGGUUCGCUAUUUUAUGAUGAUCCCUCAGUGGAGCCUCUGUGGAGCCCUUCGGUCAGGUCCACAUUUCUCGGUAUUUGGUUACUAUCAUGCUUCUUAUUCCGAGAGAUGUUCCUUAGAUGUUUGGAUUUGAUUUGGAUCACGAAGAUCACAUGCUCGAUGAUAGAUGAUUCCAUGUCACCUGAUUUUUUGAUCUAUCACAUAUUCGGUGUCAUACUGGGGCAUAUUCCAUUUCGGGCGAGAUGUACGCCGAGAUGAUUGACUGGUUCGCUAUUUUAUGAUGAUCCCUCAGUGGAGCCUCUAUGGAGUUGUUAAGCCAGACCCAUAUUUCCCGGCAUUUGGUUACUGUCAUGCUUCUUAUUCCGAGAUACGCUCCCUAGAUGUUUGGAUUUGAUUUGGAUCAUGAAGAUCACAUGCUUGAUGAUAGAUGAUUCCAUGUCACCUAAUUUUCUGAUCUAUCACAUAUUCGGUGUCAUACUAGGGCAUAUUCCAUUUUGGGUGAGAUUUGCAGAUCUUCAUGAAGUUGCAUACUUAUCCCCACUUGCGAGAUGUACAUUGAGAUGAUUGACUGGUUCGCUGUUUUAUGAUGAUCCCUCAGUGGAGCCUUUGUGGAGCCGUUCAGCCAAACCCACAUUUCUCAGUAUUUGGUUACUAUCAUGCUUCUUAUUCCGAGAGACGUUCCCUAGAUGUUUGGAUUUGAAUUGGAUCACGGAGAUCACAUGCUCGAUGAUAGAUGAUUCCAUGUCACCUGAUUUUUUGAUCUAUCACAUAUUUGGUGUCAUACUGAGGCAUAUUCCCUUUCGGGAGAGAUUUAUAGAUUUUCAUGGAGUUGCAUGCUUAUCCCCACUUGCGAGAUGUACGCCGAGAUGAUUGACUGGUUCGCUAUUUUAUGAUGAUCCCUCAAUGGAGCCUCUGUGGAUCCGUUCAGCCAGGCCCACAUUUCUCGGCAUUUGGUUACUAUCAUGCUUCUUAUUCCGAGAGACUUUCCCUAGAUGUUUGGAUUUGAUUUGGAUCACGGAGAUCACAUGCUCGAUGAUAGAUGAUUCCAUGUCACCUAAUUUUCUAAUCUAUCACAUAUUUGGUGUCAUACUGGGGCAUAUUCCAUUUCGGGCGAGAUUUACAGAUCUUCACGGAGUUGCAUGCUUAUCCCCAUUUGUGAGAUGUACGCCGAGAUGAAUGACUGGUUCGCUAUUUUAUGAUGAUCCCUUAGUGGAACCUCUGUGGAGCCGUUUAGCCAGGCCCACAUUUCUCGGUAUUUGGUUACUGUCAUGCUUUUUAUUCCGAGAGACGUUCCCUAGAUGUUUAGAUUUGAUUUGGAUCAUGGAGAUCACAUGCUCGAUGAUAGAUGAUUCCAUGUCACCUGAUUUUCUUAUCUAUCACAUAUUCGAUGUCAUACUGGAGCAUAUUUCCAUUUCAGAUGAGGUUUACCAAUCUUCAUGGAGUUACAUGAUCAUCUCCACUUACGAAGUAUGAGCUGAGACGAUGACGUGUUCGUUACCUUAUCAUGAUCUCUCAGUAGAGCCUCUUUGGAGCCAUUCAGCUCGACCCACAUUUUUGGCAUUUGGUUGUCGCCAAGCUUAUUAUUCCGGAGACGUUUCAUAGAUGUUUGGGGUUUGAUUUGGGUCAUGGAGAUCGCACAUUUGAUGAUGGAUGAUUUCAUGUCACCCAAUUUUCGACUUAUCGUACAUCUAACGACAUACUGGGGCAUAUUUCCGUUUUGAUCGAGAUUUACAAAUCUCCAUGGAGUUGCAUGCUUAUCUCCACUUACGAGGUACACACCGAGAUGAUGACCUAUUUGUUAUCUUAUCAUGAUCCCUUAGUGGAGCCUCUCUGGAGCCAUCCAAUCAGAUUCAUAUUUUUUCGGCGUUUGGGUUGUUGUCAUGUUUCUCCUUCUGGGUUAUGGAUUUGGAUGACGAGGUUCGUGCUCCUGAUGAUAGAUGACUUGAGGCCAUUUGAUUUUUCCAACCUAUCACACAUUUGAUUCCAUACUGGGGCAUUUUUCCCCUUUCGAUCAAGAUUUGUAGAUCCCCACGAGUUUGCAUGAUCAUCCCCAUUUAUGAGAUACACAUCAGGUUGAUGAUUCGAUUUCAUUUUGUCUUGAUUCUUUCGUGGAGCAUUUUUCUUGAGUCAUUUCGUCAGGCUCACACUUUCUGAUUUUGUUGUGAUUUUUGGAUAGAGUCAUCUCAGGUGCAUAGGAUCCCAUAUCAUCAUUUCAGUGGGACACAUGUCAGAUCUUUUAUAUAUUCCCAUGGAGUUAUUCUCGGGUUAUCAUGAUAGACCGAGUACAUCUGACGCCAUAUUGGGGCAUAUUUCCUUCCUCCAGCUGUAGAGUUUCGAUGAUUUUUGCUAAGAUGAGCCACCAGAGGAACACGACUUCCGGGUUUUGACUGCCCUACUAUCCAUGACUUUUCAGUGGAUUGAGAUCGUAGUAGUUACCCUAGCAGACUAUUCUUUUGUGACCCCCUAGUGGAUCAUUUUUUCGGUAUGAUGAUGGAUUCUUCCAAUAAAACAUUUUGAGUUAGAGAAGUUCUACUUAUUGCGACACUUCAUCAGAUCUCGCGAUUUAGUCAGAUGGGUUGUGAGACUAAGUUCACAGUCGAUUUAAUCAUUUCGACUCGCUAGCAGAGCAUCCUUCAAGACUCAUGAAGUCUUUUUUGUCAUUUCCAUGGACUGAAAUCUGUAGUAGCAUGCUACAUUGGGGCAUAUUCCCCCCUCAUCAUCUCUAUUCAUCUUCAGUCUCGGCGUUCAGAGCCACCGUUUCUUCACAAUUUGGCGUUCAGAGCUAUAUCUUCAGUUUGGUGUUCCAGGUCACGCAUUCUUUUUAGCGUUCAGAGCCAUCAUCAUGUUCACAGUUUGGCGUUUAGAGUCACUAUCUCUUCUUAGUUUUGGUGUUCAGAGUCGCAUCUUCAUUUUGGCAUUUAGAGCCGUUAUUUCUGUUCAGCAUUCAUAGUUACUAUUUUUAGUUUGGUGUUCAGAGCCACCGUUUCUUCGUAUUUUGGCGUUUAGAGCCAUAUCUUCAGUUUGGCGUUCAAAGUCACACUUUCAUUUUGACGUUCAAAGCCAUCGUCAUCUUCUCAAUUUGGGUGUUCAGAGCCACCAUCUCUUCUUAGUUUGGGUGUUCAGAGCCACCAUCUUUUCUCAGUUUGGGUGUUCAGAGCCACCAUCUUUUCUCAGUUUGGGUGUUCAGAGCCACCAUCUUUUCUCAGUUUGGGUGUUCAGAGCCACCAUCUUUUCUCAAUUUCGGCGUUCAAAGCCACCAUCUUCUCAGUUUUGACAUUCAGAGCCACCAUCUUCUUAGUUUAGGCGUUCAAAGCCAUCAUCUUCUCAGUUUGAGCGUUCAGAGCUACCAUUUUCUCAGUUUUGACGUUCAAAGCCACCAUAUCUUCUCAGUUUCGGAAUUUUAAAGCCACCAUCUUCUCAGUUUCGGCGUUCAAAGCCAUCAUCUUCUCAAUUUGGGCGUUCAGAGCCACCAUUUCUUCUAAGUUUCGGCGUUUAGAGCCACCAUAUUCUCAGUUUCGGCGUUCAGAGCCACCAUCUUCUCAGUUUGGGCAUUCAAAGCCACCAUCUCUUCUCAGUUUGAGCGUUCAGAGCCACCAUCUUCUCAGUUAAAGCAUUCAGAGCCACCAUCUCUUCUCAGUAUGGGCAUUUAGAGCCACCAUUUCUUCUUAGUUUGGGCGUUCAGAGCCACUAUCUCUUCUCAGUUUCGGCAUUUAGAGCCACCAUCUCUUCUCAAUUUGGGUGUUUAGAGCCACUAUCUAUUCUCAAUUUGGGCGUUCAUAGCCACCAUCUCUUCUCAGUCUUGGUGUUUAAAGCCACCAUCUUCUUACGACUCAGCCUUCAAAGUCAUCAUUGCUUAUCGGUUACGACGUUCAGAGUCAUCUUCCUCGGUUUUGACGUUCAGAGCCACCAUUUCCUUAUAGCUUGACGAUUAGAGUCAUCAUCGCUUCUCAAUUACGACGUUCAGAGUCGUAUUUCUCAGUUAUGGCGCUCAGAGCCUUCAUCUUCUUCAGUUUGACGUUCAGAGUCGCACCUCUAGCUUGGCAUUUAGAGUUACUAUCUCUUUACAAUUUUGCUUUCAGAGCCAUCAUCCUAUUGCGAUCGGGCAUUCGUUGCCACUUUUUCGACAUUCAGAGCCACCAUCUUUUCUCAAUUAUGGCAUUCAAAACCAUCAUCUCUUUACAACUUGGCGUUUAGAGUCAUCGUCCUUCUCAAUCAUGGCAUUUAGAGCCACAUUUCAGGCAUUCGAAGUCAUGAUUUUCUAAAGCUUAUCAUCCUCCCUUGUGCAUGAUAUAGCUCUUUGAGCUUAUAGCUUAUGUUUUGAUUGUAUCAUUGGUGCCCCUCACUUCGCGCUCUUGUAUGGUGCAUGUAUAGUUUCCCUUUUAUAUAUGUUCCUCUCUAUGCUCCUAGAUGGUUUGACUACUACUCAACUUUGACUUCGAUCUUUGAAUCACUUUUGGUGACAUCUUAGAGGGAGUCUAGAUCCUUAGCGCGGCUUCAAAGGCACUUUGAGAGAUCCAUUUUUCUCUUAGGAUUUUAAAGCUCUUUUUACUCCUCUGAUGGUUUGGGUGAGUUUGUGUUUUACUUGUGUACCUUUAGGGAUCUUUCUUUGUCUUCGGUAGAGUUCACUUCAUUUCACUCUCUAUUCACACUUUUUUUUCACUUUAGUGUUUACAUUCAUUACACUCGUGAGCUCUACCGAAGAGGGGCAUAUUUGUAGACCCCUUUGUGGACACCAUCCGAGAGAGUGGUUUUUCUUUCAUUUUUUUGAAAUGGGGGGACCCCUUUCUGCCAAGAACAAGCUGCAUGGACAUGUGGCCAAGAGCAUGGCUCACCAUGGUGGUGGUUGAUGGUGAUGACAUCCUCCCGGGACAAGGAGCAGUAAAGUGGUUGGUGGCUUGCGGGAGAAGACAGAAAUGGGGGCAGGCAAGCAAGCUGCGAGGGGGUAGGUGAUUUUGGGGUUGCUGGUUUUGGGGAGAUACACUGGAAAAUGCUUUCUUUGGCUGGGGAGUCUUUGUUCUAGGGAGGAGGAAUUCUUUGGCCAGGCAAGAACUGUGAAAGAGCUCUCAGGUAAGUUUACUGGGUAUCUCUUGUUCACAUUUACUAUCACCGUUCUUUCAUUUUCCCCCUUCGCUAUUUGGGGUUUUGUUUGUUUGUUUGGUUAUGGAUAACAGGAGUUAUGCAUGAGUUUUGUUAAUUUCCAGUUUGUUCAUAUACCCAUUGAUCGCUUCAUUCACUAUCCUUCUUAAUAUUGGUUUAAACCCAAUGAAGUUCUGUUUCAUUUUGCUCUAUGUGAAGAUAUUGCUUGUUAUUUUCUCGUUUGGACCUGUUGGUACCCUUCCCACCCAUCCAAGCCCGUUGAAAGAGCAUUAGAUAUGGUUUUUCUUAAUUCACACACACACAUAUAUAUAUAUAUAUAUAUAUAUUUGUUUACUUUUCCUGGCUCUCCUUUGUUCUAGUCUAUAUUUUCUUUUUCCCGUUUUUUUUAUGCACUCGAUCCAGAAUGUCGGUUGAUUGAGUGUCGGUCAGAGGAAUUGGUUUUGGGCUUGUUCUAGAGAAAUGCGCUGGUAAAUAUACAUGCACAAUGUGGAAAAGGUGAAGUUGUUAAUACCUUAUCCAUUUGUUUUUCCGGGCACACGAAUGUUGGUCAAGUAGCCGAAAGAUUAAGAUGAGGCUUUCUCCCAUCACCAUUCCAGCUGAUUCAGUUGUGACUGUUGGUAUUGUGCCCUAUUCCGGGGUCCGUUCAAAAGUGUCUUCGGCUAAGGUUGUGCAAGCUAAAUCAGUUGAUGCUUAAUAUGCUUAGGAAUACUACUUGUGCGUUUUUCAAAUUUUAUGCAAAGGUGACAAGCCAAACAUCAGUGGAAAUGAUGCAUGACUCCUCCAAUAGAUCAGUUCAUACAAUUUUCAGGUGUGGGAAUAUAUGCUAGCAACGUUCUUGAAGUCACUAAUUGGUUCCCAUUUCCAACCCUAGAAGAGAAUGGUGAGACUGAAACAUCAUGUGGUCCCGACAUUUCAUCAUAUAUAAUUCCUUCAUACCCAUAUUCCCACUACCUUCCAUCCUCUAAGCCUCAUUCAUACCCAUAUCACUACUUCAUCUACCCGUAUUCUCAUAUUUCCAUCUCGUCACCAUAUUUUCUCUCUUUACACCACGUGCAUGUCCAUUACCACUCAUGCAUAUCACCACCCUCCUAUGCCCACCUUGCCCAUUCUUUCUUACCACCUUUCUCUUUUUACACCACAUGCCUCCCAAACCCACUACUCGUAUUUCACGCUUCAUCCCAUCUCAUCCCAUAUCCCUCCCAUGGAUAUCAUCACUUUCACAUACCCAUCACUACAUUUCUCUCUCUACACCACACCAUGUUCCCACUUUUUUUUUUUAAUAUGUCACUAGAUCCAUUUCUUCCCACUUUGCAUGGUCAUGCAUGGCCACACUAUGUCACUUCCACACUCAUACCCGUUCCAUACCCACAUCUUCCUAUCUGUAUUCCUACCCUUUUUUAAAAAAAAAAAAAAAAAUCCACUCACUCGUUUCUCUCACUACCACUACCCUUCAUUACUCAUCCCUACCCAUGGCAACCCAUACUCUCCUCACUCAUCUAUUACACCCACUGUCAAUAGCUCUCUUCAUCACCAUACCUAUUUUUUCCACUCUUUCUAAAUCCAUUGGACUCUCUCAUCUCACCACCCUCCAUCAUCCGUUCCAUCAAUAACCUCCCCGAAGACCAAGAAGAUUUUGCAACUUCUGCGCUUGAGAUAGAUAUUUAACAGUGUCUUCCUGAAAGUGAACAAGGAAACAACGAAUAUGUUGCACAAGGUUGAGCCUUACGAGACAUGCGGGUAUCCCAAUUCAAAGAGUGUUAAGGAAUUGGUUCACAAGCCAGGGUGCCUACCCGCUACAGUGAAACGCUUGGCUUUCAUAGUCUGCAUCGCGAGACAAUCAUGAAGCAUCAGUAUUGUUUGCAUUAGAGCGGGGUAUACCUUCCAUAGUUGGUACUCUUGGAAGUAUGUCUAUGGGAUGAAGCUGAUAUAUUAUCUGUUUUAUUUGAUAAUGGAUGAAAUCAUGGUGACUUUGUGGUCUAUAUCAUCCAGAAGUUCUCUCAAGAGAUAUAGCCGUCAUGUGAAGAUUCUUUUUCCUCACACGGUUACGCUGCUAAGAAGGAUUUCUCAUGCUUUGAAGGUCAUCAUGAAUCGAAAGACUCAAGAAGAAGGGUUAGCAUUGGUUCGUACUCAUCAGAUGCCUAGAAACAAGUGGGCAGAGUUGACAAAACUCUCGUCGAGAAGAACAGACAAUGCAAUAAAAGACCACUAGGACAGUUAUGUAAAGAAGAAGUUGGACUCUCAUAUAGCAUCAGAUUCACUUGCACAGUCCCAAGGCCAGCCUCUUGUUGGUCACUGAAACUGAUCGAUCCAUUCAUCUUCUUCAAAUAUGUAAUAGAGUAGUGGAGGUGAUGGCGGAGCCAAAGGUGGGAUAGAAGCAGAGGAAAUUUCAGAAUAUAGUCAAGGUUCAAUUGCGGAUUUUCUGGAAGCGUGAGGCACCAGUUUAAUUCAAAUGGGCAACCCACUCCUUCUUUUGAGCUGGGACAAGCAUCAUCAGGUUUAUCAUCGCAUUUUAAAGGUGGCAGAGGAAACCAGGGCACAGUUUCUGUCCCGUUCAUGAACUUCUGUAGGGUUGAGUGAUUCCUCUUCCACGGGAAAUAUAGGUGUGGACUCUGAUAUACCUGAGCAUUUACUGAUAUCUGAAGGCGACUGUUGUGGGUUCAGAUUCCAAGAGGAACUCCAGCUUCACAGUCAUAUUACUCCCUAAGGAUGACAGCGGCAAGCAUCACUAGCACCAAUAGGGUAGUCACAAUCGCACCCAAGGCCCAUGUGUAUUAUGGCCAACCUCCCAGACCCAUUUUCAAGGCCCACGUGCUUCUUUCCUUCACCUUAAAAAAAAAAACAAAAAAUGAUGAUUUUCUGAAAAUCCAAUUUCCAAAUAAUUCAACUCUCUAUUCUUUCAUCUCUAGAAUUUUUGGGUCCUAAAUUCCAUUUCCCAAUUUCCAUAUUUAUUUAUUUAAUAAGUAUUAUUUUUGUUAUUAUUAUUAUUAUUAUUCUAUUUAUUUAUUCAUUUAUUAUAAAAUUCCACCUUUAAAUAAUUUUCCAAAAUUCCGACUUCUGGAUUUAAAGUUCCAAUUUAAAAAAUCUCAAUAUUCACAUUCAUUUAUUUAAUUAUCAUUUUUGUUUUUAUUAUUAUUCUUUUUAUUUAUUUAUUCAUUUAUCAAUUCUUCAAAAUUUCGACUUUCAAAUAUAAUUUCUGAUUUUUCAUAAUUUCACUAUUCACAUUCAUUUAUUUAAUUAUUAUUUUUGUUAAUAUUAUCAUCAUUCCAUUUAUUUAUUUAUUUUAAAAUUUCAUCUAUUAACAAUUCUUCAAAAUUCCAGUUUCCGAAUUUAAUUUCCAAUUUCAAAUUUUCCACUAUUCACGUUCAUUUAUUUAAUUACUAUUUUCGUUACUAUUAUUAUUACUCCGUUUAUUUAUUUAUUUAUUCAUUUUAAAAUUUCAUCUUUUAACAAUUCUUCAAAAUUCCGGUUUCGAAUUUAAUUUCCAAUUUAAAAAAUUCCACUAUUCACAUUAAUUUAUUUAAUUAUUAUUUUCGUUAAUAUUAUUAUCAUUCCAUUUAUUUAUUUUAUUUAUUCAUUUUAAAAUUCCAUCUUUUAACAAAUUCUUCAAAUUCCAAUUUUCAAAUUUAAUUUUCAAUUUCCAAAAUUCAUUUUUUCACAUUUAUUUAUUUAAUCAUUAUUAUUUUCGUUAUUGUUAUUAUUUUAUUUAUUUUAAUUAUUUAUUUUUGAAAAUUCCAUUUUUAAAUAAUUCUUUAGAAUUCCAAUUUUUGAACUUAACUUCCAAAAUUUCAAUUCUUAAAUUUAAUUCCCAAUACUCCAAUUUCCAAAUAAUUUUCAAGACUCCAAUUUUCAAAUAAAUUUCAAAAAUCCAGUUUUCACUCGAACAAUUUUAAUUUCAUUCCGAUUCUCAAAUAAUCUAUUGUUUAUCUUGAUUUUACAUAAGUAUGAAUGCAAUUUUUCAUAAUUCCACAAUAAUGGAAUUUGCGAAACUAAUUCGUGCAAGAUAGAUUGGAUUUUGGUGGGAGGCCCAACAUUGGUGUUUUUUUCCUCUAAAAAUAAAUUUAAUUGAAUUGAAUUGUGAUAUCUAUUGAUUUCUCACUCUGUUUAGUGGCAUAUGUGACAUAGUCUGUUUUUGUUAAUUCUGCACUAAUCUCAUUUCUUGAUAGCACAUUGUGGCUCAUGGCCCAAGUACGCAUCCGCUCCCAUUCUAGUCAUUCUCCAUGCAUAUUCUGAUUCUCAUAUGUGCAUGAUCGAUUUGAGUACCCAUUGAUUUCCUUAUUGAUUGCCACAUCAACUUCCUUUUAUCAGUAGAGACCUGACUUUAGGGACUUAUAUGGGUGCUACGGUCCUUACUAUACAUUCCCGAUAAGUAAUCUGACCUCCGAGUCUGAUCCGGUUUUUCAAAAAUCACUUUUUUCAAAAUAAGGAGUUACACUUAGGGUUUUCUUUCUUAUUUUGUAUACCCUUUUGAUUACUACUCAAAAAGUGCUAUUUGAUAGCUUGUAAUUAACUCUUUUAAACACUUUUGAGUAGUAGUUAUUGCCUUUUAACCCAAUUAACAUGUUAAGGACCCUUGCAAUCAAUUCUAAUCAAAUUGUGUUAAGUUUUGGUGUUUUUGUUAGUAAUUUGAUCACCAAAACAAUCCAAGAUUGAGGAGAGUUAUUUGGAAUCCAUGGCAAAGCUUUUGGAAGCUCAAAUUUAUGAAGAACCAAGCUUUGGAGCUCCAUAGCCCUUUGCCAAAGUCGUUCAAAGUAUGCAAGGAGAGAAGCAAGGAGAAGAGGAAAACAGAGUGAAGAAAACAGAGGACAAGAAGCUGCAGUCUUCAUGCGCACUUUUGGAGCACUUCCCGAAGUCCAUUUUCUACAUUCUAUAUACCAUUUCAAAGCUCAGGAAGUCAAGAAUCCAAUGCUUCAAACGGUGCGUGAUUCGGAGUUGAAACGAAGAAGUUACAGCCAUUGCAAGCAGAUCACUCCAAAGUGUUGCGAAAUCAGCCUUUUGUUGCGAGAAUUUCGCAGCCUUUUUGUACAGUGCUAUGGAAUUCCUCCUGAAGCUACCCGAUACAUGCCGCAAGCUGGAACGCUGAGAACCUCAAGGUGGAAGCCAAUUUCGCAGCCCUGCGAGUUUAACUUGUUGUUGCGAAAAUAUUUCGCAGCCCUCUUGGGUGUCUGCGAAAUCUCGCAGACACCAUUUUCACCUGCGAAAUGGUUCCUGAAGCUUCCCGAUAUUUUCCACCGACUCUUUUGGAUAUUUUUCUUCAGAUAUUUUUGUAUAAAUUUCCAUUUUCUCCUUGUAUUCAGCCACUCAUGUAAUUCCUUAGCUAGGAAGUGUCCAAGGAAGGGUAAAUUACCUUCCUAUAUAAACUCUCUUGCAUCCACUGUAAAAAAAACGCUCGGAGAAGUAUGUAAUAUAGAAACAAUAUAUAGAAUCAACGAACAGAGCACUUGCUCUGUUUUUUCAUAUAUAUUCUUGUCUUCUCCUUCAUUUUCAUUUUCUAGCCAACCAAACUCUGAGGAUUUUUCCACAGAGGAUGAGAGGCUAAGCUUUUUGUCUCUUGGAGUAAGGAAAGCCGGGUAAGUUUCCACAUGCAUAAUUUGGAAGUUUUGUUGUUUUAGUUUUAAUGAAGAGAAAGUGUAACCCGUUAAUGGUUUUUAUCUUUUUAGUUAACUUAAAACACCUUAGAGUCACCUGAGCCAACACUUGGUAAGGCAAGUGAUUUCUAUCCAUGGAAAUGCACUAGUUUACCCCUUGCGAGCCUUUGGGAGGUGACUUGAAGGUAGGAUUUUCUAGAAUAGCCAACACUUGGUAAGCUUUUGGACUCCAAGGAGACAUCCAUUAGUUAUCUCUUGCGAGCUUUUGACGGGUAAUCCAAGGUUAAAGAUCUCCUUGAAUGGCAAGUGCUAGGUGAGAGGUAUGAGCCAUUGCAAGAUGCAUCAGUGAGAGGGAUUUAGUGUUUGAACCCAUUAAUGGGAAGCAUCUGUACAACACCGGUUGGAGAAGGAACUAUAUGUUAAUUCUCUAAUGCGAGGAAAAGAAACAAGUGACCGGAACUCCCUUUUUGUAUGAGGAAUCUGAGCCUAGUGAUCUGAAAUUCCAAGAAACACUUUUCUUUGUAAGUAAAAUCAGUUACUAUUUUUGGUUAGCUUAAAACCAAUCCUUUUUCAUUCAAAAAUCUUUAUGUUUUCUUUUAAAGCUAACCUUGAAAUGAAAAGGCACCAAUUCAGCUUUAAAUUAAUAUCAUUUGCAAAGUGAAAACCCAUCCCAGUGAACGAUCCUAGAGCCACUAUACUAUAGUAGUUUUGUCUUUGCUACCCUAGUAUAUGGUGUAAUAGGUUAUAAAUUUUGUUGAUUACUCCCUCAAUCAAGGAGCACCAGCUGUACACGAAUCAGCUGAGACAUCAAUUGGGCACGAAUCAAAUGGCGCCGCUGCCGGGGAUCGAACCCCGAAUCAAAUGGUGCCAUUGCCACUGCCGCUGCUAGGGACGAAUCAUUAAAAACAAAACAAAAAUAAGUGGCGAUUCCAAGUCAUUUCUAAAAAAAAAAAUCAUAUUUUUCAUUAAAUAAAUAAAAAACGAAUUUGCCAUCGAGUGAGAACGCAUUGAGCAAAAAUGCGAGGUCCACAUAUUGUUAUUUUUAUUUAUAAAGAAUCGAAAUUUACUUUAUCAUUUAUUAAUUGGCAUGAAAUGUUUUGACUUGCCUUGAUUAAUAAGGACUUCCAUGGCUUACCUGAUAGAGUUGGGCCCUUAACGUUAUCCACUCUGCAAUGUAUCAUGCCCUUCCAAAGCUUAAUCAAGUCAACGGCUAAGGUGUAAUUUCAUGCAUUAAAUUAUUUUAAAAAAUGUUUAAUACUGCAGUCAAGCUCGUACUACAUAUACUCUAAAAUCAACAAUGUAAUUUUCUGCACUGAGCAAUUUCAUAAAAAUGGUUUUUGAGUAAAAGAGAUUUGGAUUUUGGCCUAUGGCCUAUGGACUUUCAAAACAGGGGGUUACUCCUUGCAUUAGCUUUGUCAGGAGCACAAACCUGACAAAGAAAGCAAUUGGCAACAUGUUGAAUUUAAGCCACAAGCAUAGAGAAUCUUCAAACUUUGCAGCCUCCCCAGGUUUUGUGGCAACUUGUGGAGUUUUGAACACUCACUGACAUUGAGAACUUCAAGAAAGCAUAAAUUACAAGUGCUUCCUGGAAGAGUCACAAGGUUUUGGCAUCUGUCCAGAUUCAAAAGUUCAAGCCUAUUCAAAUGUUCGAUUGAUGAUGGUAGCUCUUUUAUAGCCGUUCCGUUCAAGUGAAGCUCCCUUAAGUUUUCCAUAUUCUCCAAGAUUUCUGGAAAGUACUGUAAUUGUGAACAGUCAGAGCCAAAGAGAGAUUUUAGGGAUUUGAACUCCCGAAUGCUUGUUGGCAGACUCUCAAGGUUUUUGCACUCUCGCAAACAUAAGGUAUCAAAUUCAGAGGCAUGCUCAAUGGGUAGUAGGUUGAUUGUCUGACCCUUUAAACAAAGCUUUCGGUGUUCCACGUUCCUCUGACAUUCCACGCAGCUAGCAUCCACAUCCUCAGUCUGUACUAUUGGAUCUUGGGAGUAUAUAGGUUGAAGCCCACACUUGAGCACCUUAAAAUGAUUGCGAGAGCCCAUAAAUAGAGCCCCAAGAAACAUGGAUGGAUUGGUGUGACAGCUCUCCAGAAUAGCAGCCUUGGGAUAGAAUAUCACCCACAUUUGUUCUGAUGCACCUCCAUCAUGGUAGCAUUUACAAGUAGUGCGAAAACUGAGAGGUUGCACACACAGGGGAGAAAAUCCAUAUCCAUCAUGCAAUGACAAUUGACAUUCUAACUCAGUGGAGAUUGAAGAUUCAGCUUCAAAUAAAUCGUCAGAUUCAUUCAGGGCUUCGUCACCAGAUUCAUUCUCCGAAAAUGUAUGUGCAAAAUCAUUUUCUGGUAUGUCCUCACAUUCAUCGAGUGGAGCAUAAACACAGCAUAUAGCAAUUCCCAAGAAGUCAUUAUUUUCAUAACAACUCUGAGGAAGGUCCAUUGUGAUCUGAUAUCCCUCUCUCUGUUUCCUUAUCCACUUGGGAAUUCCACUGCUUCCCGGAACAACAAUACAGAUUCCAUGGCCAAUGAAGUCAGAAUCAGGGAGAAAUACUUCAUUUGAACUGCUCUUGUAUUUCAAAUCCUGUACAAAGGGACAAUGUAAAUCCAGUGGGUCUGUGCCAUUAUGUGAGUUUUUAUGAGAGAGUUUGUUAUCGGUUUUUGAUAAAUUGAUUCCCAGUUUUAACUUUCUUUGAUCUAUGCUCCUGAAUCUACUUAAUAUCCCUUUUAGAUGACGGAUAAUCAAUCAACAUGAAAGUGAGUGACAAGAUUAAGUGUGAAAACUGGAAGUGAGGGGAAACUGAAACUGAAAGUGAGUAGAAUAAGCAGAUCUGUUCUUCACUUGCAGUAGCUUCUUCUCCAUUCAGAUUCAGAGAUCUUAGAAUUGUAGCUUCAACUUAACUCUCAGAAUCUUAAAGACAAAGUUCGCUCAAGUUUCAAAAACUCACAGAAAAGUUUCUCCUCAUGUUUCUUUUAAUCCCAUGAGGCGACAGACAUGUAGCACACACUUACUGGCUUUUUGCCAUGCAAGUUUCAAGGUGGAGUGUCCAAUGAACUAAAACAUUCCCUCAAAUCCUAGUGGAAAUUCACACUAUAAAUUUCAGAAUUUGCUAAAGAAAAGUUUAAUUAAUUUUACCCAUGACUAAAAAGGCAUGUGAGGGCAUUUUAACAGCCUAUUAAUUAUUAUAUUAAACUACUAUUCUCAUUACUCAAACUCAUGAUCCUUCACAUCAUCACCACAUUUUGAAGAGACUUUCGUCAACUCUUCUAUGAAUGAAUUGAUGUUUAAGGAGGCAUAAUAAACUUUUAAUUGAAUUUAACAUUAUUUCUAUCCUUAUACUCAUCUUAAAUUAUUAUUUUUUUAUAUUCUUAUCAAAAUAAAUAAAAACUUAACAAAAAAAAUAAAGAUUUCAAAACAAACUUUAUUAGCAACACUUAUUUACAUCAUUCUUUAAAAAAAUAUUCAAAAACAAAUUUUUUUACAAUUAAAAAAAUGUGAUUUAAAAUUUAUAAAGAACAAAAUUUUUAGAAAAAUAUGGUAGUUGUUUGAAAUAAAAUAAAAGGGAAAUCAAAAUUCUUAGUAAAUGAAUAGUCAAAAAAACUGUAACAGAUAUGCAAAUGAGAAAAAAAAUAAUCAAUGUCAAGAAUGAGAAACAAUUUUUUCUUUUUUCUUUUCUUAUUUUAUGCAUUCAUUACCAUUUUUAAAUUAAUAAAUAAAGUUUUUCUCACAAAAUUUUAAAAUGGCAUGUAUGCUUCAAAAUUUAUAUAUUGUUAUUAGAUUUUUAUAAAUUUCAUUUAUAUCCUCAAAAUUAGAAUCAUUAAACUCACAUUUUAAAAUAAGAUAUCAAAUAGUUAUUUUUUCAUCCUUUAGCAAUAUCAAACGUUUUUUGUACUUUAAUAAAAAAAAAAAAAGCUAUUUUUUCUAAUUAAUGACUAUUUUGCAUAAUAUUUGUAUAAAUUAUUUAAUAUAUAAAUAUUACUUAUUUAAUAGUUUUUUUUUAAUUUCUUAUAGAAAGAGUAGUGCAUACAUAAUUCAAACAAAAGGUAAUUUUAUAUUGCAAAAAAGUUUGUGGAAAAAGGAAAUUUGAACAAGGAUUGAAAUUUAUAGAACCAUAUUGGACACCUAGUUCUAGGUUUGUCCCUUUCCAACAAUCAUGACUUGGUAGUAGCCUAAUCUCAAAUCUAACUUUGUCAGGCCCUUCCUUUACUAAGUCGAUCAAACAAGUUGUUAACAAACAGAAUAAGAUAUUUUUUCUUUUCACCUUGUUGAGUCUUCGAUAAUCUAUACACAUUCAGAGGGAUCCAUUAUGUUUCUUUUAGAAUAAUAUUGAUGUGGCAUAUGAAGCUUUAGUUGGUUGGAUGUAUCCCAUGUUAUGCAACUUCUUAAGUUGUUUCCUUUGUUCUUCUAAAUUAGGUAGUAUCAUCCUAUGGGACCUCCAUGGCAAGGGGCUUAGCUCCUGGCUCUAAGUCAAUCUUGUGCUCCCCUUCCCUUAUUUGUGUGAGUUUCUUAUGUAAUUUUAAUGACAUCUAAGGAUGGCAAAGUUUGAUACAAUUUUUCAACCAAACUUGAAGAAGCGUUAUUAGUGGGUUUGGAAAGUUCUAAUCUAUUUUACUUUUUAAAACAAAGUAAAAUAGAGAACAAUUUUUAAAGAACAAUUAGGAGUUGUUUUUACCAAUUUUUAAAAAACAAAAAAUAUAUAAACUCAUUUGACUAUAUUCUUUUAAACUUGUUUUUAAAUUAAAGAAUAAAAAAUAAUUUUUUAAAAUAAGUUUCAAAAAAUAUGACCAAGUCGGGGUUUAUAAUAUUAAAGAGGAAAAAAGUUAAUUUAAGAUUUUGCAUGCAGGUAAACAUCAGGCUGUAAAACUGGUUUACUAAGACACUCAUUUUAUUUAUAUAUUCUUCUAUGUGCAUGCAUUGACCAUGUGGUUAAGAUGUGUUGCACCGAAAUCUAAUGAUUAGCUGUAAAACGUUAAUUAAUCCGAGCAUACAUUUUUCUUUAUUUGUUUUGGUUUCUUUACAAGAAUGCUUCUUUAUGUAUUCUUGUUGAACCUAUAAAAUAUCAUCCAUAGACAUUCUUUUUGAAUAAUUAAGAACCGAGAUUUCUAAUUGGUUGGUUAUUAUUUUUAUCUGUAAGGAAUCGAAAUUUAGCUCAUCAUUUAUCGUAUGAAUAUCAUAUAGAUUUGAAAAGAAUUUCACACUUAGAAAUGUACCUCUCAGAACAUUUGAAGUUAAGAUGUUUUUGUCUUCUUCAAUUUGAUUGCUCAUUACGACUUUGAGAUUCAAAUUCCUUUUGAUGUAAAAAACAAACUUAAAUAAAUAAAAAGAAUUAAAAGAUAAGCAGAGCAAAAAAUUAAAUAGUGUGAGUUGGAAUGAAUAAAGUUUUAAUCAAAAUUGGAAAUUAAGGUGAAACAUCCUAAAUUAUAUACAAAAGCUCAUAUAAUAUUACACCAUAAUUUCUCUAAAUUAAUCUUAACCUUUUAGUGCAGUGUGUACAGUCAUUGCUUGUUUGUGGAUUAGAAUUAGUAUCUUCUGCUGCUGAUCUGGUAUCACAACUUCUCUGCUCAUCAUUGUACUCUAUCAUUGUCUGAUGGUCGCGCCUGGUGGCUUCUGUGUUGUCACAGCUUCUCCGAGCAUCACUACUGGUAUCUUCUGGGAUGUUUCUGUUUAUAACAUCAGGUGUAUAUAUAAGAUGGAACCCACACUCUUUCACUUCGACUGGUGUACCGUCCAAGCUAUGAAAUGAAGCCUUCAAACGUCUCCAUUCGUUCGACCAAUACUGGUUGCCAAUAACAACCUUGGGAUAAUAAGUCACACACAUUUGACUUGAUUCACCGCAAAUUCGGCAGCAAUAAGACCGGACAUCAUCCACGUGACAGCAUUCAGAUUGAUCACCACAGAUAUUGAGUUCGCAAUUCAACCAACCACAAGCCAUAGGAAUAAAAACAGAGUAUAAAGCAAAUCCUAAGAAGCCAUCUUUUCUGUACAAAUCCGUAGAAAGCUCUAUUGUUAUUUGAGAUCCUUUUUUUGGCUGGCUUAUCCACUCUGGAAUUCCAUCAUUUCCCGAAAUAACAACUCUGAUUGCCUUGUUCCAAUAGGAGCCGCAUUCAAAUUCCUGCACAGAAGUACAGUGUUAAUACUCUGUUCAUAAGGAAAAAGGGCUGAAUGUUAUGAAAAUCAUACCUCAAUCAUUGAUUUGAAGCAUUUGAACAGAGAAAAACCAAGUUGACUUGAUGGACUUGAUAAAGUUUCCAAGCAUGUGCAACUGUGGACAUCUAGAACUCGUAAACUUGGUGGAAACUCUGGAACUUGUAGAAGCCCCUGGCAGUGACUCAAUUCAAGGACUCUCAGUUUAGAAAGUUGAAUGAUGCCUGCAAGUAUGCUACUAAAACAGUCCUUGCUUAGAUUUAGACCUGAAGCGUACAAACCCUCUAAACAUUGCAAACUCCUCAGGUUCUCGGGAAAUCUCUCAAGUUUUGUACAGAAACUGACAUUUAGAAUUUUGAGAGUUUUCAAAUUACAAAAGGCCUCUGGAAGACUCACAAGGUAUUGCGAGAUUCAAAUAUUGAAGCCCUCUUAGAUAUUGAAUUGAUGCUGGUAGUUCUUCGAUAGCAGUUCCAUCUAAAUGAAGCUCUCUUAUAUUUUCCACAUCCUCGAGGAUUUCCGGAAAGCUCCUUAAUCGUGAACAGCCUGAGCAGAAGAGAGUUGUAAGGGAUUUCAACUCACAUAUGCUACUGGGAAGAAGCUCAAGGUUUUUGCAUUCUCGCAAACAUAACCUAUUAAGUUUAUGGGGACACUCAACAGUGGGUAGUUCAUUGAUGGCAUUUCACUUUAAACAAAGCUUCCAUAGGGAUUGCACAUCCUCUUGACAUUCCCGGCAAACGGUGGAUAUCAUUGCUUUACCAUGGUUCUGUUCAUGAUCAUGGGCAUAUAUAAGAUGGAUCCCACACUCUUCUACUUUCACUGCUUUACCUCUCAAGUAGCCACAAAAUGAAGCCGUCAACUGCCUCCAUUUAUUUGAGUGGUACUUCUCCUCAAUCUCAUGCUUAGGAUAAUAAAUCAUCCACAUACAAGGUACAACAUAGACGUGAAAUGAGGGAUAAAACUGGAGUUUAUCCACAAACUGAAUUUCAUGACCACGCAAAGUUAAACCAUACUCGAAGUAAGUUGCACCAUUCUCCAGUGUCUCCUCAGAUUCAUUAUCCAGUGGAUAAUAGACACAGUACAAAACAAAACCCAACAAGUCGUCAUUUUUAUACCAAUUUUGAGGAAGCUUUGCUACUACUUCAGCUCCCUUUUUGUGAUGGCUUAUCCAAUCUGGAAUUCCACAACUUUCUGAAAUAAUAAGAUUUACUCGGGCAAAAGGUUUUUCUAAAGGAUAAAUCUUGCAUUCCAAAUCCUGCAGAAAAUUUAAUUAACACUUAAAUCCCCAUGUCUCCACAAAAAAAGUUUUGGUCUAUGAAUAUCAUACCUGAAUCAAUGAUUUGAAGCAGUUGAAUAGAGAAGACCAGAGUAGACCUGAAGAAGUUUCCAGCCGUUUGCACAAAUGUAUAUCUAAGACACGCAAACUGGAUGGAAGUGCUGGAAUUUGUCGAAGCUCUUGACAGUUACCCAAGACAAGGAGUCUCAGCCUAGAAAGUUGAUUGAUCCCAGCAGGUAUGCUCCUAAAAAGAUUCCCGAAUAGAAAUAAUUCUUGCAGAGAUGAUAGCUGGCAAAUUUCAGUGGGGAUUCCUCCUUCAUCUAUACCACACACACGUAGAUCUACAACUUCCAAGGAGUACAAGCAGCAAAUAUCACUCAGGACUACUCCUUGCAUUAGCUUUGAGUAAAUAAGAUCUAACUCCUUUAAGGAGCAUAAACCUGACAAAGAAAGCAAUUGGCAACAUCUUGAAUUUAAGCCCCUAGCACGGAGACACUUCAAGCUUUGCAGCCUCCCCAGGUUUUGUGGCAAUUUGUGGAGUUUUGAACAGUAAUUCACAUUGAGAUCUUCAAGAAAGCGUAAAUUACAAAUGCUUUCUGGAAGAGUCACAAGGUUUUUGCACCUCUCAAGAUUCAAAACUUGAAGCCUAUUCAAAUGUUCGAUUGAAGAUGGUAGCUCUUUUAUGGCCGUUCCGUUCAAGUGAAGCUGCCUUAAGUUUUCCAUAUUCUCCAAGAUUUCUGGGAAGUACUGUAAUUGUGAACAGUCAGAGCAAAAGAGAGAUUUUAGGGAUUUGAACUCCCAAAUGCUUGUUGGUAGACUCUCAAGGUUUUUGCACUCUCGCAAACAUAAGGUAUCAAAUUCAGAGGCACACUCAAUGGGUGGUAGGCUGAUUGUCUGACCCUUUAAACAAAGCUUUCGGUGUUCCACAUUCCUCUGACAUUCAGCGCAGCUAGCAUCCACAUCAUCAGUCUGUACUAUUGGAUCUUGGGCGUAUAUAGGUUCAAGCCCACACUUGAGCACCUUAAAAUGAUUGCGACAGCCCAUAAAUAUAGCCCCAAGAAACAUGGAUGGAUUGGUGUGACAGCUCUCCAGAAUAGCAGCCUUGGGAUAGAAUAUCACCCACAUUUGUUCUGAUCCACCUCCAUCAUGGUAGCAUUUACAAGUAGUGCGAAAACUGAGACGUUGCGCACACAGGGUAGAAAAUCCAUAUCUAUCAUGUAAUGACAAUUUACAUUCUAACCCAGUGGAGAUUGAAGAUUCAGCUUCAAGUAAAUCGUCAUAUUCAUUUAGGGCUUCGUCACCAGAUUCAUUCUCCGAUGUAUGUGCAAAAUCAUUUUCUGGUAUGUCCUCACAUUCAUCGUGUGGAGCAUAAACACAGCAUAUAGCAAUUCCCAAGAAGUCAUUAUUUUCGUAACAAUUCUGAGGAAGGUCCAUUGUGAUAUGAUUUCCCUCUCUCUGAUUCCUUAUCCACUUGGGAAUUCCACAGCUUCCCGGAACAACAAUACAGACUCCAUUGCCAAUGAAGUCAGAAUCACGGAGAAAUACUUCAUUUGAACUGCUCUUGUAUUUCAAAUCCUGUACAAAAGGACAAUGUAAAUCCUGUGGGUCUGUGCCAUUAUGUGAGUUUUUAUGAGAGAGUUUGUUAUCAGUUUUUGAUAAAUUGAUUCCCAGUUUUAACUUUCUUUGAUCUAUGCUCCUGAAUCUACUUAAUAUCCCUUUUAGAUGACGGAUUAUCAAUCAACAUGAAAGUGAGUGACAAGAUUAAGUGUGAAAACUGGAAGUGAGGGGAAACUGAAACUGAAAGUGAGUAGAAUAACCAGAUCUCUUCUUCACUUGCAGUAGCUUCUUCUCCAUUCAGAUACAGAGAUCUUAGAAUUGUAGCUUCAACUUAACUCUCAGAAUCUUAAAGACAAAGUUCGCUCAAGUUUCAAAAACUCACACAAAAAUUUCUCCUCAUGUUUCUCUUAAUCCUAUGAGGCGAGAGACAUGUAGCACACACUUAUUGGCUUUUUUACAUGCAAGUUUCAAGGUGGAGCGUCUAAUGAACUAAAACAUUCCCUCAAAUCCCAGUGGAAAUUCACACUAGAAAUUGCAGAAUUUGCUAAGGAAAAGUUUAAUUCAUUUAAUCCAUGAAUAAAAAAGUAUGUGAGAGCAUUUUAACAUCCUAAUACUUAUUAUAUUAAACUAUAAUUCUCAUUAUUUAAACUCAUGAUCCUUCACUUCAUCACCAAAUUUUGAAGACACUUUUGGCAUCUCUUCCAUGAAUUAAUUGAUGUUUAAGAAGGUAUAAUAAACUUUUAAUUGAAUUUAACAUUAUUUCUAUCCUAAUACUCAUCUUAAACUCUGUUUUUUUUUUUUUUAUACUCUUAUCAAAACAAAUAAAAACUUAACAAAAAAAUAAAGAUUUCAAUUACUCCGUGUUCAAAAGGGAAAAUGGCUAAAUGUCAUGAAAAUCAUACCUCAAUAGUUGAUUUAAAGCAUUUGAACAGAGAAACACCAAGUAGACAUGAUGGACUUGAUAAAACUUCCAAGCAUGUGCAACUGUGGACAUCUAGAACUCGUAAACUUGGUGGAAGCUCUGGAACUUGUAGAAGCCCCUGGCAGUGACUCAAUUCAAGGACUCUCAGUUUAGAAAGUUGAAUGAUGCCUGCAAGUAUGCUACUAAAACAGUCCUUGCUUAGAUUUAGACCUGAAGCGUACAAACCCUCUAAACAUUGCAAACUCCUCAGGUUCUCGGGAAAUCUCUCAAGUUUUGUACAGAAACUGACAUUUAGAAUUUUGAGCGUUUUCAACUUACAAAUGGCCUCUGGAAGACUCACAAGGUUGCUGCAAUCUGCAAGAUUCAAAUGUUGAAGCCCUCUUAGAUAUUGAAUUGAUGCUGGUAGUUCUUCUAUAGCAGUUCCAUCUAAAUGAAGCUCUCUUAUAUUUUCCACAUCCUCGAGGAUUUCCGGAAAGCUCCUUAAUCGUGAACAGCCUGAGCAGAAGAGAGUUGUAAGGGAUUUCAACUCACAUAUGCUACUGGGAAGAAGCUCAAGGUUUUUGCAUUCUCGCAAACAUAACCUAUUAAGUUUAUGGGGACACUCAAUAGUGGGUAGUUCAUUGAUGGCAUUUCCCUUUAAACAAAGCUUCCAUAGGGAUUGCACAUCCUCUUGACAUUCCCGGCAAACGGUGGAUAUCAUUGCUUUACCAUGGUUCUGUUCAUGAUCAUGGGCAUAUAUAAGAUGGAUCCCACACUCUUCUACUUUCACUGCUUUACCUCUCAAGUAGCCACAAAAUGAAGCCGUCAACUGCCUCCAUUUAUUUGAGUGGUACUUCUCCCCAAUCUCAUACUUAGGAUAAUAAAUCAUCCACAUAUAAGGUACAACAUUGCCGUAAAAUGAGGGAUAAAACUGGAGUUUAUCCACAAACUGAAUUUCAUGACCACGCAAAGUCAAACCAUACUCGAAGUAAGUUGCAUCAUUCUCCAGUGUCUCCUCAGAUUCAUUAUCAAGUGGAUAAUAGACAGAGUACAAAACAAAACCCAACAAGUCGUCAUUUUUAUACCAAUUUUGAGGAAGCUUUGCUACUACUUCAGCUCCCUUUUUGUGAUGGCUUAUCCAAUUUGGAAUUCCACAACUUUCUGAAAUAAUAAGAUUUACUCGGGCAAAAGGUUUUUCUAAAGGAUAAAUCUUGCAUUCCAAAUCCUGCAGAAAAUUUAAUUAACACGUAAAUCCCCAUGUCUCCACAAAAAAAGUUUUGGUCUAUGAAUAUCAUACCUGAAUCAAUGAUUUGAAGCAGUUGAAUAGAGAAGACCAGAGUAGACCUGAAGAAGUUUCCAGCCGUUUGCACGAUUGUACAUCUAAGACACGCAAACUGGAUGGAAGCACUGGAAUUUGUCGAAGCUCUUGACAGUUACUCAAGACAAGGAGUCUCAGCCUAGAAAGUUGAUUGAUCCCAGCAGGUAUGCUCCUAAAAAGAUUCCCGAUUAGAAGUAAUUCUUGCAGAGAUGAUAGCUGGCAAAUUUCAGUGGGGAUUCCUCCUUCAUCUAUACCGCAGAAAGAUAGAUCUAACACUUCCACGGAGUACAAGCAGCAAAUAUCACUCAGGACUACUCCUUGCAUUAGCUUUGAGUAAAUAAGAUCCAACUCCUUUAAGGAGCAUAAACCUGACAAAGAAAGCAAUUGGCAACAUCUUGAAUUUAAGCCCCUAGCACGGAGACGCUUCAAGCUUUGCAGCCUCCCCAGGUUUUGUGGCAAUUUGUGGAGUUUUGAACAGAAAUUGACAUUGAGAUCCUCAAGAAAGCGUAAAUUACAAAUGCUUUCUGGAAGAGUCACAAGGUUUUUGCACCUCCCCAGAUUCAAAACUUGAAGCCUAUUCAAACGUUCGAUUGAAGAUGGUAGCUCUUUUAUAGCCGUUCCAUUCAAGUGAAGCUGCCUUAAGUUUUCCAUAGUCUCCAAGAUUUCUGGGAAGUACUGUAAUUGUGAACAGUCAGAGCAAAAGAGAGAUUUUAGGGAUUUGAACUCCCAAAUGAUUGUUGGUAGACUCUCAAGGUUUUUGCACUCUCGCAAACAUAAGGUAUCAAAUUCAGAGGCACGCUCAAUGGGUGGUAGGCUGAUUGUCUGACACUUUAAACAAAGCUUUCGGUGUUCCACAUUCCUCUGACAUUCAGCGCAGCUAGCUUCCACAUCCUCAGUCUGUACUAUUGGAUCUUGGGCGUAUAUAGGUUCAAGCCCACACUUGAGCACCUUAAAAUGAUUGCGACAGCCCAUAAAUAUAGCCCCAAGAAAAAUGGAUGGAUUGGUGUGACAGCUCUCCAGAAUAGCAGCCUUGGGAUAGAAUAUCACCCACAUUUGUUCUGAUCCACCUCCAUCAUGGUAGCAUUUACAAGUAGUGCGAAAACUCAGAUGUUGCACACACAGUGUAGAAAAUCCAUAUCUAUCAUGCAAUGACAAUUGACAUUCUAACUCAGUGGAGAUUGAAGAUUCAGCUUCAAGAAAAUCGUCAUAUUCAUUUAGGGCUUCAUCAUCAGAUUCAUUCUCCGAUUUAUGUGCAAAAUCAUUUUCUGGUAUGUCCUCACAUUCAUCAAGUGGAGCAUAAACACAGCAUAUAGCAAUUCCCAAGAAGUCAUUAUUUUCGUAACAAUUCCGAGGAAGGUCCAUUGUGAUCCUAUUUUCCUUUCUCUGAUUCCUUAUCCAGUUGGGAAUUCCACAGCUUCCCGGAACAACAAUACAGAUUCCAUGGCCAAUGAAGUAAGAAUCAGAGAGAAAUACUACGUUUGAACUGCUCUUGUAUUUCAAAUCCUGUACAAAAGGACAAUGUAAAUCCUGUGGGUCUGUGGCAUUAUGUGAGUUUUUAUGAGAUAGUUUGUUGUCAGUUUUUGAUAAAUUGAUUCCCAGUUUUAACUUUCUUUGAUCUAUGCUCCUGAAUCUACUUAAUAUCCCUUUUAGAUGACGGAUUAUCAAUCAACGUGAAAGUGAGUGACAAGAUUAAGUGUGAAAACUGGAAGUGAGGGGAAACUGAAACUGAAAGUGAGUAGAAUAACCAGAUCUCGUCUUCACUUGCAGUAGCUUCUUCUCCAUACAGAUUCAGAGAUCUUAAAAUUGUAGAUUCAACUUAACUCUCAGAAUCUUAAAGACAAAGUUCGCUCAAGUUUCAAAAACUCACAGAAAAAUUUCUCCUCAUGUUUCUCUUAAUCCUAUAAGGCGAGAGACAUGUAGCACAAACUUAUUGGCUUUUUUCCAUGCAAGUUUCAAGGUGGAGCGUCUAAUGAUAUAAAACAUUCCCUCAAAUCCCAGUGGAAAUUCACACUUGAAAUUGCAGAAUUUGCUAAGGGAAACUUUAAUUCAUUUCAUCCAUGAAUAAAAAAGUAUGUGAAGGCAUUUUAACUUCCUAAUAAUUGUUAUGUUAAACUAUAAUUCUCAUUAUUUAAACUCAUGAUCCUUCACUUCAUCACCACAUUUUGAAGAGACUUUUGUCAUCUCUUCCAUGAAUUAAUUGAUGUUUAAGGAGGUAUAAUAAACUUUUAAUUGAAUUUAACAUUAUUUAUAUCGUUAUACUCAUCUUAAACUAUUAUUUUUUUUAUACUCUUAUCAAAAUAAAUUAAAACUUAACAAAAAAAAAAUUAAAGAUUUCAAAACAAACUUUAUAAAUUUAUCAACACUUAUUUACAUCAUUCUUUAAAGAAAUAAAUUUAUAAUUAAAAAAAAAAGAAGUGAUUUAAGAAUUAUAAAGAAGAAAAUUUUAAGAAAAAAUGUACUAGUUAUUUGAAAUAAAAUAUAAGGGAAAUCAAAAUUCUUAGUAAAUGAAUCCUCAAAAAAUUGUAACAGCUAUGCAAAUGAGAAAAAAAAUUAAAAGUAAAAAAAAAUUAUCAAUGUCAAGAAUGAGAAACAAUUUUUUUCUUUUUCUUUUCGUAAGUUUUUUUAUUCUUAUUUAAUGUAUUCAUUACAAUUUUUAAAUUAAUAAAUAAAGUUUUUAUCACAAAAUUUUAAAAUGCCAUGUAUGCUUCAAAAUUUAUAUAUUGUUAUUAGAUUUUUAUAAAUUUCAUUUAUAUCUUCAAAAUUACAAUUAUUAAACUCACAUUUUAAAAUAAGAUAUCAUAUAGUUAUUUUUUCAUCCUUUAGCAAUAUAAAACGUUUUCGUACUUUAAUAAAAAAAACUUUUUUUUUUCUAAAUAAUGACUAUUUUGUAUAAUAUUAGUAUAAACUAUUUAACAUAUAAGUACUACUCAUUCAAUAGUUUAUUUUUUUAAUUUAUUAGAGAAAGAGUGGUGCAUAUAUAAUUCAAAUAAAAGGUAAUUUCAUAUUGCAAAAAAGUUUGUGGAAAAAGGAAAUUUGAACAAGCAUUGAAAUUUAUAGGAACAAUAUUGGAAACCUAGUUUUAGGUUUGUCCCAUACCAACAAUCAUGACUUGGUAGUAGCCUAAUCUCAUAUCUAACUUUGUCAAGCCCUUCCUUUACUAAGUUGAUCAAACAAGUUGUUAAAAAGCAUAAUACAAUAUUUUUCACUUUCACCUUGUUGAGUCUUCGAUAAUCUAUACACAUUCAAAGGGAUCCAUUAUGUUUCUUUUAGAAUAAUAUUGGUGUGGCAUACGAAGCUUUAGUUUGUUGGAUGUAUCCCAUGUUAAGCAACUCCUUAAGUUGUUUCCUUAGUUCUUCUAAAUUACGUAGUGCCAUCCUAUUGGACCUCCAUGGCAAAGGGCUUAGCUCCUGGCUCUAAAUCAAUCUUGUGCUCCCCUUCCCUUAUUUGUGUGAAUUUCUUAUGUAAAUUUAAUGGCAUCUAAGGAUGACAAAGUUUGAUACAAUUUGUACGUCAACCAGACUUGAACCCGAGCAUUUUUAGUGAGUUUGUGUUUCCAUACCGUAAGUUGGAUUCAUGAAAGUCUCAGACUUGAAUCAAUUGAAUUAAAAAUAAAUAUUCAUGUUGUUAUUAAUUUAGUUUCUUUUACUUAGUUUUACUAAAUAAAAUUUUAUUCACAUAUUGUUUUUCACUUUAGGAUUUAAAUAAAAGUGAUUCAUUUAUCCUAGUAUUGACAAAUUCCAUAGCCAGACCUAGAGGAUGAUACUCGGAGUACUAUAAAAGUUGUAGUGACUUUUUCUCUGAUUUUUCUUAAUCAAAGUUACUACAUAAAAAGACUUAGUAUUUGAACAAUAGAGAAGAAUGGUCAAAAUUCAAGUAAAAUGGAAUGAUUAAUAUUAAUGAAUUUUUACCAUAAUAAAGAAUGAUACUUGAUUCUAGACUACUUAGGUAUGGAUUAAAAGAUUAACAUUAGAUAGAAUAACUCACGUAUAUUAAAGCAUUUUGCUAAGUUCUUUUUAUCCUUGAUCUUUUAUGAGAUUGAGCCAAUAAGGUUACACUUAAAAAUUUAAUGUGUUUGAAACACUCCUCUAAAAUCAAUCAUUCAAAUAUUAGAAAACAAGUAAAAUAUUUUUCAUAUGCUGAUUAAUAUACCCAAGGUAGUUCUUGAAUUAUCCUAACACAAAUAUCUUGCGAGUCUUAAUUUUGUCAAAUCAAUAUAUAUCUUUAGAUUUCUAAAGAAACUACUAUACUCGCGCACAUUCAUCCAUGAGUUAGGUAGAUUUUAUCUCUUGUAAGAGUUCAAAGAUACUGCAAACAAAAUUCACUGUACAAUUAAUAUCUCUCAAUGGUAUGUUAUUCAACUAAAACUAGUAGUGUCUUAUGUUAAUGGGCUUAGUUUUAUAAUGUAAAACUAGAUCUUUAAUACAUUAAUAGCUCUCAUGUUAUCACAAGGCAUAAUUAUGAUUUAUCACUCUCACCAUAAUCCUUUUAACAUACGUUUUAUCGAAAGUAAUUGCUUGGUUUGUUAGCUUCUUAUUAAGCUAGGCAACUGAGCAAUUAAAAUAUAGAAACAUCCCCUAUAAGUGUUCUUCCGUUCUUUAGACCUUCCAUCCCUAUUCAACAUUUGUAUGAAAAAUGUUGUCUACAAAUAUAUUGGUGUAAUACCACAAUCCAAGUUUAUAAGUACCAACCACAAAUAUAAUGAUUCUAUUAACAACUCCAAGGUGUGAUUUCUUAGGAAGAUUCUUAUCACGCAUAAACUCCAGUUCUAUAGGUUUAUCCAGCCUAAAUGUCAUUACAUAAAGAAGGCUUCCAACCAUUGAUCUACAGGUGGAUAGAUUUACAAACUUACCACUCCCAUCUCUUGUAAAAAUUUUCCUACAACUUUUCUAUUGUCGUGACCUAGCUAAGUUCAGCCAUUUUAAUUUAGCUUAUAGAGAGGGCCCCAUCGCUAACAUUUCCAAUCACAUUGUUGAUAGGAUGAUCACUAAUUUCUCUAAUUUUGCUCCAUGUGGAUGUUUGCUUGAUUUUCAUUGAGUUCAUUCACAUUCUCAAUCAUUCAACUCUUUUUUCUCACCUAAAUCUAGAAUGUUUGAUGAAAUAUCCUUAAGAAAAACACAUUAUUUUCUUUACUUCCUUAGUCAUCUAUCAAUACAUUGAUCGAUUCAAUUACAACUCUUUAAUUAUUAAAGAAGAUCUUAAAGGCUUUAAGCCAAGUUGAGUAUCUAACAAAAAUUCUUUCAACAUGCUUUGAUUCAAACAUCCCUAAUUUUUUAGAAUUGUUUGGAUAAGACAUUGUUCCUAAAAACUAUAUUUUACAUUAAGCUUCCUACUUGUCUAAACAUCAUAGCAAGUCCUUUUGGUUCUAACGUAUAGGUGGACUCAAUUAGAAGUACAAGAUGUUGUGUUUAUGGGUUAACCUGACAAGUUGUUAGAGCCUUUGGAUUAAUCCAUUCUAAACCUAGGAUCGUUGGGGUGUUUGCAAAAACUAUCUUAAGGAUCUUUAGAUCUACCCAACAAAAGCAUAUACAUGAAAAAAAUACACCUGCAAACUUUAUGUUUCCAAAAUGAUUUCAGUCUAUGAAGAAGCUAGUGCAAAUCUCAAAAACCAAGAGAUCUUUUGCUCAAUGGCUCUCUUUCCUGGAUCUAGGCACUUGUAGAUGGUGAAAUCCUCAUAGAAGGGUGGAUGCUAAGGUUCCUCUCUCUAGAUUCUAAAGAAAUGGAAGAAGAAUAAAAAAGUCCUAACCCUUAAAUGGGUUUAUAUAGGAUUCCCUAUGGGCUUAAGUGACUUGAGUCUAUCUUAGGCUUAGGGGUCGCUAAAAAAAGCCCACUUGGAUCUUAGUUAAAUAAUUAGCCCUAUUAAGGUCCAAUUAAUUAAUUAUCCUUUUCCAAAAACAUCAUUCAUAAGAUCUAAAACAACUUUGCAUUUUUACCAAAACACCCUUAUGCACAUGUAUGAAUAAAUAACCUAUACAUCCCUUAAGUAAUGUGUCACAUAGAAGUAUGAACUCAAGUAGGGACCAUUAGGAGUGGUAGGAAAAUAGUGGCUCCUGUAUAAUUUAAUUCUAAAGUUGACUUAACAUCCUUCUACAAAAAAUCAAUUGCACUCUAAUAUCCUAUGAUAUUACAUUAAUAUAAAAUACAUGGGUUUGUGACCUACUAACGACUAAAAGCUAGCUCCUCAUGAAUUGGCGUCCAUAAUAUAACAAGGUGAACACUUUCAAUCUUUUAAGAUUAACUUUACAAUCCUUAUGUUAUAGAUCAUCCCAUUAAGUGAUAAAUUGACAUACUAUAACCCACAACGAACAUAUGGUAACUUCUACUAAACGAAUUACUGCAACCAUAGAUUUUGUCAUGACUACCUCAAUAGCUAAUGUCAUAAUUCAUUGUAAAUUUUGUCUAAUGUGCAAUAAUAUAUACUAAUGCACUCACCUUAGAAACCUCAUCCGAAUGACUAAGAUAAGUCAACUCGCUAAUUAGAAGGUAGUGCACUAUAAUCUCAAAUGGAUUGCCUAAAUUCAUCAACCAACUAUGAACAAAUCAUAAAUCUUGCAAGGAACCCAUGACUUGAAUCUUUCACAUAACUGCUAAUGUACUUAAGUUAUGUAUAAUACCACUACUGCAUGCAUGAAUACUCAAAUCAAUAUCAAUGUGAACAUGGAUAAAUUAGUGGAAACUCAAGCCUAACGGUGUUACAUCAUCUCUUGCUUGCAAGGGCUUUACCUUAACACCAAUAAUCAGGUAGGUUCUUGAAAUCCAAUAUAAUAUGUGCUAUUUCUUGGAGCACUUUAUUUUUCCUUUCAAUAACUUCAUUUUCUAUGGAGUUUUAGAUGUUGAAAGCUCUUCUUUAAUUUCCUUCUCACAAAAACUCUAGAAGUUAGAAUUACAAACUCAUUUCCUCUAUUAUUUCUUAUUUUUCUUACUUAAAAUUCAUUUUUAUUCAUCAUUUGAAAGCAUAACACUUUGAAUUUUAGGAUGUACUUCUUUCUUUCUAAGCAUUGCACUCUCAUAGGACCUAUGAUGAAAAUAUCGUUAAUCAUGGAUAUAUCGAUACUUCGAUUUUACGGAUAUAUCGGAGAUAUAUCGACGGAUAUUUUGGAAAAAAAUAUCGAUAAGUCUAAAACUGAUCAGAAUUUGUAAAAAUAUAAGAAAAACUUCAUAAAAAUGUAAUGAGAAGUAUAAUGAUAUUUUUAAACUGUUUUAUUAAAUAAUUUGAUAUAUGUAUAAUAUGAUUUAUCAUAUUUGAUAAUAAUAUCGUAUGCAUCGACAAAAAUAUGAAUUUUAUAAGUGUACAUUUAUUAUUAAAUUACAUUUAAUAUUAUGAUAUUUGAUUAUAAUAUGUAUAAUUUUAAAAUAUAUAUUAAUAUUAAAAUUAUGAUACAUUUAAUUCAAUUGUAUUAAACAAUAUAAAAUAAAUUAUAAUAUAUGUACAAUUUUUUAAUAUUUAAUUAAUUAUUAAUGAUAUUAAAAGCACUAUGAAGAAAAUUUUAUAAUUUUAAUAUUUUUGGUAAUCAAUUAAAAGAAAAUUUUGCAUUUAAUUAUAAAAUAAUUAUAAUUAAUUUGCUCUUUAAAAUAUUUUUUUUAAUAUUUUCCUUAUAUAAUAAGUUUAACUAUAUAUAUGUUUAGUACAUAUCAUAUAAUAAGGGUAAGUUAGCUUGGAUGGCAAGUGGGUUGAACCUCAAACCUUUUGGUUUGGGGUUCGAAUCCCCUCAACUUCAAAAUGAAGGGUUAUCGCUGAUUUUUUUGGAUUUCUCUCGAAAUUUCGUCAGAUCGAUAUUUCUCCAUGAAAUAUCGUAUCGAUACCCUCCGAUACAUGAUACAUUGGCGAUAUAUUGCCAACAUAUCGCAAUAUUUUCUUCCUUGCAUAGGACCCAUUAAAUCCAUAUGUAACAUCUCUAAGAGCCUAGAAAAAGAGAACAUCAUUUUUCUAUCACUCAUGUGAAUUCAUUGUCCUAGGUAGGACAAAUAGGAUUUUUAGGCUUUCCUAAAUGGGAAUUGCUUUAAUUAGUUCUUUAUUUGUAAUCCUAGACAAAUCAUUAGAGUUUAAAUGCGCUAUCAUACAAUGCUACAUGUCUUUGGAUGUAGAUUUCACAUUUUACAACUAUGUGCACUAUAGAUGAUGAGGAAAAAGUAGAGAGGUGUACAAAAGCAUAACAAAAAUUAUCAAAAAUUCUAUUUCUUACCAACACACAUCCUUGAAUAGACACUGAUUUUGAGUAAAAUGAACAAAGCACAUACAAUCACAAAUUUAACUUGCGUUAAUUAAGUUUGCUUUCAAUCACUCAAUAUAUAGUAACUCCUCGAGUAUAGGUAAAUUUGGACCUUCUAUGGUACAUUUCGCUUUCAAGUUGGUUAUACAUAAUGCAACCAUCCCCAAAUACAACCAAGCUUCCCUUUAUAGGUUCAAACAUGGAGAAAGACUUUAAGUUCAUUGUUGCUUUUACCAUUCCCAAAUACAACCAAACUCCUAUGAGUUCAAAAUUCAAGAAAGAUCUAAGUUCUCUCUCAUACAACUAGAGUAGCCACUCUCAAAAUCCAAAACGUGUUUUUCUCUAGCUCUUAGGCCCUAUGAUCAACUAAGGCUUUUAGGUUCUCCGUAACCCAGAUUUUCUUUCCAAUGGGCGAUUUAAAACCUAUUCAAGAAUUGUUUUUAAAAUUAAUUUUUCAGUUCUUAAAAAUAGAAACCUAUUUUCUAGACUAAAACCAUGUUUGGCAACUUUUUGACAUAUUAUAGUUUGUUGAGAAUUUGUUCUGAAAAUAAGGUUUCUCCUAAUAACAUAUUUUAAUUGCUUUCAAUUGUUUUCAUUUAUUUUAUAGGGUUGUUUUAAGAAAAUAAUAAUAAAAAUAUAAAGAAUGAUGAAACAUAAACUAAAAACAAAAGUUAUUUUUAAGAAAUAUUUGAAAAUACAAAAAAUAUAUUAAAAAUGUUCUAAGUUUUUAAAUAGGCUUUUAUUUUAGAAGACAUUAGACCAACUAUUUUUGAAAACUUUUUUCAAUAACGGUUUUUUGAAGAAUUAUUUUCAAAAAAAUUCCUAAACAAACCCCUAACCUCUGAGGAUCUAAAACUUUGCACUAAGUUUGGCUUACAUUCAACUUCUUUUAUGGACAAAGCAAUGGAGCUAGAACAGAUUUCUUUCAAUUUAGUCAAUUCUUAUUUACGUGGCUCAUAAUCAGAUUGUAAGACAUUCAAUUUUUUUAACAAGGCACCAUGCUCAUUUUCAAGGUAAGAGAUUUUUUUCAAGCAAGGAAAUCUUCUCUCAUACUUCUUUUAUUCUCAUCCAACUUUCACAAUUUUCAUCUUAAGGCACUGAUCAUACAAGGCUUCCUAGGCAAUCUCAAAUUACAACUUUUCUUCCAAAUAUGUUGUAUCAUGAGAUGAACCUUCAAAAUUUUCAGAUUCAAGAUCAGUUUCAAAUUUAACAUUUUUCUUUUCAUUGCGAAGUGAUAUAGAAGGUUACAAGUAUAUCAACAAUUUCGUCAAGCAUAUCGUGCUCUAAAAGACACAAAUAUCAUCAACAUCAUGUGAUAAUAAUCAUAAUUAUGUUUAUGCAUGUUUCUAGCAAAUUAAUGCAAUGAAAUUUGUACACUCUUCAUCAAAAUCAUACCAAAUUACUUCUAUGACCUUAUCCUUCUGACAUUCAAGUAAGUGACCUUUCUCCACACAGUAGAAACCUUGAAUCAACUAGAUCUUUUUUGUGUUUUUUUUUUCUUUUUAUCACAUUUCUUUUCCCCUGUUUAUGGUCUCAAAUAGGUUAUCCUCUGUUUCUUGAAGCUUUUUGAACUUUUUGAAACUUUAUCAAGCCUAUAAAUUUCAAAUAUUGGUCAUUUUUUAUUCCUAUUCUGAUUUAAAUGCAUGUUCAUCUACUUUUAGUGCAAUAUUAAUGUUUCUUCCUCUUAGGAACAAUUGGGGUCAUCUCUAAUUGAAGGGAGCCAACUAUCUCAUCUAGCUUAAUUGAAUCAGCAGUGUUCCAUUCCUCUAUUGUUAUGACCUUAGGUCUAAAACGAACAGAGAAGAUCUUAACAGUUUUCAGGUAACCUUGGAAUCAAGUAAAGGCCUACAUAGAUUGAAAGUUAGCAUUCACAAUGUCCAUGAUUUCAAUAAUAUAUUCAAAAAAUAUUUUUGUUGUGAUCAUUUGAAAUUCAUUCCUUCACCUAUCCUACCUUUACAUAGUUUUACCUACCCUAGUGGAUAUAUAUCCUAUCUCUAUUUAGCACCAUAUGAGGAUAUCAACCAAAUUGAACAGAACUCCAAUCUCUGUUAGACUUCAUUUUAAGGAAGUAUAUCAGUUUUACCUUGGAAUGAGCAUAAUUAUCUCCUUUGAAGUAUGGAGGUCCACCUAUAGAGGUUCCUUCUCGGAGAAUUUCCAUCUUAAGAGAAUAUAGUUUAUCCGUAUUGAGAACAUGAGCAAACAUGUUUUGAUACAAUUUAUGAGUUUUUAAGAGAGUAUGCUAUGAACUUGAGAUCUCUUUUAGAUGAUCAAAUAACAUAUGCACAUGAAUGUCAUUGAGUGAUUAGCACAAGGUCACAAACCUCCCUAAUGAAAUCUCAACCAAAAAGCACACAAAUAUUGCACAAGAUAUAACAUAAAAAAAAUCUCUAAGUGGAGAAAGGAAAAAAAAAAAAAAACCAAUGGGUGCCUUUGUUGUUGCAAAUCCACUAUGAAUAUAAAUCCAGUUUUGCCUACAAUUCCCUCCACCAGUGAAAACAAAUGGUCUUAUAUGAUCAACUCCAUUUACUAUAGGGUUAUAAAGGAAACACUUGUGGGCUGGCAGGCAGUAGCUCCUCCCAACUCAUCAUAUUUCCAACCCCAUUUGCUCCAUCAAAUUCAUAAGAAGCUAACAAAACAACUAGCAUUUUAUAUCAUACAAUAUCUAUGCUAGUUAAUUUGCAUGGAAAAGACAAUUUCUACCCUAAAUAUGCCAACAUACAGGAAGACAUACAAUUUAUACAAACAUUGUACGCUAACACAAGAAAAUCAUACCUCACUUGCUGAUUUGAGGCAAUUCACCAGAGAAUGCAUAGGUGGCAAUGAGGUCCCAAUUGAGCUGUGCAUAUCUAACAGUCGCAGACUUGAAGGAAGCUCUGGAAUUUGUGAAACCUUCUUGCAGUGACUCAAGUCAAGGGCUCUAAGGUUAGAGAGCUGACUAAUACCCACAAGCAUGUCACUGAGGGUUCCUCCUUCCUCUGGAUUGCACCGACUUAGAUGUAAUACUUCCAGAGAGGAUAGAUGGAAAAUACAAUGGAAGACUCCUCCAUUUAGAUUGCAGUUUCUUAGACUUAAUUCUUUCAAUGCGUUCAAGCAGUUAUCACUCUUUAUUACUCCUGGUGUUAGAUUGCAUUGAUCUAAAUAUAGUUUCCUUAAGAGAGAUAAACCUGACAAAGAAGGCAAUUGACAACUGAGCGAAUUUAAAGAAAGAACCUCUAGACAUGGCAUUCUCUCCAGGUCCUCCGGCAAUCUGUCAAGUUUUGAACAGCCUUCAAGACUUAGAACUUCAAGAAAUCUCAAAUUACAAAUGCUGUUCGGGAGACCUUCAAGGUUUUUACAAUUAUCCAAAUACAAGUUGCGAAGACCUUCUAGAAGUUCAAUCGAUGAUGGUAGCUCUUUUAUAGCUGUAUUAUCUAAACUAAGCCUCUCUAGUUUUCCAAUACUGCGCUUGAUUUUUGGAAAACUAGUUAGUUGUGAACAGCCACUGCAAUGAAGUAUGAAAAGGUGUUUCAACUUAUGAAUGUCCCCAGGAAGAUUCUCAAGUCUUACACACCCUAUAAAAUUCGAGGAAAAAAAAAAGUUAGUUUAAUAACAACACUCUUAUAUGUGUGUGAACCUUAAGUAAAAUUAUACAACCUGAAAGAUUAAGUUCCUCCAAAUUUGGCACGUUUGAGAAAUUUGGUAGUUCAAUAAGCUGUUGUGAAUCAUUGAGAUUGAUGUACCUUAAAUUUCUAAGACACUGGAACAAAAUAGAAUUUCUAUUAAUAAAUCAAUUUUAACCAACUUUAAAAUAUUAUAAAACAAAAGCAUAAAUAAAUGAUUAUCAUACCAUGUUUCCUUUCCAAAGUCGUUUUAUGUUACUAUUGCUCAAACCGAGGAAAACAAGAUCAUUUGGAUGAAAGUUUGGUGGUAGAGAUUCUAAAGAAUAUCCAUCCCAACCGAGACAUGUCAAGUCAUCAGACGGAAAUACAAAAUCUUCAGGAAGUUGUUCUAUGCAAUUGUGGGAGAGGAUAAGCAAUCUAAGUCUAUUCAUCCUUUUGAAAGCUUUGCAUGUAAACUGUAUCUGUUCUGAUGUGUCCAUAUGAAAGAAUAUCCCUUCAAUUUUUUCAGUCCCCUAGAUAAUAAGAGUAUAAAAUUAGAAAAGCACGAUACAUGUAAAUCCUUACUAAGGUGAUAUAGAUGAAUAUAUAUAUAUAUAUAUCUUACCGUGUUUCUUUUCAAUACUCGAUAAAUAUCUGUAUGUCUCCAUAAUCUGCUCCUCUCUCCUGGCUCAUUAGGACAUUCUUCAUCAACAAUGCCCUUGCCCAUUUGGGCUAACAAAUCAUGCAUAUCUAUUGUAUUGUCCUCUAAAAUGGUUAUGAAACAUCUAUCAACGAGAACAUUUAUUCCACUUUCCGCUUCGCAUCCGGAACCAUCCAAUAUUCUUGAAACUGCUUCCACAUCACCUCCUUGAAAGAAACAUGCAAUGUCGAGAAAUAUCAUCUUUUGUGUAUAAUCCAAUCCAUCAAAACUUAUUUUAAGCACUUUUACAAUUUCCAUGUUAGGCACCUUUCCCAACUUCCGCAAUUCGCUUUUCCAAUCUGAUAGUCUCUUUCCAAAUAAUAGAGAACCCAAAACUUUAAGUGCUAAUGGAAGACCAUCAGCAUAUCGUACUACUUGAUGAGAGAGAUCUCCAUAACCUUCCUUCAGAUGAUGUUGUUUAAAGGCAUAAAGACAAAAAAGUUGAAGAGCUUCGUGAAAAUUUAAUUUCUCAACUUCAUACAUUUUCAUUUCAUGCCUAGUUAGCAAAUCUUUUUUCCUUGUAGUAAUGAUGAUUCUACUUCCUGGACCAAACCAAUUAUGCUUUCCAAUCAAGUGUUCUAAUUGUGUCAGCUCAUCUACAUCAUCCAGAAAAACAAGAACCCUUUUCGAGGAAAGCUUGUCCCUUAUUUCUUUGAUACCCUCAUGAACAUUCCUUAAAACUAUUUUCCUCGUUGUCCCUAGAAUAUCAUUAAGAAGUUGUUGUUGUAACUUAAGAAGACCACCAGAAUUUUCUGUGGAUUCUUUUCUGACAUCUGUGAGUAAGCUUACACUUUCGAAUUGAUUUGAGAUUCGGUUAUAAAGAGCAUUGAUGAUGGUGGUCUUGCCGAUACCACCAAGCCCAUAAACCCCGACCAUGCGAACAUCAUUCAACCCAAUCUCCAACAAUGAUAUUAGUCUUUCCAAACGAUAAUCCAUUCCGACAAUGUUCUCGGUAACAGCUAAAGUCUUAGGGAAGCUUCUAGGGACGUUCUCAAUAAUUUUAUCAAUAAGCUCUGUUUCAUACCUGCGAAUUGCAAAGCAUAAUGGGACAUGUGUACUGGCGCAUUAGGAUGAGUUGCAAAAAAUAAUAAAUUAUAUGAAAUAAAUUUAAUGAUGCCUAGUUUUCCAACUAUAACUUAGCAGGGCUAAAAGGAAUUUAAAUUAAAAUAAAAUAAACCACAUCUAUCAAACUACUCAUGAGUACAGUUUCAUUAUUCAAUAUAUAUGAUAGAAAUAAGAGAAGAAAAUGCAAAAUAUGAAUUGCAUUAUCAAAAGUGGAAAAAAAAACACUAAAAUAUUUUGUGUGUUAGCUUAUACUAUUCAAUCUUUUGAAAGGUUCAAAAUAAAGUUGAGUUGUCUAGAACAUUACUACCCUAUUUUGAUAAGGGAUUCCAUCAUAGGAUCAACUGCGCAUCCAAGCUUUUUAAUCUAAUAAUUUUACUACUGAUUAGAUGGUCAAGUUUAAAAUUUUAAUGAACAGAUCUUUAUUUUAUAAAUAAUAAAAAUAAAUAAAAAAUUAUAAAAGUUUAAAACUCACUUUAGCUUUAAGCGGUUAGUCAAAUAUCUCAUACUAAACAAGUUAGAUAUUUUUUAUAUCAGCAGAAAGAAAAAAGGACAGUGCUUCAAAUGACAAAUGAAGAGAAAUUACAAUUACCUGUCCUUCGCAUCAUAUCCGGCUAGAUUGCUUGCUUGCCUCAGGGCAAUCUUCCAUUUCCUUAUCUUUUCCUUUCUCUCCUCAUCUGCAUUCUUCUCAUGAUGGGUAAAUGCUUCUCCGUAAAUCUCAGUUUGGUUCCGCAGUUCAGACGGAUCUACAUGAUAGAAAAUUGGGAUAACUACCAUUUGUUCCCUUUCCUCUUUGCAUUUCAUGAUCUUGACAAGCUCUUCCAGACACCAUUUGGAAUGAGCAUAGGUUUUUGAGAAGACAAUAAUGGCACUCCUUGAUUCUUCAAUAGCUUUUAAGAGCUCUGGUGCAAUCUCUUCUCCCCUUGGAAGCUCUUCAUCAUCUCUGAAGGUAUGAAUAUUGUUACGAAUCAAAGCCGAGUAGAGGUGAUCGGUAAAGCUUUUGCGAGUAUCUUCACCUCUGAAACUCAAAAACACAUCGUAGCUCCACUGAGAGCGAGAAGUGAAAGAAGAAGAGGAUCUCUGGAUGCUAGGGGAGGCCAUGGUUGAACAGAAAUUGGAGGAAAAAUAAGGGCCUUCGGGUAUUCAGUGACUUAAUUCCCCUAGCCUUAAUGUGAAGUUUGGAUGUUGGUGGUGGGAUGUGCUUUUUCUUUCUCAAUUAUUUCUCCUUAGCUGUAUCCCUCUAGCUUUGAACUUUCACUUUUGUCCCUUUUGGCAGUCAACAAUGGCCGGCACUCUUCUCUCUGCAAUUUCCAAUUAAUUUCUAAAAUGUAAAAAAUAAAAAAUGAUCAAAUCCAUGUGGUCUUUACUUAGGUCAUAAGAUCGUGUGAACACACAUUAAAUUAAAGUUAUUCAAUUAAGUUUUGUCUUUUCCAUAAUUAGCAAUAUUACGGUAGAAAAUAAAGGUUUAUUAAGUUGAUAUGUCAAGUAAAGCUAACAACUUUGGUAUUAUAAGCUUGAUUUUUGUAGAUGGAAAAAUAUAAUGAGUCAUAUGACAAAAAAUAAAGAAAAUUUUGAUCUUGAAGAAUAGAAAGAAGCACAAAACCUUCAUGAAAGUUUAGGGAAGAAAGACCAUGCUCAAAACUCCAAAUUUAAAUUCUCACGGACUUUUCACAUUUUGCAGCUGGCUUUAUUAUUAAUAGAAGCACAUAAAUAAAUAUUGUAAUUAAAUCCCACUAAUUUAUAGGUCAUAAUGGUAUAUAUCGGUCAUCACAGUAAUUGAGUGGGAAGGUGGGUACCUGUAAAAAGAAUAGACCAAACCAAUCACCCUAAAGUACCUUUAUCAUAAAAGUCAUUGAGGUCCUAAUGGUAAUAAUGGUGGAUAUCUUUGGAAAGAGAAAACAAUCCUAAAUUUCAAAAGAACGUCUGUUUCUUGGCAAUUGUAUCCCCGACAGCCUUAUCUUUUUUUACUUUAUAUCUUUUUAUUAUUAUUAUCGUGAGGAUGGUUAAAGAUGAUAUUAGAUAUGUAAUCUUUCUAUGGUUUAAAAAUGAAAAAUGUGAGUGUUAAGUUGGCAUUUUUACCAUUUAGAAAAUACUUGAUUUUAAGAUCAUUAAUAGGAAGAAAUAAAGAGUUCCAAAAAAUAAAGAAGCUUUUAUUGACUAAUCUAGGCAACCCCUUUCUUGGCUUUUAAUUGUAUCUACUUUGUCGAAAAUCUCAGUCAUUCCUCCUUGUCUUCCUUUUGUUAUUCCUAAGUUCCAACUCUUUUUUUUUUUUUUUAAAUAAUAAUAUUAGUUUUAUGUUUUAAUGAAAUGGGUUGCAAAUUUGAAGAAAACAUAUUCUUGUGUAUUUAUUGACUAUGACCCUUUCUUCACAAAGGUUAACGUUAUUUACAUUCUCAAACUAAUCUUUGAUGAGUUUGAGUUUUUCUUUACUAACAAAACUUCUACCAUAUCUUUCUUGUAGGAACAAAGUCAAAUGACCAUAUUUUGAGACUUAUAUGAAUGGUCUCAACCAUCCAAUCCAAAUACCUACUCAACCCACAACUUCACUCCCACCAAACAACCUUUCGACUAUUAACAUUAUACUAAGAUUUCUUACCUUUGCUAUUCAAAUUAUCGUAAUAAUGUACAUCUUCUAUUUUAUAUUUUUAAUACAUUCCAUUUAAAUUUAACUUCUUACAUCCUUUAACACCUUAUUGUGCAUUUGUGGUUAUUUUUCUAAGCUGUUUUUUAACUUUCAUUGGUGGUUCAUUGUAAUUAUGUUGGUUACUGGGUUUUUUUAUUCUAUUUUAUGCAAGAGACAUUUUGAAAGGAUUAGGUGCCUUCCAAUCUUGAUUUUAGUGAUUUUUAAAUCUUAGUUUAGGACUUUGUUUUUGAUUGAUUUAUAACAUAUUUAGGUUUGUUUAGAAUUUUAAAACUUUAAUUGCAUAAAAUAGAUUCAAGAUUUGAAUUAAUUAAUAAUUGAUUUCAUUCUCCUUUAAAAUGUAGAAUAUGAUAAACGACUUGAUAGCAAAUUCAAACAAAUCUUUAUCCAAAUGAGAAUUUAUGUAAUCUAAUCAUUUUAUUAAAUAUCACCUAGUAAAUUAUAAAAAUAAAGAUAUUAAUCACAUUUGUUAAUAUGUUUUUUUUAAAUUGACAAAUUAUGAUGAAAUUAUAAUCUUUUCAAUAUUUUAUUAAUUAUUAAUUAAAACAUCACUAUAAUUAUUCAAUCCAUGGAAUAUAAAAUGAGUUAUUUUUAGUAAUAAUAAUAAUAAUGAUAAUAAUGAUAAUAGUGAUAAUAAUAAUAAUAAUAACUAAUCAUAUUUGAAUAACAUUUCAUCAAUUAUAUAUCAAAAUAAAGUUGUAUGUUUAUCAUAACCUAUGUUUUAAAACAAAAUAAUAAAAGUUAUAUUUCCCUUUAAAUGUAUUUACAUAUCUACCUCCAUAGUCCAUGGUAUUAAAAUAAUCUAAUAAAACACAGUAUCCCAUAACCGGGCAACAGCACAGCUGCUCCUAGCUUUAGCCCCUAGCAGCUGCAAUCAGCUUUUCCACUCUCUGUUACAGUCCAGCUUUGGCCGCCCAAGACGUACAUCUUUAAAAGUUGAUUUUAUUUUUUUUAAUUGAAUGUUUUUUUUUUUUUGUAACUCUUCUCGAUUAAUAAAUAAUAAUAAUAAUAAUAAUAAUAAUAAUAAUAAUUGGAUUUGGUUUUUAAAGUUGAGUAUUUUCUUUAACUAAUUGAUAUUAUAAAUAUAUAAAUAAUUUCUACAUUCACAUUUUAUAAAAAAUAAAAAUGUUUCAUUUUGAAAAUUUUAUGCAUUAUUUUAAAAUUUUCAAAUAAAGGAUUAUUUGUAAAUAUUUCUAAAUAUGUUUGAUUUCAAUAAUUGAUAAAUUAUAUAAUCAAAAUAUUAUGAAUUGGUAAAUAUCAAUUAUUGGAUUUUAUGAAGAUAAAAUUUAUGAUAUCAAAUAGUAAUGCAUUAUAUUUAUAAAUAGAUGUAUUUUUUCUAUUUUAAAUGUAAUUAACAAUAUAAAAAAUUAAUUAAUAAUGAUAUAUUUAUGAUAAUUUUUGUUUAAAAACAUUUAUAAUUUUAUUUAAAAUUAAAUUUCAUUUUAUAUUUAAUAAUUAUAUAAAAGAUAAAAAAAAUUUAAAAGUAAAUCAAACUAAUUUAUUUAUAAAAAAUUAUUAAUUUUCACUAUUUUACUUAUUUUACAUAUAUAUGUAUUGGGACUGAAAUCUGUUCUCCAUUCUCUCAUUCUUUCCUCCAUUUCUCUUUCGUUCCUAUUCUCUGUUUCCUUUCUCCUUGUCUUCAUUUCUCUUCUAACAUCCAAACUUUUAUUCAUGACGGUUAAACUAUUUCUCUUUUCUAAGAUCAAAACAUAACUCACUGAGGUUAAAAUCCAGAUUGUGAUUGUUAUAAAAAUUCCUAGUUAGGGUUUUAGUUUUAGUUUUAAUUUUUUUGUUCUUUUUUAUUUUUUGCAUUCUUGGUCUUUUGUGUUAUUGUUUAUGUUUUAUUUGGUUUAUGGGAAAUCCUAGAAUUUAUGAAAGUUUUGGCUUUGAAAUAUCCAAAAAAUAUUGAAAUAGAAAUGACCAAAAAAAAAAAAAAAAUUGUUGAAUAAUGUUGAGUUUUUGGUUGAAUUUUUGUUUGACCGAUUUUUUUAUUUUCCAUUUUCUGAUUUGCCCUCGUAGAGUAAAGAAUUUUCCUUCAUAGUGAAGAGAUGAGAACACUCAAGAACAUUGAUUGAAAAUACGAAAAACAUCUUAUUUUUUUUCUUUUUAGAACAUUGGCAAAAACACGGAAAACAACAUUUUUUUGUUUUUUGAAAACCAGACUUUAGAAAACACGAAGAAUACAUGGGAACAAAAAACACUCUCUUAUCAAACACAUUUUGUGUGUUUUUGUUCUCAAAAACAAAAAACUGUUUUUGAAAACAUUCACCAAACAUGCCCUAUUUUUUGAGGUAAUUCUUUUUAUUCUUUUUCUUUGCGGGGGAGGGGGAGGAAAUUUUGGCGAGCUGUUAGAAAAGGGGAUCUUGUGGCAGUUGGAGUUUAGGUUGCCUCAUGUUCUCUCUCCCUCUCUUUUUAUAUUUUAGUUUUUUUGCAAUAACUUGAACUCAUUUCCUUUGAGAAUUUCAUGUUCAUUUUCCCACACUUUGUUUUUGUUCCUAAAUUUAAUCUUGUGUUUAUGUCUAUCAAUUAGUUAUUUAGGUUGAGGAAAGGGGGCCGGGCCUUAGGUCUUCCCUUUUACCCUUGAAAUGAUCCUCUCACUUUGGGUGAUUAUUGAUUUAACUAGCUUAUAAUUUGGCCGUCUUUAUUUUUUAUUGAAAUCAUCAUACCUUGAUGUUUGGAAAUUGAAGAUUCAGGGCCCUUUUGAUGGACUGUCUAGUGGAGUGUGUGGGCAUAGGAAUGAAUUAACGGAGACGUGAAAGCUUUGAUCAGUCCAUGAAAUACAAAUGAAAGGUUAUCACCAAAAAUUAAGCAUGCGUGCAUUGAUAAUAGACAAGUAAAUGAGAGAAAAUGAACUUCAAAUCUUACUUGACAACGAUACUACUAUAAUGGGAUAUUCCUCAACAUAGUGGUUAUUACUUAAUUUGGUAUCAAUAACUAUGCUAAAACCUUGCCCAUUACUGAAAAUGGACAGGGAAUAAGCAAAAAUAUUAUAAUAUGUCUGUAAUUGAUUCCUUUCAUCAUAGUAACCCAUUGGCCAGAUUGGCUUAGUUAACUAAAUGAAAACCCGAUUUCUUAUAUUUCGAAUGAACCAAAAAGGAUACAGUAGUAAACAGCUAUGGAACCAAUAUGUAUGAGGAUAAAAAACAACAACAAUUUUGAUUGAAACUAAUCUUGAAAUAAUCAAUGGCUAAGUACAUCAGGUUGUGUUUAUAAAGUCCUAGUUCAUAAGCACUAAAUUCUAAUGCUAACACUCUCUCCAAGUGCUUUCAGUCUGCUGCUUCAAUACAAGUACUCUAUAUGUGCGCUUGAUAGUAACUUGCGCUUGAUAAUAACUUCUCGUGUCCUAUAUAUUUAUACCCGAUCAAGGGCUGCCAUUUUAUUAGAUUGUUGAGUAAUGACGCUGCUUGUUGAAGGAUUGUGAGACAGAACAAUCUCAUACCCAUCAUCACAUGACUGCAUCCCCUCGGCCAUGAGUUGCCAAACCAAGCCUCCACCAAUUCCUCCACUUCUUGCAAAGUUGUAGAUGUUGGUAUAAACAACAUUCAAAAAUGAAUCCCUUUUAUUUAUAAUUUUAAUUCUAUUGUACGAAGGAAUUAAGAAAAAACUUUUAUUCUAAAAAAAUAUAAAUUUUAACCUAAAAUAAUUUAGUAUAUACUUUAUCAAGUGUAAAAUUUUAAUGAACAGAUUUUUAUUUUAUAAAAAAUAAAAAUAAAUAAAAAAAUUAUAAAAGUUUAAAACUCACUUAGCUUUAAGUGGCUAGUCAAAUAUCUCAUGCUAAACAAAUUAAAUAAUUUUUAUAUGAGCAGAUAGAGAAAAGGACAGUACUUCAAAUGAAAAAUGAAGAGAAGUUACAAUUACUUGUUCUUCGUGUUAAGGAUAAUUAGCCUUUCCAUUACAAUUUACCAUAUGUAUCAUAUUUGACCCUUGAUUACAUGCUAUUCCUUUGUAAUCAGUUUGAUAUUAUUUCCUACUUUCCAUUUCUUUUAUAAUCAGUUUGAUAUUAUUUGAUUUGUAAUAUUCUAUAAAUGAUUAUAAAUAGAAAACUCUCACCACCUUCUCAAGUGUGGUGGUUUGACAAAUAUUCUUACUUUGUAUCAUAUCCGGCUAGAUUGCCUGCUUCCCUCAUGGCAGUCCUCCAUUUCCUUAUCUUUUCCUUUCUCUCCUCAUCUGCAUUUUCCUCAUGAUCGGUAAAUGCUUCUCCACAAAUCCCAGUUUGGUUCCGCACUUCAGACGGAUCCACAUGAUAGAAAAUUGGGAUAACCGUUUGUUUCCUUUCCUCUUUGCAUUGCAUGAUCUUGACAAGCUCUUCCAGACACCAUUUGGAAUGAGCAUAGGUUUUUGAGAAAACAAUAAUUGCAAUCCUUGAUUCUUCAAUAGCUUUUUAAGAGCUCUGGUGCAAUCUCUCCUCCCCUUGGGUGUUCUUCAUCAUCUCUGAAGGUAUUAAUAUUGUUACGAAUCAAAGCCGAGUAGAGGUGAUCAGUAAAGCUUCUGCGAGUAUCUUCACCUCUAAAACUCAAAAACACAUCGUAGCUCCACUGAGAGUGAGAAGUGGAAGAAGAAGAGGGUCUCUGGAUGCUAAGGGAGGCCAUGGUUGAACAGAAAUCGGAGGAAAAAUAAAACAUAUAAAAUUAUCAAGUCCAUGGGGUAUUUAAUUAGGCCAUAAGAGAUCGUGUGAACUCACACAUACAUUAAAUUAAAGUUAUUGAAUUAAUUUUUGUCUUUUCUAUAAUGAGCAAUAAAUAUUCCUGUAGAAAAUAAAGGUUUAUUAAGUUGAUAGGUGAGGGAAAGCUAUAUAACAACUUCGGUAUUAUAAGCUUGAUUUUUUAAAAAUAAAAAAUAUAAUAAGUCAUAUGACACAUAAAAGUUCAUUUUUUUUAAAAUCAAGUCAAACAUUUUUAUCUUAUUAUAAUUUCUUAUUAUUAUAAUAAAUAAAAUAAUUUUUUAAAUAUAUUUUCCUAUUAAGAUAUAUUAUUCCUAACCACAAUCGAAUUUUUAUAAAAGAGCAAUUAGUUUCUUAUAUGAAUGUUUUAUUUAAUCAAGAUAAACAUGGAAAGAAAUUGUUAUCACAUGUCCUAUAUUGAGAAAAAUUAUAUAUAAAUUGGAAAUAAUUUUAAAAAUAAUAAAAUCUAAAAGUUGUUUCACUAUUUUCUAAAAUUAAUUUUAAUUUCUUAUAAUUUUGCUAUUUUUUUGUUGAUUUUUUAAUAAUUAUUUUAAUUAUAUAUCUAUAUAUAUAUAUAUAUAUAUAUAUAUAUAUAUAUAUAUAUCUAUAUAUAUAUAUAUAUAUAUAUAUAUAUAUAUAUAUAUAUAUAUAUAUAUGUGUGUGUAUAUGUAUACAUACAUAUUAAAAAAUGUUACUCAUUUAAGUGGUUUCAAAUGAUUUAUUUAUUUGCAUGAAAAAAACAUGAAUUGAUCAUCUUUUGAGAUGUAGUAAGAGUCGUUUGGUUUAGGUCACAGUGGUAAUGAGUUGGAAGGGUCUAGUACCUUUUGAAAGAACAAAAGGAGCAACAACCCUAAAAUUCAAAAGUGUUGGAAUAUUAAACAAUGUCUUGGUCAAAAAGGGAAAGCGCGUUGGAUCAUAUAUUGAAAAUAAUGUCUUGUUAACAAAAAAUAAUGUCUUGGUAAAAAUAGAAAACAUAUAGGAACAUUGAAUAAGACAAUACCAUAUGGUUAGGAAAGGUUAUUCUCUAAUCUUUUAUCCUUAUUGACUCAUACACUUGUUGAACCUCCUUAACAAUAGAAAGAAAGUUCAUUCUUAUGAAUCCUCAAAAUGAAUCAAAGAGAUAAAUUUCAAUUUUGAAGUAAACAUAAUUAUUUUUCUAUUUUUGUUAAAAAAUUGACAAUACUUAAUUUAUCAUGUAAGAAUCAAAGAAUAAUAGCAACUAUUCAUACAAUCGGUCUCAUUUUGUUGUAACAAAACUUAUGAUUAUUUUUCUUCCAUGUAUAUGAGGUUACUAUAAAUUCAUUUCCCACUUGUCAUGUGAUUCAAAUAGAACCUACUAGAUGAAAUUUCUCUCAACAUAUUUCCGCAUCACAAUUUUUCUUUCAUUUUUUAUUUUAUUUUGAAUUUGCAUUAAAUAAAUUUCAACCAUAGAUACGCACUAACAAUAUUUAAAUAAAGAUGAUAAUGUAUUUAAAAUUUUAAUAAAAACUGAGUUGAAUUUUUCAACUUACGUUUGAUUUCCUUCUGUUCACCUAAUGUUGGCAUUAAAAUACAAAAAAAAAAGUCAUUGUCUUCGGGAUUUUUUCUUGUGAGCUUAUCCUCAAACUUUCUUAAAAAACUAAGUUGAUUAUUGUUGUGCUCACUUAAUGUUUGCAUUAAAAUACUAGAAACUUAUUCUUGUGAGCUUAUCCUUGCACCUUCUUCGAAAAAUAUAAGAUUGAUUCUUAUUGAUAGGAAGAUAAGAACAAAAACUUCUAAUAAAUUAUAUUUUGGUAUAUUGAUAAUUUAAUGGGAAAAAACGUUAAAUUUUAUAAAUGUAAAAAGAUGAUAUAGUUGGAUGACGCAUUUAUACAAACAUAUGAAAAGAACAUUUAUAGUCAAUAAAUGAAAACCAUGUAAAUAUUCAAAAGGCUAAAAUCACAAUUGAUUGGAGCAAAAAAAUUUAGCUCAUCCUAUAUUUAUUUUUUAUCAUCAUAUUCUUAUCGAGCUUCUUAGGCAUCAAAUAUAAAAAUUCUCUAUUUAAAAUCAAAAUAAAAUAAAUAAGAUCUUGUCAACUACAAUUUUAAUUCAACUAUUUUUGUUGCUAACUAGUUCCUUGAUUUUUGGUACUUCGAUUUCUCAAACAACACAAAAUUUCAUUUCAAGGAAGACUCAUUAACAACAUGAAAUUCAAAAUUACAUAUGCAACAACCCAACCCCAAGCUUAAGUAAAUUUGUAAUUUUAUUAAUUAAGAAAAUAAAAACUUUGGGCUAUUUAAAUAUAAUUGGAUUUUAAUUUUGAGUUUGGGUUCAAGUUAAAAAAAAAUUAAUGAGCCAAAUAAAUUAAUUGGGCAUUUAUAUUCAAACAAUUAAUCUUUAGUAUUAAGAUUUAAUUGAAUUGAAAAAAAAAUAGAAAUAAGAUAAUAAAGGGAGUAAAAUAGUCAUUUCUCAUUAGAAACCUAGGUAUGAAUAUUCACUCUUCUUUACAAAAGUCUUUUUGUAUAGAGAGCAAAUGUAGGGUUUGAAAUCAAUCUUUGAAUGUAAGCACGUAUAGAUUUAAUAUUUACUUUCAUUUUUAAUUUUCAUGGGAAUUAUUAAAUAUGAUCAAAUUUUAUGAAAAAAUUAAAUAACAUNNAUUCUAAUUAAUUAUAAAGUCACUACAUUAAAAGUCUNNNNNNNNNNNNNNNNNNNNNNNNNNNNNNNNNNNNNNNNNNNNNNNNNNNNNNNNNNNNNNNNNNNNNNNNNNNNNNNNNNNNNNNNNNNNNNAAUCAAAAAGUAUAAGUUACAAAUUUCAAAGGGUGUUUAUGAGUGGAUCAAUUUUUGGUCUCAAUUAAAAAAGCUAAUUGAAAAUAAUAUAAAUAUAAUAUGUUUUUAUUUUAUUUAUUUAUGGUGAGGAUUAUAAAAUAAAUUGUUAUUUUUUAAUUUUAAAUAAAGUAAACAAAUAAGAUAAAAUAGAAAUUAAAAUCAAAAGAAAAAAAAUUAAAAAUCAAACAAUAUAAAAUAUUGAAAGUGAUUGAAUAAAAAAGAAAAAGUUUACAACUCAAAUAAGAUCAAUCUAGAAAAUACAUUACAUAUUAAAAUAUACGCAUAAAAUGCAUUUCAUACUGUUAGAUGGUAAAAGUCCAAGUAAAAAAUCGUAGGUUGAUGACCUGAAUUGCAUAGGUUGCUUUCAGACCAUUGGGACUUGUUAGGGUUCAAAGUCAAAAAUAGGACUAAUAAUAUUUAGUAAUAUCAUCUCAAGCCUAUUCCAAAAUAUGGCAACAUGGUAAAAUUAAAAAUUAACAUAAUGCUUAAUAAUAAUAAUAAUAAAAAACCUUAUUGGUUUUUUUUUUUAAAAAAAUCACUAGAUAUUGUAUAAUUUUUCUAAAAUGAAUGAGAAAAGUUAUAAUUAUGAAUCUCUUGAAGAAAAACCUUUCAAUUGCAAUCGCACUCCCUUAAAAAAAAAAAAAAAAACUUAAACAUAAAAGGGUUAAAUAUAUAAUAUGAGUAAAUUCGUUAAUCAUCACAUAAAAAACAAUUUUUCCAGACCCCCUCGAUCAACCCCAUGAGCUAACCCAAGCAACUCAAUGUUGACAUCCUAAGCUAAAUGGUAUUAUCUGAUUAAUUAUUUUACAAAAUAUACAUAUGUUAUAUCUUAAAAUUGGUUACUAAAUUAUAUUACAGUUAUCAAAUAUAUUACCAUAUAUAAAAUACAACUUAAUAAAUCUUAAGCAUAAUACAAAGCACAAUAACAAGAUAUGUUAAUUUAAGUUAUUAAGAGCUUAUUUAGUUGUGUGAUUUAAAAAUAGUUUUUUGUUUUUAAAAAACAAAAAUUAUCUUUAAAAUUUUCUAACACUAUUUACCGUUGCUUUUUGGAAACACUUUUUUAAAACAAAGUAAAAUAAAGAACAAUUUUUAAAAAACAAGUUGAAGUUGUUUUUACCAGUUUUUAAAAAACAAAAAAUAUAUAAACUCAUUUCACUAUGUUUUUUGAAACUUGUUUUUAAAUUAAAGAAUAAAAAAUAAUUUUUCAAAAUAAGUUUCAAAAUAUCAUCUAUACACAUUCUUUUUGAAUGAUUAAGAAUCGAGAUUUCUAACCAGUCGGUUAUUAUUAUUUUUUUUUUAUAAAAAAUUGAAAUUUACUUUAUCAUUUAUUGUAUGAAUAUCAUAUGGAUUUAAAAAGAAUUUCACACUUAGACAUGUACCUCUCAGAACAUUUGAAGUGAAGAUGUUCUUGUCUUCUUCAAUUUGAAGGCUCAUUAUGACUUUGAGAUUCACAUUCCUUUAAUUGACAUGAAAUGUUUGACUUGCCUUGACUAAUAAGGACCUUCAUGGCUUACCUGAUAGAGGUUGGGCCUUUACCGUUAUCCACUCAGCAAUGAUGUAUUUUCUGCACUGAGUUAUUUAAUAAAAAUGGUUUUUGAGUAAAACAGAUUUGGAUUUUGACCUAUGGAGGCCUAUGGACUUUCAAAACAGGGGUUCACUAGGGAAAAAAAAAACAGAGAAGAAAAAGAAGAAAAAUGAGAUCAUUGGAAGAAUUUUCAGCCCCUUUCAAUCACUUAGCCAUAUAAUAGAAACUAAGAAGAAGAGAAAGGAUCGUAGCUCACAAAAAGCUUGAGAUAAAUGUUUAGCAUCUUCUGCAGCAUAUCCAUCCAACAAAUUUGCAAAGAAGCUCCAACCAGUCGUGCAUAUGAUCCUCUUCAUCAUCUUGGGCAUCAACAACAUUACUGUUAAUAAUCUGUGUCGUUGUAUCCAUGGGAGAAUCGCUAUGCUCAGUGCACUGUGUCCAGUCAUAGCUUGUUUGUGCAUUAGAAUUAGUAUCUUCUGCUGCUGAUCUGGUAUCACAACUUCUCUGCUCAUCACUAUACUCCAUCAUUGUCUGAUGGUCGCGCUUGGUGGCUUCUGUGUUGUCACAGCUUCUCUGACAAUCAGUACUGGUAUCUUCUGGGAUGUUGCUGUUGAUAACAUCACGUGUAUAUAUAAGAUAGUACCCACACUCUUUCACUUCGACUGGUGCAUCCAAGCUAUGAAAUGAAGCCUUCAAACGUCUCCAUUCGUUUGACCAAUACUGCUUGUCAAUAGCAACCUUGGGAUAAUAAGUCACACACAUUUGACUUGAUUCAUCGCAAAUUGGGCAGCAAUAAAACUGGACAUCAUCCACGUGACAGCAUUCAGAUUGAUCACCACAGAUACUGAGUUCGCAAUUCAACUCAUCACAAGCCAUAGAAAUAAAAAUAGAGUAUAAAGCAAAUCCUAAGAAGUCAUCUUUUCUGUACCAAUCCAUAGGAAGCUCUAUUGUUAUUUGAGAUCCUUUUUUUGGCUGGCUUAUCCACUCUGGAAUUCCAUUAUUUCCCAAAAUAACAACUCUGAUUGCCUUGUUCCAAUAGGAGUCGCAUUCAAAUUCCUGCACAGAAGUACAGUGUUAAUACUCUGUUCAUAAGGAAAAAGGGCUGAAUGUUAUGAAAAUCAUACCUCAAUCAUUGAUUUGAAGCAUUUGAACAGAGAAAAACCAAGUUCACUUGAUGGACUUGAUGAAGUUUCCAAGCAUGUGCAACUGUGGACAUCUAAAUAUCGUAAACUUGGCCGAAGCUCUGGAACUUGUCGACGCCCCUGGCAGUGACUCAAUUGAAGGACUCUCAGUUUAGACAGUUGAAUGAUGCCUGCAAGUAUGCUACUAAAACAGUCCAUGCUUAGAUUUAGACCUGAAGCACGCAAAUCCUCUAAACAUUGCAAACUCCUCAGGUUCUCAGGAAAUUUCUCAAGUUUUGUACAGAAACUGACAUCUAGAGUUUUGAGAGAACUCAAAUUACAAAUGCUUUCUGGAAGACUCACAAGGUUGGUGCAAUCUGAAAGAUUCAAAUAUUGAAGCCCUCUUAAAUAUUGAAUUGAUGCUGGUAGUUCUUCUAUAGCAGUUCCAUCUAAAUGAAGCACUCUUAAAUUUUCCACAUCCUCAACGAUUUCCGGAAAGCUCCUUAAUCGUGAACAGCCUGAGCAGAAGAGAGUUGUAAGGGAUUUCAACUCACAUAUGCUACUGGGAAGAUGCUCAAGGUUUUUGCAUUCCCGCAAACAUAAGCUAUCAAGUUCUAAGGGACACUCAAUAGUGGGUAGUUCAUUGAUGGCAUUUCCCUUUAAACAAAGCUUUCGUCGGGAUUGCACAUCCCCUUGACAUUCCCGGCAAACGGUGGAUAUCAUUGCUUUACCAUGGUUCUGUUCAUGAUCAUGGGCAUAUAUAAGAUGGAUCCCACACUCUUCUACUUUCACUGCUUUACCUCUCAAGUAGCCACAAAAUGAAGCCGUCAACUCCCUGCAUUUAUUUGAGUGGUACUUCUUCUCAAUCAAAAGCUUAGGAUAAUAAAUCAUCCACAUUUGUGGUACAACAUAGCAUUGAAAUGAGGGAAAAAACUGGAGUUCAUCCACAAACUGAAUUUCACGACCACGCAAAGUCAAACCAUACUCGAAGUAAGUUGCAUCAUUAUCCAGUGUCUCCUCAGAUUCAUUAUCAAGUGGAUAAUAGACACAGUACAAAACAAAACCCAACAAGUCGUCAUUUUUAUACCAAUUUUGAGGAAGCUUUGCUACUACUUCAGCUCCCUUUUUGUGAUGGCUUAUCCAAUUUGGAAUUCCACUACCGUCUGAAAUAAGAUUUACUUGGGCAAAAGAUUUUUCUGUAGGAUAAAUCUCGCAUUCCAAAUCCUGCAGAAAAUUUAAUUAACACGUAAAUCCCCAUGUCUCCACAAAAAAAGUUGUGUUCUAUGAAUAUCAUACCUGAAUCAAUGAUUUGAAGCAGUUGAAUAGAGAAGACCAGAGUAGACCUGAAGAAGUUUCCAGCCGUUUGCACCCAUGUACAUCUAAGACACGCAAACUGGAUGGAAGCGCUGGAAUUUGUCGAAGCUCUUCACAGUAACCCAAAUCAAGGAGUCUCAGCCUAGAAAGUUGAUUGAUCCCAGCAGGUAUGCUCCUAAAAGGAUUCCCGAUUAGAAGUAAUUCUUGCAGAGAUGAUAGCUGGCAAAAUUCAGUGGGGAUUCCUCCUUCAUCUAUACAGCAGACAGAUAGAUCUAACACUUGCAAGGAGUACAAGCCGCAAAUAUCACUCAGGACUACUCCUUGCAUUAGCCCUGAGCAAGUUAGAUUUAACACCUUUAAGGAGCAUAAACCUGACAAAGAAAGCAAUUGGCAACAUCUUGAAUUUAAGCCCCUAGCACAGAGACGCUUCAAGCUUUGCAGCCUCCCCAGGUUUUGUGGCAAUUUGUGGAGUUCGAAACAGAAAUUGACAUUGAGAUCUUCAAGAAAGCGUAAAUUACAAAUGCUUUCUGGAAGAGUCACAAGGUUUUUGCAACUUUCCAGAUUCAAAACCUGAAGCCUAUUCAAAUGUUCGAUUGAAGAUGGUAGCUCUUUUAUAGCCGUUCCGUUCAAGUGAAGCUGCCAUAAGUUUUCCAUAUUCUCCAAGAUUUCUGGGAAGUACUGUAAUUGUGAACAGUCAGAGCAAAAGAGAGAUUUUAGGGAUUUGAACUCCCAAAUGCUUGUUGGUAGACUCUCAAGGUUUUUGCACUCUCGCAAACACAAGGUAUCAAAUUCAGAGGCACACUCAAUGGGUAGUAGGUUGAUUGUCUGACCCUUUAAACAAAGCUUUCGGUGUUCCACGUUCCUCUGACAUUCCAAGCAGCUAGCAUCCACAUCCUCA